rnacentral:lncRNA from 1 species
GGUGGGUCGGACCUAACCAGAGCAAGUGAAGCUCCCCUAUGUUCUAUAUGUAUUCUAGAAGUGGUCUAGCCUAUGCUUAUAUGAUUAAUAGGGACUUGAAAUGCGUCACCUUAAUGUUAGCUUAUUUGAAAUGGAAUCUCUAUUAAGUAGAGAACAUACAUGCAUAAAGUAUUCAUGUUUAUGUUGACUAGUUGAUAUGUUUCUAGUAUGUUCCUAGACACUAGAGAACAAUGACAUUUUUAUGACAUUCUCUGAACUUUAAAGUAGAGAACAAUGACAUGCUUUAUGCCUCCAUGAUAGUGGAAAGAUUCUAAUGCCAUAUGUAAAUUAGCAUUACUCCUGUAUGCUUACUAAACUAGUGGAUUCUAGUUGUUGUUAAUAUUUGUUAUACUGAAAUGUCGAUCAAAGGAUCGAGAACGAGAAUAUUGUGAACUAAAACAUGAUAAUUGAGACAUGUUGGACUAUGGACCUUGCUUGCUUGCCAUCGUGCUCAUUCGCACACGCUUGUGAGGGUAGCUCCCUACAAGCCGGCACUCCGGAGUUGGCCUACGCGACAGUUGCUCGCCCGUGCGGGAUUGGGUGCCGAAGUGGAUUGCCGUGGGGAGUGUAUACUACCACGGGGCCAUUAGGCGCGGCGCAAGCUGGACUACCUUGAGUAGAUCCCUGUGAAUGAAAGAAAAAUGCUAAAGGAAAUUGGACAGUAAUGAAUAAUUACCAGUUACAGUGUACAGUAGUUACUUACACACUUAUGCUAUGUUUAUGCUUAUAGUAGUAGCCAUGCUUCUAUCAUUCAGUUGAUUCAUUACUGUUGAUGCUAUGAUCACAUGUUGUUUACAUGUUCAUUAUUUGUUAACAUUGGCUUAUGAAUUGUUAGCAUUGAAAAUAUAUCAUGCAAAUUACUGCUUUUAUUUCCAUUCUGUACAUCUCGAGCCUAGUGGUGUAAUUCGCCGAGGCUGGCGGCUUACCCACUGGGAACUAUUGUUAAUAGUUCUCACGCCCUUUUGGUGGUUGUUUUUACAGAGCUUGUUACAGGAGAGGCUAGGGAUCGUGGCAAGGGAGUCGCGCCUAGCUAGGGACUACUAGGAGCGUGCUAGUCGAUCACCUUGGUACUCGGGCUACGGCCGAGGGUGAUGUCCAAAGAUAUAUAGAGAGACCACCAUUGUAUCUAUUCUUUUUGUACACCCGUGAUGUAUAUUUACUUUCGGGGUUGAGAUUAUAGUAGUGUUACUUCUCCUUUUUGUUGAGAUCCUGGAUUGUAUACUCUUUGUAUUUUGACUUGGAUUUGAUACUCGUUGUAUAUCGACUUGUAUUUUGCUCUGAUAUCAGGAUAGGACUUCUUGUUUUACUUCCUAUCGACUUGCUUCUUGUAGACGCCUUAUAUACUGCAGGUGUAUGGCGGGUCUGUGCACGUGCCGGAUAUGCUUCCGCUGGUAUCCGGGCGUGACAACCUAUCUCUUAAUUAUGAGGUGCAAGAUUGAGAAGCAGAUAAAAUGGUAGGGUUAUAUUUUUAUCACCUUGUUUUCCCUUUCUUUUCUUUUCUAGUUUCUCCCUUAUCCAAACAUGUGAUGGUGCAAAAUGUAUUAGCUACUCGUGAUUAAGUUAAUGGAGAUUCAAAUGUUAAGGUGCCAUGGCAAACCAUAGACCAUAGUAAACUAAGCAUAACCUCGUAUCUUUUUGUACAUAACCCAAUACUGAACAUUUUUAAGAUAUCUUAUCAAUCUUUUUUAUUUGAAACUGUGUGAUGCUGUAAAUUGAAGUAUAUUCUUGUCAUUUCCGGCAUUUUCUUUUGGUUGGUUGCAGAAACAACCAAAGUUUUGUUUGAGAUUGUUUAACCCUAAAAGAAAAUCGUAGGACAAUGUUAUAAUUGUCUUUGUUCUGGUGGUAUAGAGAAAUAUAUGAACUUAAAGAGAGAUUAGCUUCUAUAGAGGCCAAAGUAGAUACGCUUUUUUCAAAGCAGUCGGAUGCUCAAUCUUCAAAGGUCAUGAAUCUAUUUCAAUCCCUACACAUUUAGUUCUAAUUUCUAAAAUACUUAUUGUAUGUGAUAUUUUUUUAAAUUGUUUCUUAUCUAUGUGAUGAUGCUUUUCAUAAUGUAGGUUCAAGAUGCUAAUGGUAGAGCUGAUUGCGACACUCCAGGAGAAAGUGAAUUUUGACUGUGGAGCCAACAUUUAAUUGUAAGGUAACUAAUUCGUUAUAAAGUUUACACAAUACAUAUAAUUCCAUAUCUUCUUUCGCAUACCUUGUCUAUAGUUAUGCUGUUUUAACUUUUAAGUUUGAUGGGUAUUUUUGUAUUUUGUUAUGUUGAGGAGUUAAUUGUAUAGUUCCUUUUUUUUUUUUGAGUGUAUAGAAUCUCUAUUUUGCCCUUUUGUUCUCAGUGUGAGCACCAUCUUUUGCCUUUCUACGGAGUGGUCCACAUCGGCUACUUUGAUGAACAAAGUGGGUCUGGUAUAGAUCGAGCCCGCUUGCAAUCUUUGGUUUAUUUCUAUGGGUCCUCUAUGUUUUCUUCAAAGUACAAGUUUGGUCAUUCUAUUCUACAAACAAGUGAAGUUAUUUUCAGCUGUAUUGUUAGAUGGUGGACAUAAUCAUCUAGGAUUGUUUAGAGGUUGUUUAGAAUCCAAUAUGGUUUGCAUGGUAUCAUUUUGCCUUCCUUUCGUCACCCAUGCUCAUCGCCCAUGCUUUGUCCUGCGUUAUUCUUGAAGUGCUUGAAAGGACAGAGGGAGGGUUAAGGACAACUCUGCAAAUCUUAAUCAAAAACAAAGUUGCAAGUUGGGAAAAUAAGAAAAAUAAAAAAAAAAAAAAACAGAAAAAGAGAAACAAAGAUGAAGAGUACAAAUUAAUGAAAAGUACAACACAAGUAGAGGAUAAUAUGAAGCAAGUUACACCCAAGCAUUGCAGGAGGGGGUCCAUUCUCACGUAGGACAUGGUAUUCAACAAGUUGGUGAUAUCCAUAUAUUGUGAUUUUUUCCCCUAAAAUAUUAGAUUUUUUGUAGUUGUUGAAUAUGUGGGUCGUGAUUAUCGGUUGACCAAUGAACAUUGGUAGGUUGAUAUUUUGUAGGUUAUAAUAUCACGAGUCUUUACAAAUAUAUGCUUUGAUAUUGAAAUUUAUUCUGUUUUUUCCAAAUGAAAUGUUCCACUUCCAUGUACAGUGUUCAGAAUCUAGUUUCAAGCUUUAUAUGAGUUCUUUGUGAAUUUGAUCUGUGUUUCAUACUGAGCUCACAUUUGAUUUUUUUUUUUUUUUACUUUCUUCCCUAUGGAGAACAUGUGAAUUCAUUGUGUAUUUAAUAACUCAAUCUGAUUUUGUUCUGACAUAUAAAUUCUUUUUGGCAAGUCUAUUUGGUCUUGAUCCAUCUAUCCUAUAGUUCUUGUAGUUAAAUCUUCACAAUGAUGUGAUUGAUUUCAACUUUUCUGUAUAUACCUGUACGUGCAUCAUCUACUUAGACUUUUCUUUCAAAAUGACGACGCUUAUGAUCCAUGUUAAUUGCUAUUAUGUGAAUAGUACUUGAACACAAGUACUAUGCAAACAGACCUAAUUUCAGCAGGCUUUACAAGAUAAGGAAAUGGCUCUUUUAUUUUGUGAUCAAUUUACUUAUGGAACUUAACUGAUAUUCAUGAAUAUUACCAUCUAUUAUUACGAAAGAAAUAAUGAUAAAAUCAUCUACAAAUUCUGUAGAAAAUUCUAUUAUUUUGAUAGCACCAUGUCAAGUUUAUAUCAAAUCGAUCUAUCUCAUAUGUGACUCUCUUCAAAUAGGACAUCUACAAAAGUUUUGUGGAGUUACAAAACAGAGACUCAGCGAAUCAAAUUAACCUCUUACUUAGGAAUGGGUUGCAUGAGGUUGUAAGUGUGGCGUUUUUUAUUUCAAUGGAAGCCAAAUAUUUUGGAGUUAUUAGGUGUUCUUUGAAUGUCGGCUGAACCAUUUAAUUAAGUGCACUCACUCUGUAAUCAUCACACUUGGUGUGUUUGGCUAAUAUAGGAAAGCCAGAGCUCAAAUGUUGGCUGAUAUCCUGAUCUAUCUCAUCUCAAUAAAUUCUUGUCAUUACUAUUGCUAUGCACUUUUGUGAUGAUUAACACUGACUAUUUCUUGUUGAUAUCUUCGACAUGUACAAUUAUGUCACCUGAAAUGAUUAUCUACGCCAAAUCACUUCCGACAGUCUCUAAUUGGCAAAUAGUGUUCUUCAUUCUUCGAUAUGUACAAAUUAGCUUAACUAGAAUGUAAUUAGAUAUGUAGUCAAGGCAAUUAAACUGAUUACAUUUUUAAACUGAUUACGUUUUGUAGUGUUUGGUUUGAAAGGAAAAAAAAAAGUAGUUUUUCAUCAAUAUUUAUUUGGUUUGAAAGAAAAAAAAAUGAAAAUGUGCUCUAUAUGCAAGAAUAUUUAACUUUUUUGUUUGGUCCCUAAUUAAAAGAUGGUUUAGAAGUCUUUUGAUUUAAUUGUUUCACUAACUUGAUUUUUUUUUUUUUUUUGCAGGGAUUUUCAAAAAAAGGAAGGAUUGGUGUUUAAUUCGGAGUGAAUUCAUAAAAUAAGUUGAAGAACUUGUAGAAAACUUUGAUUUCAUAUGGAUUUUAUUUCUUUCAUAUUGAAAACUUCUUUGAAUAAAAUUUUUGAUUGACAAUUCUAUUUUUACUCUGCAAACUCCUAUUUGAUUAAAUGAUUUGGCUUCUAUUGUUUGACAAUUGUCGUAUGUAAUCAAAUUUAAAUUUGUUUGAAUAAUAAAUUUGUUCUUAUUUCUCAAUUUAAAGAGUCUUAAAUUUUUGUCUAGUUUUUUUUAAUUGUAUGUUUUAUAUUUUGAAUUGGAUUCGCAAGAAUUACGAAGCCGAUGAUAUAAAUUUACUAAUUUAUACUAAUGCUUUUUACUAUAUUUAGUAACGGUCGGAGAAGCGUUACUAAAAUUAUUAUCUUCUCCAAUGGUUGUAUAAACUGUCGGCAAAGACUUUUAGUGACAGAGAUCUAACAGCGGUUAUAAAAUUUUCUCCGACGGUUUUACAAAUGUCGGGAAACAUUUUCCCAGCGGCUCUAGAGACUUUUCCCAGCGGUUUCGACCACUUCUAAAUCUUAAUUUUUUUGUAGUGAUCUUUUCUAUUGAAAUUUUCGCUCUUUAAGAAUGAGUCUUCUUGAAGUGUAGUUUGAACUUCUCUAUUGGAGCGCAUAGAACUUUCCUUCCGCCUAUAAAAUCUUUUAAUUGCAUAUUAGUUUUCUUGUAGUUCGAAUUUUUCCUUAGCUAUCUAAUAUUUGAUUGACAUUUGUUUUGUGAUAAAAAUUAAUUUUGACAUUUAUUUGUACUCAUAACACUUUUGAGAAUAUAAUAGGCUUUUAUAUUCAGAUUAUUUAAUGUUUUUUGGAAUGUCGGGCUCUUAGUUUUUAUUGUCUAUGCAUUAUAUAUUUUUUGAAGCUUUUGUAGCAAUUAAUUAAAUAUAAUUUUUAAUGAUAAUUUAAUGCCUUUUAUAUUUAGUGGCAAUUUAUGUUAUAUUUGUCGGUAUUUAUGAUUAUUGUUAAAUAUUUUAUGGGCAAAUAUAUUUUGUUUUUAGUGGCAUUUGUAAUUGUCGGUAGAGAAUAACUUUUAGUGGUAAUUAUUUUACUUUUUAUCCUAAGACUUUUAGCGACCCCAUUUAUAAUAGCAAUUAUUAUAAUUGUCGGUAAGGAGAGAAGCGGCGAUUAUGAUCGCCACUAAUUUAUAAGAUAAUUGCUGCUAAAAAAUAAUUUUGUUGGAGUGACAAGCACAUUUGAUGUGAGGCUUCACUUCACAUGAGACCAAUCAAAAGAGGAGGAAUCCAGUAGAUUGAACAGAGGUCAAGUUAGCUGCUAUAUUUUCAUAAAGGCCCCACCUUUGAACUAUUUCACAGUUUGAAGAUCCAAUUUGGAAUUAUCGACAGAAAAGAAUUAAUUUUAUGGGGUAAGUUCGAAAGUAAUAAACGAAUAUAUAAAUCAGUUUUUGAAACCUUAUAAUAAUUUUGUUAAUUAAUUAGUUGGGUUUUGUUUUAAUCUCAUAGUCAGUUCCAAACGUUGAUUACGUUUACUAAUUUGUGAGGAGGAUCUGGAUGAUCGGCUAAGUUGUUGAGUUGUUAGGAAAUUAAGUCUUUGGGAUUCGGUUGAAUAGUCAAUUUUGUUACAUCGAACUCUGUAAUAAAUUAGACUAUUAGAGGGCCUGGAAAUAGAUGAGACAAAGAGCUGGCCAAUCUGAGAUCUCCAUUACUUUCAUAAAUUAUUAUUAUUAUUAUUAUUAUUAUUAUUAUUAUUAUUAUUAUUUCCUCCCAUGCACUUGAUUAGUACUACAGGCAUCUAGCUAGUAUCCGAGCCCUCGUCUUAAUUAUCUAAGACCAUGCAUCUCUGUCUAUGGAUCUUCUAUUGCAACAGCUAGCGCGCUCCCACGUAUGUAACCUGUCUGUUGGUCACCGUCCGUCGGGAGAGAUAUGAUGAAAAUCAGAUCAAGGGCGGCGCGCGCGCGAUCCGGACUGCGUCGAGAUUAUCGGACGAUCAAAGAUACCAACCCAAAAAUGAAUAAAUAAAUAAAAACCGUCGAUUUUAUAUAUAUAUAUAUAUAUAUAUAUAUAUUAGUAGUAUUAUAAUAAUAUAUACUAUAGAGCUAGGCUAUUAUUACUAUCUAUAGUACCGGAGCUCCCAGUACUAGUAGUGUUCUGUUUUCGAUCUUUCGGACGUUCAAGAUCAACGAUCAUUACCGUUAAAAUGAUUUAUGGCGUAUUUAAAGUUUUUUAGAAAUAAAAUUUAUAUUUUUGUCGACAUAAUUCUUACUUUAAGAUCAAAACCAUUUUAAAUUUGUCAAUAUUCAAUGGCUAUUAUGACGAGUUUAGAGUUUAAUGGUGUAUGAAUAAUCUAAAUUUCUUCAAAUUUUGAAAAACUAAACUAUAUAAGAUUAAAGGUUAACAUUCAUUUUUUUUUUUUUUUUUUUUUUUUUUUUUUUUGAUCUUGAAUUUAAAAGUCCCGCUAAUACUCAAAUUUUAAAGAGUAUUCUCAAUUUGCCACGUCCCAUCCUUUGACAAUAAUUAUUUUACAAAGUAAACAAUUAAAAAAGCUAAAAAUUUUAUUGCUAAGCAUUCAUAUACCAUAAGAUGAAUAUUUAACGAUGUAGAUCGUUGAUUUGAACGCCGCUAAGAUCGAAAAAAUAACAGCUAUACGUACCGGAGCGUCCGAUACUAUAGAUAGUAUAAUAGUCUUAAUUCUAAUAUUACCUAUAUACUAUAUAUACUAGUAUAUAUAACUAUAUAUAUAUAUAUGUGCAUGCGGCUAGGAUGCUUAUGAAGCCGGAGAGCCUCCGUGCUUCCACUUUAUUUUUGAUGGUUCCGGACCUUUCGAUCGACGAUCGCUCCGCGUGUUAGACCCUCUAAUCAGAGUAUUGAAGUAUCCUAUGAAAAUAAAUUUUCGAUUUUUCAAUAUCGAUUCGUUGUUUAGUGUCCGAAGUGACUCAAAAAUCAACGGCUGAAAAUAAAAAAAUCCCUUUAAAAACAAAAAUCAUGAUAUACUGAUAUUCAAAUUUUAAAUGCAACCAGUUAUUGAUCUUGUUUUAUAUGGUACUCACAAAAAUUUUCUAUCACAAAAUUUCACUGUGAUUUGGAAUAUUUCUACAGCCGUUAAACCUGCAACCCCCGGCCUCACCACGGCCAUUAAAAUUAUUUGAUUUUGAGCCCCCCUCUCGAUCACUAGCAAAUAAUAUCUCGAAAAUCACAAAAAUUUAUUUUCCUAGGUUACUUCAAUACUCUAGAUCGAACUCUAACGGAGGCCCCGAUCAUUCCCGAUUCGAAAAGUUCGAAUACCUCCCGAAAACAAUUUGGAAGCAUAAGGGCUCCGUGCUUCCAUAAGCAUACCAGCCGCACUCAUCAUAUAUUACCCCAACGAAUUAGGCUGAAAUACUAUUAACUAGUAAAACCGCGCCUUUUUGCUAUCAAGUUUUAAGCCCCUGGAUGAAAAAUUGAAGGUCAAGGAUAUAUAGUCGUUAGAUGAGGUGGUUCCCCUAAGGGUUGAGUGGUCCCCACCUGGGUUAUAGUAUUUAAUCCAAUGGUUAGAAAUAAUGAAAAGAGUUGAUCCAAAGGCUAAAAAACUAGUAGCAAUAAUGAGAUUUUGCUACUAAUAGUAGCCCAGUCCAACUCUCUCUCUCUCUCUCUCUCUCUCUCUCUAUAUAUAUAUAUAUAUAUAUAGUCCGGCUAUGGUGCUUGUAAAAGCACCAAUGUCACGCCCCGCGACCAACCGCCAAUUUGGACCGGGUCGCGGCGCCGACGACAGACCGCCGAACGGACCGGGGUUUCCCCUGUACGCGGACAGAGUCUCCACUGUACGUUCUAGGGUCGCAAUCCAAACAAUGUACAUUACAAGGGUUCCAACCAAGAACAGAUAUCAAUCGAGAUUGCAUAAGGAAGUAUCACAACAUAACACAUCCUAUAUUAUUACAACAUUCACAUUAGAUUCAUUUAUUUACAUCACACUUUAUAUUACAUUCAACUUCCAAAGCAACUAAGUUAUUACAAGUUUAAUAUAUUUUGUUCCUUUCAUUUUCUAUACCCCUAAGCUACGUCGACGGGGUACUGCUAGCUCUAGUCUUUGGGGGUAUGGCGCUAUCUAUGGAGCUACGCCCUUGCCUCGCGCCGCCGCGCCGCUCACGUGUGAACCUGUAAAACCCCAAAACAACGUGGGGUGAGAACCAACUCCAUGGUUCCCAGUGGGUACUGCCACCCAAGGGAGGAGCUCGACCAACAGGUCCAAGGGAGGCAAAUACAAGUUAGUCCAAUAAAUAGAUAGAUAGAUAUGUAUAUCAUAAACAUGCAACUAACUUUACCUUGCUUUGCCUCACAACUGCAAUGAUGCCGUGCUAUAUGCAACAGGAAUAUAUGCAACAUGAAUAUAUGCAACAACUAGUAGAAUUAUUGAUUCUACAAUUAAUCUCACUAAUCUUAGCUCAUGUCAUCCAACUCUAAGGUUUCUACUACCUUAAGUUACACAUUUACCACUAGCCCUCAAGGUUCUAUCUACCUUAUUCCAGCUAGCCAUCCGACUCGGUCUCGAGUCAAUCAACUGCGGAUAGUCCGCGCUCUGCCCAGCUCGAGGUGAAGGACCCUGUCACGACGCACCUCAGCCUGCAAGCCAAGAACAACAUCGCCCAACGGUCCGCCCGAAGGUCCGUGCACCGUGGUCAGGGAUCCGCCAGAGGGAGAGGAAUAUAGCCGCAUACAACCAUAGCCGAGACCCCUGAUAGGGAGAGGAAUAUGCCGCAUACACCCUAGCGCUCUUUGUUCUUGCUUAAUCACAAUCCUCAAAGUUCUUCCGGUGGGAGAGGAACAUGCCACAUACACCCGCGGUCCAAGAACUAUUGAGUUCACAAGUCUCAGGAUUCCGGAAUCCACUUCACAAGUCAAGGGUCCGUAUCCAACCCUAUGCUAUCGACCUAUCUAGGUCUAAUGCACUUUCCAUCCUAAGUCCAACUGACUCUAGGUCUAAUGCCUCAAUUUCACAACCUAGGUUUACCUUAACUCUAGGUUCAGUUCUCAACCUAUGUUCUUUAACACUAGGUUAGAUGCCACACACCUAGAUCCCGACUCUAGGUUCAUACUCAACCUAUGUUCUUUAACACUAGGUUAGAUGCCACUCGUUAUUUAUCCUAGGUUCAACAACACUAGGUUCGAUGUCAUCUAUGUCCGACCUAUGUUUAUUAACACUAGGUUCAAUGCCACUCGAUCUACUUGACGUCCUAUUGUCAUAUCGAGUACUAUAGAUAUCCACAUUUCAUCUCGCAUACAUUCUAUGAUGCCAAUAUGUAUUUAUUAUCUAGCAUGAACUCAUAAUGCUAAGUGCAACUAGCAUAUAUUCCAAAUACACACAUACAUAUCAUUUUACAUGGAUCUACUUAGCAUUUGCAUCAUAUUAUUAACAUGCAUUAUUUACAUUUAUAUGCAUCAUCUAUAUGCCUCAUUUACAUUCAUAUGCAUCAACGUGGAUUCUUAAUCAUCUUAGACAUAAAGGGCGACCUAGUCGCUUCGGUAAACACAACCCACCUUAACUCGCGUUCCGAUUGCUCGUCGACACUUGCAAUCGGCCUCCCGCGGCACUCGGCACCCGUUUGGGCCCGAUCUCACAGUUGCUCUCCAAGAGCGCGUCGCUUCGCCGUUUCAAGUGCUAACGAUCUUCGCCUUGCCGUUACGAUGCUCGGGACCCAAUUUCACGAUUUAUGGAUGUCGCCUCGGCCCUCCAGGCGGAAACGAAGCUCCAAGCGUCCGUUUCUUUAAUAACUUUGUAACGGCUCGUCGGAUUGCCGAACCGUCUUCGCUGACGUGUUUCGUUACCUAUCAAUUAGGUUUACAGAGGGUUAUUUGAGAUCAAACCCAUCUAUUUACAAAAAUCCCAUUUUUGAUGCCCUAGAUGCUACUAUUGCAAAAUACCCCAAAUCGAUCUCCGAUUCAUGCAAUAAAUAUUUAUCUAGCAUCAAAGGAGCCUAUGAAAUUCACUUCUAGAGCAUUUAGACCUAUUUCUAGAGAUCUACCAUAAGAGGGUAACAAAGCUUACCUCUCUAGAUUCGCUCCAAGCACGAGAAAGACGAAGGAGAGGAUGAAGAUCUCCUUCUUGAUCUUCUUCUCCUUCUUCUUCUUCUUCUUCUCUUCUUCUCCUUCCUCUUCUUCUUCUCUUCUUCUUCUUUUGUUUAGAGAGAGAGAGAGAGGGAUGAAACGGUGAGGGAAAGAGAGAGAGAGGUGUUCUAACCCUCUCUAUACACUUAACCCAUGCAACAAUUGCAUAAAAAUCUCCCAACAAGUCUCUUUUUGCAACAGCCCGAACUGGGCAUUUUCGGGGUUCGGGGACCGGUCUCUGCAUGAGGGACCGGUCCCUUAGAGAUCGGUCUCUCUGCCUGGGACCGGUCCCAGAGAGACCUCCAGCCCAGACUUAGCCAAUUUUCAGCUUCGUCCGUUUUCGCUCGUUUUCAUUCAUUUGACCUCCGAUUCGUCUCAAAUCGAACCGAGACUAUCCAAACAUGUUUUCAAACAUGUUUUCAUCAUCUUUCCAUCCUCGCUAAUGCCGGAUUUAGCUCACGGCCCAAGUUAGCCUUUCGGGUUCCGUUUUCGUGCCUAUGCGCACCGAAACGCCCGAUUGCUCUAGAACUUCACCGAACAUUACCGAGACAUUUCAAAUGGCACUCCCAUCGAAUGUACACCGUAACUUCAUAGUUUUAGAAGUCCGGUACCUUACAACCAAGCUCUUGGUGCUUGUGAAUUUUUUACCGUUAGAUCUACGCCUUUGAUCAUCACCCAUUAGAUUAUGCUAUUGAACCAACCACCUACUCAACCCUAGGGGGCCCACAUCAUCCUAACCGCACAUCUCUUAAUCCAAUGGCCAAAAAUCUACAAGCACCAAUAACUUGGUACUUUUAAAAGCAUAGGAGCUCAAUUAUAUAUAUAUAGAAUUAGGCUGGAAUACUAUUAAUAGUAAAACGGUCUUUUUGCUAUCAAGUUUUUAACCCUUGGAUGAAAAAUUGUAGGGUCAGGAUGAUAUUAGUCGGUUAGAGUUGAGUGGUCCCUCUAGGGUUGAGUGGUCCCCACUAGGUUAUAGUAUUUAAUCUAAUGGUUAGAAAUAAUGAAAAGAGUUGAUCCAAAGGAUAAAAAACUGGUAGCAACAAUAGGAUUUUGCUACUAAUAGUAGCCCCAGUCCAACUCUCUUUCUCUCCCUCUCUCUCUCUCUCUAUAUAUAUAUAUAUAUAGAGAGAUGACUGAGAGAAUGAGGGAGAGAAUAGGUACUAUUUGUAUUAAUAGCACGCAAGUCAUUUUGUGCUACAGUUAUUUGGGCAUUGGGAUUAAGAGGUUGUGUGUUAGGAUUGAUGUGAGGCCCUCUAGGGUUGAGUGGGGUGGUUUGGAUAUGCAAUAGUAGGGAUUAAGGGUGAAUAAUGAAUCAAAAGGGAUUGAAUCUAACGCGGAAAAUUGGUACACAAGUGCUUUUUCGUGCUAUUAAUAGACAUGUUAGCCGGACGUAUAAUAUAUUAUAAUAUAUAUGAUAUAUAUAUAGUAUUAUAUAUAUAUAUAUUUAUUAUAAUAUAUAUAUAUAUAUAUAGUGCGUAUUGGUAUGCUUAUGGAAGCACGGGAGCAAUCGAUGCUUCCAAGUUGUUUUCGAUGUUCGGGAUUUCAAUUGAUGAUCGGCUCGUUAGAUUUGAUCUAGAGUAUUUGAAGUAUCUAGAAAAUAAAUUUGCGAUUUUUCGAUAUAUUUGCCUAGCUGAUCGAAGUGGCCUCAAAAUCAAGGCUAAAAAAUAAAAUAAUGUAUGACAAUAUGAUUGAAUAUGACAUUAAAAUUUAGAUCAGUUAUUAUCUUGUUUUUAUGAUGGUAUAAAGAUAUUUUCUAUCAAAUUUAUGUGAUGUUGGAUAUUUCUACACGUUGUAAACUUUGACCAACGUCACCCAGACUAUUUUUAAAUUAUUGAUUUUGAGCCCUUCGUCAGUAGAAAAUGAAUAUUGAAAAUCACAAAAUUUAGUUUCUAGGGGUAUUCAAUACUCUUAGAUCAACUCUAAAGGCAGCCAGCGUCGGAUUCGAAAGAUUCAACUCGAAAACACUUAGAAGCACGGAGGGCUCCUGACUUCAGAUUCAUACCAAGCCCACUCAUAUACUAUAUAUAUAUUUAUAUAUUGAAUUGACGGUCUAUGUUUUAAAAGUAACAAGUCUUCAAUUUCGUGCUUGUAAGUUUUUGGCUUUGGAUUAGGAUGUGCGGGUUAGGAUGAUGUGAGGGGCUCCUGGAAUUGAGUGGGUGUGGUUGGUUUAGUAGUAUAUUACGGGCAAAAAUAUCAAAGGGUAGGAUCUACGGCUAAAAAAUUUACGAAGUACCAAGUGUUGGUACUUUUAAAAGCCACCAUAGUUUGGCUAUAAUAAUUAUAUAUUAUAUAUAAUAUAUAUAUUAUAUUAGCAUGAGGGCUACGUAAUACUCUUAUGAGUAUAAGCCCCCCUUUGUACUACAUAAGUUUCUGAACCAUUUGGAAUGAAGAGAAUGUGCGGUUGGAUAAUAGGGGUCCCAGUUAAGUUUAAUAAUGGCAGUCCUAGCUGGUUGAGUGGGUGGGAUUGUGGAAUAGUAUGAUCUAACGAGUGAAAUGUUCAAGAGAGUAGAUCUAAACGGCGAAAAAUUAUAGAGUAGAUAAGCGAAUAUACUCAUGAAGAGUAUAAGUAGCGGACAUUAUAUAUUAUAUUAAUAUAUAUAUAUAUAUAUUAUAUAUAUAUAGGAGAGAGAGAGAGACAAAUGAAUCAUCUCGAGCAGCAACGUGAGAGAGAGGAGAGAGAACGAGAGAAAUGAGAUGAGAGAUAUGAGAGAAAGAUUGAGACGUACACUGCGCCAGUACAUCGGUGAUUCGCGGAAUAUGUAUAUAAAACCUCGGACUUCCGAAUAGUAUUCUAGUCGGCGUGGAUGCUUCCUCAGGGCAGAGCGUCCAAGUAGAUUCACACUAUGAAAAACAUCGAGGACGAGAGAUGAGAGAGAUUGGACUGGGUAUUAGUAGCAAAAAUCCUUGUUGAUACUAGUUUUUUUACGCAUUUGGAUAACUCUUUUUGAUUAUUUCUAACACUGUUCAUUAAAUACUAUAAUCCGUGAAGGGACAAUCAACCCUAGGGCGGACCAUUCAACUCUAACGACUACUAUCAUCCAUGACCUCCAAAUUUUUAUCCAAGGAAUUAAAACUUGAUGAAAAAAGAGCGUACUGUACUAUUAAUGUUUCCCAGCCUAUUCAUAUGUAUAUAUAUAUAUAUAUAUAUUAUAUAUAUUAUAUAUAUAUAUAUUAUAGUGAGCAGUACUAUGUUAAUCGGAGCACGGAGCUUCGUGCUUCCAGUCGUUUUCGAUGUUUGAGACUUUCGAGAUCGUCGAUCGGCUCAAGUAAACUUGAUCUAGAAGGUAUUUGAAUAGCUAGCUAGAAAAUUAAGAUUUUAUGAUUUUGAUAUCUUUGCCUAUGUGACGAAUGGGGCUCAAAAUUUCAACCGGCUGAAAAUAAAUCUUAACAAUAUGUGAUAUUAUGACAUUAAAAUUGUAAUCAAAGAGAUAUUGAUCUUGUUUUAUCAUAGAUAUAAAGAUUUUCUAUCAAAUUUCAGUGAUUGGAUAUUUCUACACCGUUUUAAUUGAAAACGGCUCAACUACGGCCUAUUGAAAUUUGACUUGAUUUUAAGCCGCAUUCGAUCACUUAGGCAAAUGAUAUCAAAAAUAAUAAAAUUUAUUUUCUGGGUAUCCAAUACUCUAGAUCAGAUUACAGAGCCAGAUCGCUGCAUUCGGAAAGUCGCAGAUCGAAAACAAGGUGGGAGGCACCUGGAAGGAAAUCCGUGCUCGAUAGACUGGGGCCCGCAGAGAACCAGAUAGCAUGCAUAGUCUUGUAAGUGCAAUUAUAUAUAUAUACUAUCUAUAUAUAGAAUCUAUAUAUGAGUAGAGUAGAAUAGCUUGUAAAAAGUGAUCAACAAGUGAUCUUGUGUGUUUUUAGCCUUGGAGGGGAGGUGUGAGGGUUGAGUGAUGGUGGUAGGUGGUAAUAGAGUGGGUGGCUAGCGGUGGAAUAGUGUUUGAUCCAAGGAUAUUAGCUAAUAAAAAGUAGAUCCAAUGGGCUAAAAACACACAAGUAUCACGUUGCGGUGAUACUUGUAAAGUAAUUCUAGCCUACUUAUAUAUAUAAUAUUUAUAUAUAAUAUAUAUAUAUAGCGUUGAGGAUACAUAUCUAUCGGAGCGAACUUCCGUGCUUCCACCUAACAUGUUUGAUCGAUCUUUAGCGACUUUCGAAUCGUGAUGGCUUGUGUAAAACUUGAUCUAGAGUAUUUAGAGUAACCCAGAAAUAAAUUUUAUUAUUUUUGAAUAUUCAUUUGCCUAGUGAUCGAAUGGGCUUGAAAUAUCAACAAAUUUCAAUGUCGUAGUGAGCCGUUUUUGAGUUUAACGUGUAGAAAUAUCCAAUCACGUUGAAAUUUUGAUAGAAUUUUUUAUAUAUAUAAAACAAGAUUCAUAUCUUUGAAUUUAAAAAAUUUUAAUUAUCAUAUUAUCACAGUUUUGUUUAAGAUUUUUAUUUUCAGCGUUGUUUUAUUGGCCCCUUCGUUCAUAGGCAAAUAGAUAUCCGUAAGUCAUAAAUUAUAUUUGCUAGGGUACUUCAAAUACUCUAGAUCACGGUUCUAACGGAGCGAUCGAUGAUUCGAAGUCGGCAGACAAUCGGAAUGAGCGUGGAGCACGGAGACUCGUGCGUUUCCGUUAGUAUAGUAGCCCUCGCCUCUGAUAUAUAAUUAUGAUGAUAUAAUACUAUAAUUAUAUAUAUAUAUAGAUCAUAUAUAUAUAAUAUAUAAUAUAGAGUUAGGGCUAGAUACUUGUAAAAGAUAUAAUGACGAAGUCGUUACUUCGUGUUGUGUUUUAGCCUUGGAUGGAGAGAUGUGACGGUUGGAGUAUAGGUGGUAGGUGGUGCGGAUAGGUGGUGAGUAGAGGAAUAGUGUUUUAAUCCAAGGCUAAUUAUAUCAAAAAGUUAGAUCGAAAUGGCUGUCAACGCUAAUAGCACCAUGAUAAGUGAUUACUUGUAAAAGUAUCAUACGCUCAACUCCCAUAUAAUAAUAGUAUUAAAUAUUAUAUUGAGCACGCAUGACAGAGGCUAUGCAUGCUAUGCUUGGUCUCUGCGGAGGCCACGUAGGCAUUAAUUUGAAGACAGGAAGAGUAUUAUAUAGGGCCUUUUUUUGCAAAUAGCAUCACAAGCAAUUUUUAAUUUUAAAAUUGUUUCUAGUCAAACUUAAAAUUAAAAUGGCCUGUUCUGCACUGCAGGCGCCAGUUCAAGCGCACGCGCGGGAGGGCUGGCGGCCAGCAGAUUAAUUUGAUCGGUGAAUCAAUUACGACAGUGUUAAACCGGUGAAUUGGGUUCCGUAUUUUUUACUGUAUUUUUUUGAUAUUGAAAAUGGAUAAGGGUAGCGAUGUCAAUAGGUAAUGGAGUAUUCGCUAUAUUAUCGAAUGCAACCCGAUAAAUUAUAUAUAUAUAAGUNNNNNNNNNNNNNNNNNNNNNNNNNNNNNNNNNNNNNNNNNNNNNNNNNNNNNNNNNNNNNNNNNNNNNNNNNNNNNNNNNNNNNNNNNNNNNNNNNNNNNNNNNNNNNNNNNNNNNNNNNNNNNNNNNNNNNNNNNNNNNNNNNNNNNNNNNNNNNNNNNNNNNNNNNNNNNNNNNNNNNNNNNNNNNNNNNNNNNNNNNNNNNNNNNNNNNNNNNNNNNNNNNNNNNNNNNNNNNNNNNNNNNNNNNNNNNNNNNNNNNNNNNNNNNNNNNNNNNNNNNNNNNNNNNNNNNNNNNNNNNNNNNNNNNNNNNNNNNNNNNNNNNNNNNNNNNNNNNNNNNNNNNNNNNNNNNNNNNNNNNNNNNNNNNNNNNNNNNNNNNNNNNNNNNNNNNNNNNNNNNNNNNNNNNNNNNNNNNNNNNNNNNNNNNNNNNNNNNNNNNNNNNNNNNNNNNNNNNNNNNNNNNNNNNNNNNNNNNNNNNNNNNNNNNNNNNNNNNNNNNNNNNNNNNNNNNNNNNNNNNNNNNNNNNNNNNNNNNNNNNNNNNNNNNNNNNNNNNNNNNNNNNNNNNNNNNNNNNNNNNNNNNNNNNNNNNNNNNNNNNNNNNNNNNNNNNNNNNNNNNNNNNNNNNNNNNNNNNNNNNNNNNNNNNNNNNNNNNNNNNNNNNNNNNNNNNNNNNNNNNNNNNNNNNNNNNNNNNNNNNNNNNNNNNNNNNNNNNNNNNNNNNNNNNNNNNNNNNNNNNNNNNNNNNNNNNNNNNNNNNNNNNNNNNNNNNNNNNNNNNNNNNNNNNNNNNNNNNNNNNNNNNNNNNNNNNNNNNNNNNNNNNNNNNNNNNNNNNNNNNNNNNNNNNNNNNNNNNNNNNNNNNNNNNNNNNNNNNNNNNNNNNNNNNNNNNNNNNNNNNNNNNNNNNNNNNNNNNNNNNNNNNNNNNNNNNNNNNNNNNNNNNNNNNNNNNNNNNNNNNNNNNNNNNNNNNNNNNNNNNNNNNNNNNNNNNNNNNNNNNNNNNNNNNNNNNNNNNNNNNNNNNNNNNNNNNNNNNNNNNNNNNNNNNNNNNNNNNNNNNNNNNNNNNNNNNNNNNNNNNNNNNNNNNNNNNNNNNNNNNNNNNNNNNNNNNNNNNNNNNNNNNNNNNNNNNNNNNNNNNNNNNNNNNNNNNNNNNNNNNNNNNNNNNNNNNNNNNNNNNNNNNNNNNNNAAUUUAUUUUUGUUUAUUUAUACAAUAUAUAAAAUAUUUAAUAAUUUUUAUUCCUUAGAUCUUCAUCCAACGGUAUAGAUUUUUAAAACCCGCUGGGUUGGAUGAAGAUCUAAGGAAUAAAAAUUAUUAAAUAUUUUAUAUAUUGUAUAAAUAAACAAAAAUAAAUUUUAUAUAUAUAUGUAUAUAUAAUUUAUUCGGAUUUGAAUUCGAAUAAUAUUUCGGAUAUCCAUACCUAUUGACAUCCCUACUCCUUAUUCCACUUUUCAAUAUACAAAAAAUACGUAAGAAAAAAUACGUACUAAAUACGGUGAACCAUUUACCGUGUUCACCGCACGGUGAAUAGUUCACCGUGUUCAACUUAACACAUGGGCCCAGCCCUGCCCGCGUGGCGCUGACGUGGCGCCUGCGUGGCAGGCCCAGAAUUAUUUUUGCAAAUUAAAUUUUGACAGAACUAUUUUUAAAAUAAAAAUUUGUUAGGGAUCUAAAUGCAAAAAAAAGCCUAUUAUAUAGUAAGCGAUCGAGUCCCACUCACAUCGAACUACCCGAUAUAAUCAAUCAAUUUUGAUCUCCUUUUUUGGGUCUGUCUGUCUUUUUGCGAUCAUCCGGGAACUACCAAUUAAUUAAGGGAGAGAGAUCAGAUGGAGGAGGAGGAGGAGGGGACGGGCCGCGAAGGGUUGCUGGAGAAAGAGGAGGAGAGCUGCGGGCUGCAGGUGCGGGGGCCGGGAUGGCGGCGGCGAAGGCAGCUGAUGAUGAUCUGGGAGGAAGGGAAGCGGGUGGGGCAUCUGGCGGGGCCGAUGGUGGCGAUGGGGCUGACGCAGCUGCUGGUGCAGGUCGUCUCCAACAUGAUGGUCGGCCACCUCGGCCAGCUCGCACUCUCCAGCGCCGCCAUCGCCACCUCCCUCACCAACGUCACCGGAUUCAGCCUCCUCGUACGUCAAUCUCCUCUCCUCUCCUCUCCUCUCACCUCUUACAGCUGCUUCAAUUCGUGACUCUUAACUUAAUUCAUCCAUCCAUCAUAAUAAUAUAUAGUUCGUCGACUCUUCAUCCAUCCAUCCAUCCAUCAUAAUAUAUAAUAGUCCUCAUGAAUUUUCCUAUAUAUAUAUAUAUAUACAGAGUACAUAGUAAACAAAAAAUAAUAAUAAUAAUAAUUGGAAUCUAGAAAUUAGUAUGUGAGUUUUAAUGAACCAAUUUCGUAGUACAAUUAGUUUAUUAGUAUAUGAGUUUUUUCAUCGUUCUUCGGCGCGUUAAUUAUUUAGUUAUCAUUCUAGUGUAACUUUUGCAUUUAAUACUAUAUAUACGAUCGAUAUGCAUUUAUCUUUUAUUUACCAGAAAAUUUUAGAAACAAAACCUCUUAAAAGUUAAUAAACGCGCGAGAAAAAGGGUUUUAAUGAGCGGUUGAUGUGGAGAUAGAGGUUUAAUUAAUUCCCUGAAAUGAGUUUUGACCUCUUCUGGCUUGGGAUGCAAGCAUACAACUCCAACCCACAAUUAAUUUGCCCGACCAGCUUGUUAGGUCAGAUCGGGUAGCUGUCCAGAAGAUAAAAGCCACGUGGCACUAGCACCACAUUAUCAUCCUUCCCUAUCAAUAAAAAACUAAUAUAGAGUCUUAGACUUCGUGACUAACAAAUAAUAUUUAAUAAUUAAUACCAUACGAUAAAAUAUAGUAUAAUAUUUAAAAAAAUAUAAAAUAUUUAAAUAAUAUAUUAUAAUAUAGAAAUUUAUUUUUUAUAUUUUAUAGUCGGUUUACUGUACAAUAAGCACCUCAAAAAAAAUUUAUUGGAUGUGUGACAAGAUCCCAUUGGUCUAUAUCUUAAACCUAAUACGUACCAGUAAUAAUAGGAAAUUUGUAAAGGAGAAAUUGUUUUAUACACCAGGUGUCUAAUUAUUUUUUUUGCACUAUAUUUGUAAGGGAAGUGAAUUCUCGAAAUCCAGGAAUUAGACUUCGUUGGGAAUCGACUGAUUAUCGAGUGUGUAAGCUUCGGAAAGUCCGAAUGUGGUAGUAAUGCGUAAAGUGCAUUAAGGAAAGGUCUGCGAGAGCACCAGUGCAAAAGCUGCACUGGAGCAGAAAUGCACUCGGGGACCGGUCCCUAGCGAGGAGGGACCGGUCCCAUCGGGCUGGGCUUCGGGGGUCUCUGAUGAGACCGGUCCCUGGCAGGCAGGGACCGGUUCCCGAACGUUAGCCCAGCGAGAAUUAGCCGAAAUUUGGCUAAGUCCCGAGAACCCAGCUCUCGGGAACCGGUCUCUCAAACAGGGACCGGUCUCCCGGGGACCAGUCUCUCAGGCAGGAACCGGUUCCCGAACGCGAAAUCCCUUCUGCCUGGUUGUGCAGCUCUCGGGGACCGGUCUCCCCGACCUAGGACCGGUCCCUCACUGCGAAAAUGGCCCAGGAAGGGUUGUUUCAGGAAAUGAAAAGUUGAGGGGGCUAUCUGCAAAAUGGCCUAUAUGAGGGCUUGGGGACCCCUCUCUUCCUCUCAUUUGCUCUCUCUCCCUUUCACACUCUUUCCCUCUCUCUCUUUAGAAAGGAAAAGAAGGAAAAGAAGAAGGAAAGGAAGAGAAAGGAGAAGAAAGAAGAGGAGAGGAAGGAGAAGAAGUAGGAGAAGAAAAAGACAAAGGUGGAGAUCACCUUCCUCAUCUACUUCUUCUUCUUGGACUAAGCUUUUGAAGGUAAGCUUCUAGCCCUACAAUGGUGGAUUUCUUACAAUAGGGUUUUAUGGUUUAGAAAUGGGUCGAAUGGAACCUAUUGAAGGUUCGAGCUUGAAAUCGAAGCUCGCACCGCGGAUUUCUCCAUUGUUGAGACCUAGGGCUCAGAAUUGUGAUUUUGCCAAAUCUAGAGUUUUGAUCUAAUUUGAUGGGUCGCAAACCUAAUUGCUAGGUCUCUGAACACGUCGGCGAAGACAGUUCGUCGAUCCGUCGAGUAGGUGCGAAGUUAUCGCCUAAGGAGACCCUCGGAGCGUCGUUCUCGUCUGGAAGGCCAACGAGGCGUCGAAACGUCGGCGAAUCGCAUUCGAAGAGUCAUGGUAUCGCCACGAGGUGGGGAAGUGCCAUCCCGAAGCAGUCGAACUGCUUUCUAUGCCUGAGUACUAAUGUUGAUCAAUUACAUAUUGUGAUAUAGCAUUAUAGGGUGUUAAAUGUAAUUAUACAUAUCUUUGCAUGCUAGUGAUAGUUUGGGUUGGGGAUACAAUGAAUGAGAACCUAGUAUGCAUGAGUGGAAUACUAUGAGAUAGUUCGCCCCAUAUAUGAUGAAUAUGUCUAUGUGAAUAAGAACCUAGUGUAUUGGAAGCUAGUGUAUCAAGAACUUGUCAAGAGAACGAGUGGCAUCUAGUUAACAGUGAACCCAGGACGAGUGGCACUUAGUUAAUAUUGAACUUGAGAACUUUAGUGUGAUUGAGACACUAUGUGAUUGAGCAGAAGAACACAUGAUGUUAUAGUGACACCAAUUCUAGUUGGUUAGGGUGUUCCCAGUUUACGAGAUUGGAUCGAGCUCACUUAGCUUGUCUGCACCUAUGGAGGUAGCUCCUCACAGGUAGUGCACUCCGGAGUUUGUCACGCGAGGGGGCCAGUGUAGUGCCCUUGGACCAGUGUAGUGUCCGUAGGCGGUCUCGGGGUAGGUGAAUAGCUAGCCACCUCCCCUAUGAGACUUAGAGAUGUGAGACUGUGAGCGAACCUUACGUUCGCCGAGAGAUUGGGUAAUUGGAUGAAUGAUUUCAAUAUUGAGCAUGGUAGUAUGAUAGCCAGCCUUCUUACUAUGAGUCCCAUGCAUGCAUCAUAGUGGAUUGAGGCAUUGAUAGAUCAUAGUUCAUAGUUGCUCCUUACUAUUAAUGCUUUCAGUAUUACAUCUCUAUCUAUCUGCAUAUCUAUCUGUGCCUGCUUAGAUCUAGUGGGGAGAUCGGCAGAGUCGGCGGCCGAACCCACUGGGAACUAUUCGUAGUUCUCACUCCACCAUGUUGCAGGUCCGAGUUCGAGUGCCCCUAGUGAGGAUCGCGGCAAGAGCGUAGCGCCCUAGUGAUAUUAGUAGAGGUUUACUUUCCUUUAUGCAUUAGCUACACCCUGUACCUAUUUUGAAAGUAGAUGAUGUAUAGGGUGAGGAUUUUAAAGUGAUUGUACAUAUACUCUGGAAGAAUGUAAAAGAUGAAAUAAUUGUAUAAAGUUUAAUGAGUUAAUAGUUAAGUAUAUCUAUCUUUAUCACUUGUAUGCUUUACAUAUGUUGCUUGCUCUUGAUUGAUAGGCACUGUUUGUGCUCUCGUGGUUGUUGUAUGAUUGUGUAUGUAUUCAAGUUGUUUUCCUGGGAACUUGUUGUACACAAUCUAGCCGUUGGAGCCUUUGUCACGACCCAAGCUCCGCCAAUUUGGUCGGAUUCGAGCACGCGACAGACGCCGAACAGACAGUACCUCCCCUGUCCGCCCAAGGCUCCAACAACAAGUAUAAUGCAAGCAAAACCUCAAGGAGAAUUGCGAGAUAUACAAGGUUUGCACGAGAGAAAACAACAACUACAGUGAAAGCAUCGAAACUAAUUAAACAUCCAAUAUACAUGUCAUUUGAUUACAUUUGAAUCAAACACAAGUAGUUCAACACAUUUACAUUCAUUACAUUAUUUCUUGCAUUACCCAAAAUAAAAUUUACAUUACAUUGCUUUUACCUUACAAUUUCAACAUAGAAAAGUUGAAUACAUCAAGAGUAUGGUAUGCCUAUGUAACUCCGGGGUCGCUAUCUACGGCGCAACUCCCUUGCCUCGAUCCUCCGCCGCCCCGCUCGCGUACAGAUCUGCAGGGUUAGUGGUAAUGAGAACUAGAACGAAGUUCCCAGUGGGUUCGGCCACCGACCACGCCGAUUCGCCCACUAGGUCUAUUCAGGCAUAUGUAUUUCAAUAAAGAAGAAUAACAAACCAACUAAUGUACUUCUAAUACAAUGCCUGUAAGAAACAAUUCAUAGAUAGAUAUUCAUAUUCAAAUACAUGAUUACUAUGCAUGCAUGUCCUUUUUCACUUUCCUUUGGCCUUUACCCAAUUCAACCUGGGGUGCUCCUGGUUUACCCCAACUCACAGUCCACAUAUCCAUCUAAUGGGGGAGGCACAAGGCACUACCACCCGAAGGAUCUUCGCCGGGUACGUCCACCCGUGGUGCAUUUCUUCUCCGGAGUACACCGCUCGUGGAGGAGCGACCUCACACAAGCCGGAACCAAUACAUGUGAGUAUGAUCCCAUCCUCAAAUUUUGAGGAGGUAUGGCCAACCUGUCACAAUUCUCACUGUCUCAAUGUCGCUGAAUGGUUAUUACCUAUUCAUGCACAUACUGUCACUUGCCAAUGUCACGGUGGUCCUGAUGCCACAACACACAAUGUCACUUGGGUUAAACCUUGUUUAACUAUUCACUUAUCGAUGUCAAUCAAGUCACUAAUGUCCAUGUUGCCUUUGUUUACUACGGUCACGGUCAUUUCUUACAUUCACAUGCAUAUAGGGUCUUUCACUAUCUUUGUUCACAUGGAUCUAUAUCAUUACAAUAAUCUUACGCAGAUAAUUGUCACAACCAAUAUAUACUAUUCAUUACCCUACAUGCAAGAAUGCUAUAUAUCAACAUGCUCAAAAAGGGACAUAGACAUAGAAAGAGAUCCGGUAUUUCCGGAUAGCACCCCCCACCUUUAUGUGUCACAAGGAUACCACGGUUCCGAUUCCACGAUUUUUAGACUUGUUCGCCGCGAGCAACGACGAUCUGUACUAUUUCUGCUUCUUUUUCCAAUAUCUUCACGCACGCUCGUCGUAUCGCCGAACCGAGUGCACCAAUGCAUUUGUAGACCUACCAAUUAGGUUAAAAUGAAAUCAAAACCAAGUUUGAACUUCAAAAUCACAAAACCCUAAAUAUGGGUCCUUCACAACAUCACCUUCUCCAAUCAAGCCCCUAGCUUGACAAAACAUGGAGGAAAAGCCACCAUAGACCUCUCUAGAUGCUUCAACUAGAAGCAAAAAAUCCAAACCUAGCUCAAACUCAUAAGAACUCACCUUUGGAGUCCAAAGCUUCCCUUCAAAAGCCUUCCCUAGCUUGCUCUUCACCUUGGAGAGCUUCUUCUCCAAGCUUUUCUCCUCCAAACCCUCCUUGGUCCAAGCCCUAGAGAGAGAGGGAGAGAGAGAGGAGAGGUUUUUAGAGAGAGAGAGGGAAAGGUUUAUGUUGAGGUGUGAGGAAAUGAGAGCUAACCCUAACCCUUAGCUCUAUACAACCAUCUAAUUCAACAUUUGCACUUAAACCCCUCUCAAUUUCAUAUUUGCAAACAGCCCUCACUGGGCACUUUCGGGCUCGGGGACCGGUCUCUCCCCUUCAGGGACCGGUUCCCGAGAGCUGUCCUGCAACCUGCGCAGAAGGGGACCGUUCUCUCCCCGAUGAAACCGGUCUCGGGGGACCGGUCUCUCACCUAGGGACCGGUUCCCGAGAGCUCAGUUUCCAGGACUUAGCCGAUUUUUUCCUCUACUCGGUUUACCAACAUUCGGGAACCGGUCUCUCACCGAAGGGACCGGUCCCCUAGAGUAAAAUUCUGGAAAUUUUCCAGAAUUGCAGUUUCACUCUCUCGGAUCCCUUUAUACUUUAUAUAUAGGCUCCAAUUCACUUUUAGCCUAUAGUAACUCAUUCCUUUCUGCGCUCCGCUCGUUUUGACGGGACUCGACUCAACCUACGGGGUAGUGAUACGUUACAUUCCCCACCCCUUAAAAUUAUUUCGGCCGCGAAACUAAUUCACUCGUAAUUCAACAUCCAUACCUCAUCUUAGUUCCUCGAAGAGAUGAGGAUGACGUUCCUUCAUCACGUCCUCAAGCUCCCACGUUUCUUCUCUAUCGCCGUGUUCGCUCCAAUGGAUCUUAACAUACGAAAUUUCUCGAUUCCGUAGCUUUCGCACCUCCCGAUCAACAAUGUACGCCGGGAACUCCUCGUAGGCCAUGUCCUCUUGAAGUUCUGUCGGUAUAUACGAGAGAACAUGCUCCGGAUCGUGAACAUACUUGGGGAGAUUAGACACAUGGAACACAUCGUGCACCCCCGCAAGCCUCGGCGGUAAUGCUACUCUGUAGGCCACCGCGCCAACUCUUUCUAAGAUCUCGAAGGGUUCGACAAAUCGGGGACUUAACUUUCCCCGGACACCAAACCUCUUAACACCGCGCAUCGGCGAUACCUUCAGAAACACGCAGUCUCCAACCGCGAACUCGAUGUCCUUCCUUCGCUUAUCGGCAUAGCUCUUGUGCCUUGAUUGCGCCGUCACUAACCUUUGCCGGGCAAGACGAACUUUCUCCUAUGCCUCCCGAACAACUUCUGGGCCAAGAACAACUUUCUCGCCCACCUCGCUCUAAUGAAUUGGCUAGCGACACUUCCUUCCAUAUAGAGCUUCGAAUGGCGCCAUUGCAAUACUUUCUUGAUAGCUAUUGUUGUAUGCAAAUUCCGCCAUCGAUAAGUAAUCGUGCCACUCUCCACGAUAGUCAAGCACACAUGCUUGCAACAUGUCCUCGAGUAUCUGAAUGGUCCUCUUAGAUUGUCCAUCACUCUGAGGAUGAAACGCCGUGCUAAAAUCGAGCCGCGUGCCUAGAGUAUCUUGCAAGCUCCUCCAGAAAUGAGAAGUGAACCGAGGAUCUCGAUCUAAUACGAUCGACAUGGGAACCCCAUGUAGUCUCACUAUCUCGUCCAAGUGAACCUGGGCCAACUUAUCUCCUGACCACGUGGUGUGGAUCGGCAAAAAAGUGAGCCGAUUUCGUCAAAAGGUCCACAACCACCCAUAUGGCGUCAUGUCCAGCCUGCGAUCGGGGCAGCCCGACCACAAAGUCCAUCGCGACAUUCUCCCACUUCCACACGGGGAUCGGUAAGCUUUGCAGCUUCCCCGUGGAAAAACGACACUCGACUUUUACUUGUUGGCACGUCAAACAUUGCGCCACGAAUUCUCCGAUGUCCUUCUUCAUACCCGGCCACCAAUAAUGCAACUUUAAAUCCUUGUACAUCUUAGUGCCGCCCGGGUGAAUACUAUACGAGGAAUGAUGCGCCUCUUGCAACACCAUCUUACGAAUCUCAUCGUCCUUGGGUACGCACAAUCAGUUCCUGAAUCUAAGUGCACCAUCGGCUCCCACGCCGAAAUCACCGGCGCGCCCAUCACUAACAUCGUUCCACACCUUUUGGAGAUACGGAUCAUCAACUUACCGCUCCUUGAUUUGCUCCAACAAGGUCGGUCGAACUAUUAGUGCCGCCAAGAUAGUCGGAACUUCCGGCGCCACUACCUCCAAUCCAAACCACUGCAUUUCCUUAUGUAAUGCCGGCUGAUUUGUAAUCGUCGUCGCCAAGUUCUCAGCAAAUUUCCUACUCAGCGCAUCGGCCACCACGUUGGCUUUACCGGGGUGGUAUAGGAUAGUAAGAUCAUAAUCCUUUAUCAAUUCCAGCCAACGCCGCUGCCACAUAUUCAACUCUUUCUGGGUGAACAAAUACUUGAGGCUUUUGUGAUCGGUAUAUACCUCACAAUGCUCACCAUAUAGAUAAUGCCUCCAAAGCAUCAGCGCGAAAAUGACCGCCGCAAGCUCAAGAUCGUGGGUCGGGUAGUUCUUCUCGUAGCCUUUCAACUAGCGCGAAACAUACGCAAUGACUCGCCCAUUUUGCAUAAGAACACACCCAAGAUCGGUGUAAGAAGCAUCACUAUACACCAUGAAGCUCUCUCCCGGCGUUGGCAAAGCAAGUACCGGAGUAGACGUCAACUUCUUCUUCAACUCUUGGAAGCUUCGGUCGCAACCUUCGCUCCAAUCAAACCUUACUCCUUUGUUCGUAAGGUGUGUGGGAGGAGUGGUCAACUUCGCAAACCCCUCAACAAAACGCCUAUAAUAGCCCGCCAAUCCAAGAAAACUGCGGACUUCCGCCACGCUCGUAGGAUGGGGCCAAUCUCGAAUCGCCUCAAUCUUCCUCGGGUCCACCGAGAUCCCGCUCCCGAAUAUCACAUGACCUAAAAAGGUCACCUCCGGAAGCCAGAAUUUGCAUUUCUUGAGUUUAGCAUAAAGCUUCUCAUCUCGGAGUAUUUGCAACACGGUCCUUAGAUGUUCCUCGUGCUCUUCUUCACUCCGCGAAUACACCAACACGUCGUCGAUAAACACCACGACGCACUUAUCCAACAAUGGUCGAAAGACCCUAUUCAUCAAGUCCAUAAACGCUGUCGGGGCAUUGGUAAGCCCAAACGGCAUCACCGUAAACUCAUAAUGGCCAUACCGCGUACGGUACGCCGUUUUAUGCAGGUCUUUCGGUCGGAUUUUCAACUGAUGAUAUCCCGACUGAAGAUCUAUCUUCGAGUAUACCCGCAACCCCUGCAACUGAUCGAACAGGUCAUCUAUUCUUGGUAACGGGUACUUGUUCUUGAUUGUCACCUUGUUCAACUCGCGAUAAUCAACGCAGAGUCGAAGGGUGCCGUCCUUCUUCUUCACAAACAAUACUGGUGCUCCCCAGGGGGACACACUUGGCUUCACGAAACCUUUAUAAAGUAGGUCCUGCAACUGGGCCUUUAACUCUUUAAGCUCCACCGGUGCCAUUCUAUACGGAGCCUUUGAAACUGGCGCCGCACCGGAAAUCAAGUCAAUGUCGAACUCGACUUCCCGAUUUGGUGGUAGUCCCGGUAACUCUACAGGAAAUACGUCCGGGUAUUCACACACUACCCGAAUGUUCCCCAACUCCGGGCGCUCUUUUUGAGGGUCCACGAUGGUCGCCAAGUAAGCCUUGCAACCACCCUUGAUCAUCCUUUUCGCCCUCACCGUCGAUAUAGUCACCGCAAAACGCACGCCCUUACACGCUCGAUACUCAAACUCGUCUUGACCAGGCUCGCGAAAAGUGAUCACUCUACUGUCACAAUCGAUGCUGGCAUAGUACUUGGAGAGCCAAUUAACUCCCAAGAUAACAUCAAUGCCCCACAUCUGCUUAAGUACUAGCAAAUCCACCGGCAUAAUCCAGUCGCCGAUUUGAACCGGACAUGCUAGGCACUCGUCGUGGACUCUAAACGAGUGUUCCGGUGCGUUAACCCACCAAUAGUCAUAACUAUGUUCUAUGUCCAUGCCAUGUGUCUUAGCAAACGAGACAUCAAUGAAUGAAUGCGAUGCGCCCGUGUCAAAUAGCGCUCUUGCUCUAACACCAUUAAUCAAAAUAAUACCUGCCAUGACGUCGUCAGGUACGGCAGGCUGCUCCUCCACCUGAGUAGCGAAAACCCGUCCACUCCGUGCACGUGAUCCCUCCGGCUCUCGCGGUGAUGAAGCGCACCCAGCCGACAUGGCAGGUGGCAGUCCUGCGAGCUGUCGUGGAGCAUACUGAGCCGAAGCAGCUGACGAAGCCGGUGACGCGCCGCCCGGGCAAUCCCAUCUCAUGUGCCCCGCUUGGCCGCAUCGGAAACAUCUCCCGUCACGCUGAGGACAUUCACUCGGCCUAUGAUUCCCACCGCAAAUUACGCAUGGGUAGGAACUCAUCUGACUCCUUGUCUGGCUCCUAUCUCGCCGCCACUGCGAUCUAGGGUGCCGAGGGGGUCGCUUGGAACUCGACUGCCCCGCGGAACCACCAUCCGAUCACUUCUUAGACUUCUCCCUGUCCUUGUCCCUUUCAAACGCCUCGCGUUCCUCACGCGCAAUGGCGUUACCGCGCUCUAUCCAUAGCGCACGAUCAAGCACCUCUUCAUAGGUCUUCAGCCGAAGCGCCUGAACCAUCUUGAAUAUCUCCGGCCGCAACCCGCGCUCGAAGACCUCCGCCGGAUCUCGGUCACUAUGAACCAAGCCGGGAACGCAGUUAACCAUGUGCGAGAAUUCCCUUUCAUAUUCCCGCACCGUUUGGCUUCCCUGCCUCAACUUGCAAAAGUCCUCCUUGAUCUUCCGUUUGUCACUUUCCGGAAAGUACUCCAUUAGCAGAAUCUCCCGGAACGCCUCCCAAGUCAUAGUAGCCGGAUCCAAGGACCGACCACCCUUCACUCUCGUCCACCACGAUCGAGCCGGCCCCUCUAAACAGUGAGCCGCCAACCGAACCUUGUCCUUCUCGAGGGUGUAGAUGUCCUCGAAUAACGCCUCCAUCGUAGAAAGCCACGCCUCCAUCAACCAUGGGUCUUUCACAUCACCCACAAAGGUCGGAGGAUUAAACCGUUUGAAGGCCGUCAACACCGCCAACGACCGCUCCCGCUCGGCUUCAAGUACCUCCGGAAUAGGAGCCGAAGAACCUAAAGCUGUCGGAGGAAUAGCCGUCACCGGUGCCGCCGCCAUCGGCGCAGGUGAUAUAGGUGCAGGCGGGUCCUGAGGUACAGGUGCAGCCGCCGCCGCCUGUCGAGCCACCAACUCAUGGAGCUGUCCCAUUUGCUCCCCUUGCUGUCGCAUAGCCCCAGCCAAAGCUGCUACUUGGGCCCGCAACUCGCGAACUUCAUUAGAUCCAACCUGCUCUGGCACCUCAUCAGGCAAUGCCGGAGCGGUCCGUCGGGUAUAGCGUCUCGGUGACAUCUGUCCUGAAACGAAAUGCACACGUUAAUACUCGACAUUCAAGACUCUUACUCGUUUCCAAACAUCUACCCAAUCAAGCGAAAGCAAUCAAGUACGUUCACUUUCUACUCUCGGCAUUAUGUAGUCCUCCGCCCCACAUAAUACCUUGAAAGAAAACAACCGUCCCUUAAGUCCAUCUCUAUUUCCGUUUAGAGAAGUUCCAUAAGAACCCAAUCCAUUAGCCUUCGCAUAUCCAAGUCCACGUUAUACGUGUCUUAAUUCCUAAGGUCUCCGAUCCUAAGGUCCCUAAGUCCAUCCUAGACUUUUGCUUUCACAUUGCUCUGAUACCACCCUAUCUGUCACGCCCCAAGCUCCGCCAAUUUUGUCGGAUUCGAGCACGCAACAGACGCCGAACGGACAGUACCUCCCAUGUCCGCCCAAGGCUCCAACAACAAGUAUAAUGCAAGCAAAACCUCAAGGAGAAUUGUGAGAUAUACAAGCUUUGCACGAGGGCAAACAACAACUACAGUGAAAGCAUCGAAACUAAUUAAACAUCCAAUAUACAUGUCAUUUGAUUACAUUUGAAUCAAACACAAGUAGUUUAACACAUUUACAUUCAUUACAUUAUUUCUUGCAUUACCCAAAAUAAAAUUUACAUUAUAUCGGUUUUACCUUACAAUUUCAACAUAGAAAAGUUGAAUACAUCAAGAGUAGGGGAUGCCUAUGUAACUCCGGGGUCGCUAUCUACGGCGCGACUCCCUUGCCUCAAUCCUCUGCUGCCCCGCUCGUGUACGGAUCUGCAGGGUUAGUGGUAAUGAGAACUAGAACGAAGUUCCCAGUGGGUUCGGCCGCCGACCACGUCGAUUUGCCCACUAGGUCUAAUUCAGGCAUAUGUAUUUCAAUAAAGAAGAAUAACAAACCAACUAAUGUACUUCUAAUACAAUGCCUGCAAGAAACAAUUCAUAGAUAGAUAUUCAUAUUCAAAUACAUGAUUACUAUGCAUGCAUGUCCUUUUUCACUUUCCUUUGGCCGUUACCCAAUUCAACCUGGGGUGCUCCUGGUUUACCCCAAUUCACAGUCCACAUAUCCAUCUAACGGGGGAGGCAUAAGGCACUACCACCCGAAGGAUCUUCGCCGGGUAUGUCCACCCGUGGUGCAUUUCUUCUCCGAAAUACACCGCUCGUGGAGGAGAGACCUCACACAAGCCUGAACCAAUACAUGUGAGUAUGAUCCCAUCCUCAAAUUUUGAGGAGGUAUGGCUAACCUGUCACAAUUCUCACUGUCUCAAUGCCGCUGAAUGGUUAUUACCUAUUCAUGCACAUACUGUCACUUGCCAAUGUCACGGUGGUCCUGAUCCCACAACACAUAAUGUCACUUGGGUUAAACCUUGUUUAACUAUUCACUUAACGAUGUCAAUCAAGUCACUAAUGUCCAUGUUGCCUUUGUUUACUACGCUCACGGUCAUUUCUUACAUUCACAUGCAUAUAGGGUCUUUCACUAUCUUUCUUCACAUGGAUCUAUAUCAUUACAAUAAUCUUACGCAGAUAAUUGUCACAACCAACAUAUACUAUUCAUUACCCUACAUGCAAGAAUGCUAUAUAUCAACAUGCUCAAAAAGGGACAUAGACAUAGAAAGAGAUCUGGUGUUUUCGUAUAGCACCCCCCACCUUUAUGUGUCACAAAGAUGCCACGGUUCCGAUUCCACGAUUUUUAGACUUGUUCGCCGCGAGCAACGACGAUCUGUACUAUUUCUGCUUCUUUUUCCAAUAUCUUCGCGCACGCUCGUCGUAUCGCCGAACCGAGCGCACCGAUGCGUUUGUAGACCUACCAAUUAGGUUAAAAUGAGAUCACAACCAAGUUUGAAUCUCAAAAUCACAAAACCCUAAAUAUGGGUCCUUCACAACAUCACCUUCUCCAAUCAAGCCCCUAGCUUGACAAAACAUGGAGGAAAAGCCACCAUAGACCUCUCUAGAUGCUUCAACUAGAAGCAAAAAACCCAAACCUAGCUCAAACUCAUAAGAACUCACCUUUGGAGUCCAAAGCUUCCCUUUAAAAGCCUUCCCUAGCUUGCUCUUCACCUUGGAGAGCUUCUUCUCCAAGCUUUUCUCCUCCAAACCCUCCUUGGUCCAAGCCCUAGAGAGAGAGGGAGAGAGAGAGGAGAGGUUUUUAGAGAGAGAGAGGAAAAUGUUUAUGUUGAGGUGUGAGUAAAUGAGAGCUAACCCUAACCCUUAGCUCUAUACAACCAUCUCAUGCAACAUUUGCACUUAAACCCCUCUCAAUUUCAUAUUCGCAAACAGCCCUCAAUGGGCACUUUCGGGCUCGGGGACCGGUCUCUCCCCUUCAGGGACCGGUUCCCGAGAGCUGUCCUGCAACCUGCGCAGAAGGGGACCGGUCUCUCCCCGAUGAAACCGGUCUCCGGGGACCGGUCUCUCACCUAGGGACCGGUUCCCGAGAGCUCAGUUUCCAGGACUUAGCCGAUUUUUCCCUCUGCUCGGUUUACCAACGUUCGGGAACCGGUAUCUCACCCAAGGGACCGGACCCCGAGAGUAAAAUUCUGGGAAUUUUCCAGAAUUGCAGUUUCACUCUCUCGGGUCCCUUUAUACUUUAUAUAUAGGCUCCAAUUCACUUUUAGCCUAUAGUAACUCAUUCCUUUCCGUGUUCCGCUCGUUUUGACGGGACUCGGCUCAACCUACGGGGUAGUGAUACGUUACAUUCCCCACCCCUUAAAAUUGUUUCGGCCGCGAAACUAAUUCAAUCGUAAUUCAACAUCCAUACCUCAUCUUAGUUCCUCGAAGAGAUGAGGAUGACGUUCCUUUAUCACGUCCUCAAGCUCCCACGUUUCUUCUCUAUCGCCGUGUUCGCUCCAAUGGAUCUUAAGAUACGGAAUUUCUCGAUUCGGUAGCUUUCGCACCUCCCGAUCAAAAAUGUACGCCGGGAACUCCUCGUAGGUCAUAUCCUCUUGAUGUUCUGUCGGUAUAUACGAGAGAACAUGCUCCGGAUCGUGAACAUACCUGGGGAGAUUAGACACAUGGAACACAUCGUGCACCCCCGCAAGCCUCGGCGGUAAUGCUACUCUGUAGGCCACCGCGCCAACUCUUUCUAAGAUCUCGAAGGGUCCGACAAAUCGGGGACUUAACUUUCCCCGGACACCAAACCUCUUAACACCGCGCAUCGGCGAUACCUUCAGAAACACGCGGUCUCCAACCGCGAACUCGAUGUCCUUCCUUCGCUUAUCGGCAUAGCUCUUGUGCCUUGAUUGCGCCGUCACUAACCUUUGCCGGGCAAGACGAACUUUCUCCUCCGCCUCCCGAACAACUUCUGGGCCAAGAACAACUUUCUCGCCUACCUCGCUCCAAUGAAUUGGCGAGCGACACUUCCUUCCAUAUAGGGCUUCGAAUGACGCCAUUGUAAUACUUUCUUGAUAGCUAUUGUUGUAUGUAAAUUCCGCCAUCGAUAAGUAAUCGUGCCACCCUCCACGAUAGUCAAGGACACAUGCUCGCAACAUGUCCUCGAGUAUCUGAAUGGUCCUCUCAGAUUGUCCAUCACUCUGAGGAUGAAACGCCGUGCUAAAAUCGAGCCGCGUGCCUAGAGCAUCCUGCAAGCUCCUCCAUAAAUGAGAAGUGAACCGAGGAUCUCGAUCUGAUACGAUCGACACGGGAACCCCAUGUAGUCUCACUAUCUCAUCCAAGUAAACCUGGGCCAACUUAUCUCCUGACCACGUGGUGUGGAUCGGCAAAAAGUGAGCCAAUUUCGUCAAACGGUCCACAACCACCCAUAUGGCGUCAUGUCCAGCCUGCGAUCGGGGCAGCCCGACCACAAAGUCCAUCGCGACAUUCUCCCACUUCCAUACGGGGAUCAGUAAGCUUUGCAGCUUCCCCGCGGGAAAACGACGCUCGGCUUUUACUUGUUGGCACGUCAAACAUUGCGCCACGAAUUCUCCGAUGUCCUUCUUCAUACCCGGCCACCAAUAAUGCAACUUUAAAUCCUUGUACAUCUUAGUGCCGCCCGGGUGAAUACUAUACGGGAAAUGAUGCGCCUCUUGCAACACCAUCUUACGAAUCUCAUCGUCCUUGGGUACGCACAAUCGGUUCCUAAACCUAAGUGCACCAUCGGCUCCCACGCCGAAAUCACCGGCGCGCCCAUCACUAACAUUGUUCCGCACCUUUUGGAGAUACGGAUCAUCAACUUGCCGCUCCUUGAUUUGCUCCAACAAGGUCGGUCGAACUAUUAGUGCCGCCAAGAUAGUCGGAACUUCCGGCGCCACUACCUCCAAUCCAAAUCGCUGCAUUUCCUUAUGUAAUGCCGGCUGAUUUGUAAUCGCCGUCGCCAAGUUCUCAGCAGAUUUCCUACUCAGCGCAUCGGCCACCACGUUGGCUUUACCGGGGUGGUACAGGAUAGUUAGAUCAUAAUCCUUUAUCAAUUCCAGCCAACGCCGCUGCCACAUAUUCAACUCUUUCUGGGUGAACAAAUACUUGAGGCUUUUGUGAUCGGUAUAUACCUCACAAUGCUCACCAUAUAGAUAAUGCCUCCAAAGCUUCAGCGCGAAAACAACCGCCGCAAGCUCAAGAUCGUGGGUCGGGUAGUUCUUCUCGUAGCCUUUCAGCUGGCGCGAAGCAUACGCAAUGACUCGCCCAUUUUGCAUAAGAACACACCGUAGACCGGUGUAGGAAGCAUCACUAUACACCACGAAGCUCUCUCCCGGCGUUGGCAAAGCAAGUACCGGAGUAGACGUCAACUUCUUCUUCAACUCUUGGAAGCUUCGGUCGCAACCUUCGCUCCAAUCAAUCCUUACUCCUUUGUGAGUAAGGCGUGUGAGAGGAGUGGUCAACUUCGCAAACCCCUCAACAAAACGCCUAUAAUAGCCCGCCAAUCCAAGAAAACUGUGGACUUCCGCCACGCUCGUAGGAUGGGGCCAAUCUCGAAUCGCCUCUAUCUUCCUUGGGUCCACCGAGAUCCCACUCCCGGAUAUCACAUGGCCUAAGAAGGUCACCUCCGAAAGCCAGAAUUCGCAUUUCUUGAGUUUAGCAUAAAGGUUCUCAUCUCGGAUUAUUUGCAACACCAUCUUACGAAUCUCAUCGUCCUUAGGUACGCACAAUCGGUUCCUGAAUCUAAGUGCACCAUCGGCUCCCACGCCGAAAUCAGCGGCGCGCCCAUCACUAACAUUGUUCCGCACCUUUUAGAGAUACGGAUCAUCAACUUGCCGCUCCUUGAUUUGCUCCAACAAGGUCGGUCGAACUAUUAGUGCCGCCAAGAUAGUCGGAACUUCCGGCGCCACUACCUCCAAUCCAAACCGCUACAUUUCCUUAUGUAAUGCCGGGAGUUCACACAUCUUCUGAACUGCGUCCCGGACGUGGCGACGACGGAGCAAGAUCCAGCAGAUUACUUCGUGAGAGGACUCCGACCCGGCGUGUUUCGUAUGGUGCAUGCCUUCAAGUUUCAUACUUUCACGGAGGCUUUGGACCGUGCCUUAUGGGUCAAGCACGGGAAUGCCUGCGAGCAUGAGGACCGUGAGGUGUUCGAGAAGGAUAAGGGGAAGAAGCGACCGGGCGGUGGUUCGGGGGGACAAUCGAGUUCCAAAAGGCCCCCGAAAUAUCCACGAUCACAACCGAAGGGCCGCGGAGCGCAACGGUGUAUCUUUUGCGGCGGUGACCACCGACCCAGUAUCUGUGAUCAGCGCCGAGGAAAGUGCUUUAGAUGCAGGCAAGCAGGGCACAUCACACGCGACUGCCCUCAAGGAGGGGCUUUAUCUGCUCUAUCUGUUGCAUCAGCCCCGACAAUUUCGGCUCGUUAUGCAAUGCCACCUGCUGCGGCGUCGGCUGGACGUGCGGCGGCACCACGUCAACCUGAACCAGCACGAUCGUCUCCGAGCGGAAGGAUGUAUGCCACUCAAGUGCAAGAAGAGGAGCCCACCGAAGCCGAGGAGCGCAAUGUGGUAGCAGGUAUGGUGUUGGUUCAUGGUGUUCGAGCAAGAGCUCUUUUUGAUACUGGCGCCUCUCACUCGUUCAUUAACCGGUCGUUUGCACAAGUACAUGACAUUGAGAUUAGUCUCGGGGAGAAUGUGUGGCGUGUAGAAGGACCCGGACGAUCAUUCCUUGUUAGGAAGCGCUGUUUGGCAUGCCCAAUACAAGUAGGCGACUGGAUUAUGCCGGUCGACCUGUUGGUGCUAAAGAGGUUGAAAGAGUUCGACGUUAUAUUGGGCAUGGACUGGCUCUCGAAGUAUUAUGUGUCUAUUGACUGUAAGACUAGAGUGAUCACAUUUCGGGAGCCGGGACACGAGGAGUUCACGUAUCGAGUUUGCAAGAGUUCGUGCUUCACCGCGACGGUGUCGGCGACAAGAGCGAGGAAGCUAGUUAAUAGCGGUUGUACGGCUUACUUGGCGACCGUUAUGGAAGUUGACCGAGUGGUGCCGGCUCUAGAAGAGUUAGAGGUUGUGCGAGAGUUUCCGGACGUGUUUCCUACGGAGUUACCGGGGAUGCCGCCGGACCGGGAAAUUGAGUUUAUGAUAGACUUGCUUCCCGGGACCGCGCCGAUAUCCAAGGCCCCGUAUUGCAUGGCGCCGGCUGAGUUAAGGGAGUUGAGGGAUCAGUUGCAGGACCUCCUCGACAAGGAGUUCAUUAGGCCGAGCAUGUCACCGUGGGGAGCCCCAGUAUUGUUUGUGCACAAGAAGGAUGGAUCUUUUCGACUUUGCGUGGAUUACCGCGAGUUGAAUAAGGUCACUGUGAAGAACAAGUACCCGUUACCCCGUUACCCCGCAUCGACGACUUGUUUGAUCAAUUAUAGGGGUCGCGAGUGUACUCGAAGAUUGACCUCCAAUCCGGCUACCAUCAAUUGAAGAUUAAGUCGGAGGAUGUUCCGAAGACCGCGUUCUGCACGCGGUAUGGACACUACGAGUUCACCGUGAUGCCGUUUGGGCUUACAAAUGCCCCGGCCGCGUUCAUGAGCUUGAUGAACCGAGUGUUCAGGCAGUGCUUAGACCGAUUUGUCGUAGUUUUUAUAGACGACAUCUUGGUCUAUUCGCGCGAUGAAGAGGAGCACGCAGAGCAUUUGCGCACCGUACUUCAAAUCCUUCGGGAGAAGAAGUUGUACGCAAAGUUGAAGAAGUGUGACUUCUGGCUCCGGGAAGUUACUUUUCUCGGGCAUGUUGUUUCCGAGGGCGGUGUUUCUGUUGACCCGAGAAAAAUAGAGGCUAUUGAGAAUUGGCCGCGCCCGACGAAUGUCGCUGAGGUCCGAAGUUUUGUGGGCCUAGCACGUUAUUACCGACGGUUUGUGGAGGGCUUCUCGAAGAUCGUGACUCCACUCACCCGUCUGACGCAGAAGGGCGAAGAUCGUGACUCCACUCACCCGUCUGACGCAGAAGGGCACCCGAUUUAUUUGGAGCGACGAGUAUGACCGGAGUUUUAAAGAGUUGAAGGAGAGGUUAACUUCAACUCCGGUACUCGCCUUACCGGUGCAGGGUGACGAUUAUGUAGUGUAUAGCGACGCAUCCUAUCUGGGUCUGGGGUGUGUACUGAUGCAAGGCGGGAGGGUCAUUGCUUAUGCAUCCCGUCAGUUGAAAAGCUACGAGAAGAACUACCCCAUACAUGAUUUGGAAUUGGCGGCGGUGGUCUUUGCUCUGAAGCUUUGGAGACACUAUCUGUAUGGUGCUCAUUGCGAGAUCUACACCGACCAUAAGAGUUUGAAAUACUUGUUUACCCAGAAGGAGCUGAACAUGCGGCAACGGCGGUGGUUAGAAUUGCUUAAGGAUUGCGAUGUUGAUAUCCUUUACCACCCCGGGAAAGCGAAUGUAGUCGCAGACGCGCAUAGUCGGAAGUCGGCGGAGAACCUCGCUUUAUGGGUUACAAGCCAGACGCCCCCGCAGUUGCAAAUGGGGAAGAUGGAUCUCGAGGUGGUGGCUCCGAAAAUUUCGGCUAGGUUGACGACGUUGGUGGUCCAACCGACCUUAUUGGAGAGGAUCAAGAAUCUACAGUCGGCGGACCCGAAGCUCCAGAAGGUGCGGCACCAUGUUGAAAGUGGCCGUGGCGGAGAUUUCAGCAUGGAUGCAAGUGGUGCAGUACGGUUUCGAAACCGGUGGUGUGUGCCAAAUGACGAGGAGCUUCGCAAGUUGAUUUUGCAAGAAGCGCAUUGGUCACCUUAUGUCGACCACCCGGGCGGCACCAAGAUGUUUCACGAGCUGAAGACACUAUAUUGGUGGCCGGGAAUGAAGACUGAUAUUGGGCGCUUCGUGGCGAAGUGUUUAGUAUGCUAACAAGUGAAGGCGGAGCGUCGAUUUCCAGCGGGGAAAUUUCAGAGUUUAUCUAUUCCCGUCUGAAAAUAGGAUGACAUAUCGAUGGACUUCAUCGUUGGCUUACCUCGUUCGACAGGUGGCCACGACGCAAUUUGGGUGAUUGUGGAUUGUUUGACGAAAUCAGCGCACUUUCUGCCGAUCCACAACACUUGGGCAGGUGAGAAGCUAGCGCAGGUGUAUCUUGAUGAGAUUGUGAGGCUACAUGGGGUGCCGAAGUCGAUUGUAUCAGAUCGAGACCCCAAGUUCACUUCACACUUUUGGAGAAGCCUGCAGGAAGCCCUUGGCACGCGACUCGAGUUCAGUACCGCCUUUCAUCCUUAGACUGAUGGACAGACAGAGAGAACCAUUCAGACCCUGGAGGAUAUAUUGCGGGCGUGUGCCAUUGAUUACAAGGGGAAUUGGUGUAACACCUGCCGAUGGCCGAAUUCGCCUACAACAACAGCUGUCACGCGAGUGUGGGGAUGGCACCAUUCGAGGCUCUUUAUGGGCGGAAGUGCCGAUCUCCCAUUCAUUGAAGUGAUGUGGGCGAGCGGGCAGAGUUCGGUCCAGACGUGUUGCGAGAAGCGGAGGAGAAAGUCCACCUUGCUCGCAAGAGAUUGCUUACGGCGCAAUCUCGACAGAAGAGUUAUUCGGAUAAGCGCCGUAGAGACUUAGAAUUCGCGGUGGGUGACCGCGUGUUCUUGAAAGUUUCGCUGAUGAGAGGCGUGAAAAGGUUUGGGGUGCGAGGAAAGUUGAGUCAUCGUUAUGUUGGCCCUUAUGAGAUUUUGGAGCGGAUUGGGACGGUGGCUUACCGGCUUGCGUUGCCACCCAAGCUUGCGGGUGUGCACAAUGUAUUCCACGUCUCCAAUCUCCGCAAGUAUGUGCAUGACCCUGAGCACGUCUUGGUCUACGAGCCACCGGAAUUACAGGAAGAUAUGAGUUACGAAGAGUUUCAGGUGGAGAUCCUAGCUCGAGAAGUACGCAAGUUGAGAAGUCGCGAAAUUCCUUAUGUUCGAGUCCGGUGGAGCAAUCAUGGCGAUCGCGAAGCCACCUGGGAGCUCGAGGAGGAGAUGAAAGCGAAUCAUCCUCACUUAUUUGAAGGUUGAGCUGAGGUAUGGAUCUAGAGUUUAAAUUCUGGAUGAAUUUAGUAUCGUUGAGUUCGUUUUGAGGACGAAACUCUUUUAAGGUGGGGAGAAUGUAAGGAAAGUGAAUUCUCGAAAUCCGGGGAUUAGACUUCGUUGGGAAUCGACUGAUUGUCGAGUGUGUAAGCUUCGGAAAGUCCGAAGGUAGUAGUAAUGCGUAAAGUGCAUUAAGGAAAGGUCCGCGAGAGCACCAGUGCAAAAGCUGCACUGGAGCAGAAAUGCUCUCGGGGACCGGUCCCUGGCGAGGAGGGACCGGUCCCAUUGGGCUGGGCUGCGGGGGUCUUUGAUGAGACCGGUCCCUGGCAGGUAGGGACCAGUUCCCGAAUGUUAGCCCAGCGAGAAUUAGCCGAAAUUUGGCUAAGUCCCGAGAACCCAGCUCUCGAGAACCGGUCUCUCAGACAGGGACCGGUCUCCUAGGGACCUGUCUCGCAGGCAGGGACUGGUUCCCGAACGCGAAAUCCCUUCUGCCUGGUUGUGCAACUCUCGGGGACCGGUCUCCCCGACCUGGGACCGGUCCCUCACUACGAAAAUGGCCCAGGGAGGGCUGUUUCAGGAAAUAGAAAGUUGAGGGGGCUAUCUGCAAAAUAGCCUAUAUGAGGGCUUGGGGACCCCUCUCUUCCUCUUAUUUGCUCUCUCUCCCUUUCACACUCUUUCCCUCUCUCUCUCUAGAAAGGAAAAGAAGGAAAAGAAGAAGGAAAUGAAGAGAAAGGAGAAGAAAGAAGAGGAGAGGAAGAAGAAGAAGUAGGAGAAGAAGAAGACAAAGGUGGAGAUCACCUUCCUCAUCUACUUCUUCUUCUUGGACUAAGCUUUUGAAGGUAAGCUUCUAGCCCUACAAUAGUGGAUUUCUUACAAUAGGGUUUUAUUGUCACGCCCCGGGACCCGGCAUAGGCCCGUCCGGUGCGCGCCCAGACCCGCCAUAUGUCUACACAUAUAAGGCAUCUACACAAAAGCGGAAGAGUAAGGCAUGAGAAGAUCUACAACUAAAGAUAUCAGAGCAAGUAUAUAGCUAGGUUCUAACAUCAGGUAGAAUCAAAAGAAAAUCAUACUACUAAAGCAUAAGGUAAACUGAUACAUCAUAAAUCACAAGAUACAAAAAUAGGGUGGUUUCUACAAUCAGGUACAAAACUCUCACAACCUCUCCAAAAGAAAACAAAAGGGAGGUGGACCACCUAACGCCAAGACCCUCGAUAGCUAACUCGAGGCGAAACCUUUCCCGCGAUCCCGAGCCUCUCCCGGAGUGGAAGGCACUGAAGGAAAACAUAAAACAGGGGGCGUGAGAACUAUAAUUUAUAGUUCCCAGUGGGCAAUUACUGACCUGCACCAAAUCGCACCACUUGGCCCCAAACGAGCAAAUAAUGAUAAUAGAUAAUAUCAACAGUAAUUGAAGCAUGAAAUUAAAAUGCUACUCUACUAUGCCACAAGUAUUCUGAAUGUCAACAUGGAGUACAUCUACUCUACAUGAUCCAAUAUGCCCAAAACUUAAACAAUGUGUCGUGAUGCAACAAGUAAUGCUAUAAAGUGUGAUAUGUAUAUUCCAGAGCCCACUACAUAUCUAGUAUGUACUAUCCUGGCAGCAAGGUGUACUACAAUGCAAUAAGCGAUAAUGUCAAGUACACUAAAUAUCCCAAAAGUCCAACCCUAUGCCAUAGCAUGUCAAGAAAAUCCAACUACUAUAACCUAUCUAGUAGUGAUUGUCAACUUGUUGUUUAGUAUUCUGGUUCAAUCUCAUUCAGGAUCUACACGGGUGUAGUCCGGCUUGUGCCGCCUAAGUGCCAGUGGUAGCUCCAGCAUUCCCACUCUAGGAAUGAGUCUAUCCCUCCAGGCCCCGUAGGCUACUCGAUACCGCACGGGCGAACAUAAGUCGCGUAGGCUAACUCCGGAGUGCCGGCUUGUGGGGAGCGACCCUCACAAGCAUGUGCGUAUGAGCACAAAUGGCAAGCAAGCAUGGUCAAAACCUCAAUAGUCCAAUCGUCAUGUCUCCAAAAUGGAAAUGCAACUCAACAGUCAUCAUGUCUCUAACAUGGAAAUGCACACUAGCAACCUCAGUGUCUAGUCUAUGCCUCAAAUGAAGGUUUAACCGUUCGAUAAUUCCAUGUCAAUGACCUUGGCUUUACUAAGUCCAAGACUCAAGGUGAAGUUCCCACAUUCACUAUGUUUAGUGCCUCUUUAUGACACUUAAACAUUGCUAUAAUCUAAGCUCAAUUCACAUUUUAUGUCUCUUUAUGACGCUAGCUUGUUCUAUCGAUAAUAGAUUAAUACACAUGCUCUCUAGCGUGUUCUCAUAUGGUUACAUGUAAGUUCUUUCCAAUGCGACUAUUAACUUGGCAUAAUUCUCAUAAUAAUAGCAUGCACAUGCAAUUUGCAUAACCAUCAAGUCUAAUGCCGCUUUAUGACAUUAGCUUGCUAAACUCAUAUCUAGUCCAAGCCUAAUGCCGCUUAAUGUCGAUAUGUCCAACCAUGUCACUCAUGCGUUCUAAGUCCAAGAGUGUAAUCUAUAUGCCAUAUGUACCAUAUGCAACAUGAUCUCAAUCAAUUGUAAGAAUGCUAACCGUAGGCCCCUAGCCCAACAUGAAAACUCUCUACUAUAUAGAGGUUCGAAAAUACAUUAUACAUAACGUGCGUAUUUUAAGCAUUCUAAAAUUCACAAUUGAUCUAUCUAGCAUGAAUAUGCAUGCAUUUUCAUUUUACGACAAAUAAAACCAUCAUAAGAGAAUUUUGUUUCAUUUGGUGAGGCCAAACCCACCAAAAUCGAAACCUUCGUUUCGCCGAACGGAGGUGCCCACAAGACUCCUAGUACCCUAGAAGCAUCAAAACGAGGGUUACUCAAACGAAACGAACAACCCAAAACUCAAACAUUAACCAUCAAGGCAAAAAGGGCUAAAAUCUCACCUAAGUGUAGAAAAUCCCUUUUAAGCUCCAAAUGGAAGCUAGAUCCCUUCCAAUGCAACCUAGAUAAAGGUUCUAAUCCAAUCAAUUGGGCUUCAAAAGCCUCUAAUCAAAAAUCCCCAAAACAAACCCUAAAUACCCAUUUCUAGGGUUUGUACACAAAAAUCAUGAUCAAAAGGAAAUUAGUAAGUAACUAACCUCAAGAGAAGCUCCAAACCACCCUAGAAAUCAGCUAGGGUUGAGCUCCUACCCUUCUACAAGCUCCAAACACCAAGCCCAAACUUCUCCCUUGGGGGAAAAGCCACCAAAAUGCAAAAAGAGAGCAAAAGGAGAGUUUAAUCCUCAACAACCCAACAUAAAUCAAAGGGAAACAAAGAGGGAGAAAAGAGAGCUCCCUUACCUUGCUCUCCCUGCCUCCAAGCUCAGGGAACACCAAAGGGGGCGUGGGGUAUGUUAAUUAUUAUUUGGCUACAGAUAGGCAAAAAAACACCCCUGCAGCAAAACUGCAGAAAUUCUGCCUCCUUGUACGGUACACAGGGCUCUUGUACGGUACAAGGCGACGAAAUCGCAAACCCGAGGCUCGGGUCGCGCGUCUGCGGCUCUGUACCGGUACAAGCCCGAUGGCUGUUACGGUAACACCAUCAACCUUGUACGGUACAGGCAAGUCUUGUUCCGCGUACAACCCUGCUGCAGGCUACCGCGAGAGCUGUCCAAAAAUUCCGAUUUUGGAAUUUUUGGUGCCAAGUCCCACUCCAACAUCCUCGGGAUGCGUGCCAGGGGUCGGGACACUAUCAGAACCACAGAAAAAAAUCUGGAAAAGCUCAGGACACAGUCCAAACACUCGAACCUCGCAAUUUUGCAAAGGUCCAGUGUGUUACAUUAUAGUUUAGAAAUGAUUUCGAAUGGAACCUAUUGAGGUCCGAGCUCGAAAUCGAAGCUCGUACGCGGAUUUCUCUAUUGUUGAGACCUAGGGCUCAGAAUUGGGAUUUUGCCAAAUCUAGGGUAUUUGAUCUAAUUUGAUGGGUCGCAAACCUAUGCUUAGGUCUCUGAACGCGUCGGCGAGACAGUUCGUCGAUCCGUCGAGUAGGUGCGAGUUAUCGCCUAAGGAGACCUCGGAGCGUCGUUCUCGCCUGGAAGGCCAACGAAGCGUCGAAACGUCGCGAAUCGCAUUCGAGAAGUCACGCCCAUCGCACGAGGUGGUGGGGAGUGCCAUCGCCGAAGCAGUUCGAACUGUUUCUAUGUCUGAGUACUAUGGUCGAUCAAUUUACAUAUUGUGAUAUAGCAUUAUGGUGUUAAAUGUUAAUUGUACUAUCUUUGCAUGCUAGUGAUAGUUUGAUGUUGGGGAUACAAUGAAUGAGAACCUAGUAUGCAUGAGUGGAAUACUAUGGGAUAGUUCGCCCCAUAUAUGAUGAAUAUGUCAUGUGAAUAACAAACCUAGUGUAUCAAGAACUUGUCAAGAGAACGAGUGGCAUCUAGUUAACAGUGAACCCAGGACGAGUGGCACCUAGUUAAUAUUGAACUUGAGAACUUUAGUGGGAUUGAGACACUAUGAGAUUGAGCAGAAGAACACCUGAUGUUAUAGUGACACCAAUUCUAGUUGGUUAGGGUGUUCCCAGUUUACGAGAUUGGAUCGAGCUCACUUAGCCUGUCUGCACCUGUGGAGGUAGCUCCUCACAGGUAGUGCACUCCGGAGUUUGGCACGCGAGGGGGCCAGUGUAGUGCCCUUGGACCAGUGUAGUGUCCGCAGGCGGUCUCGGGAUAGGUGAAUAGCUAGCCACCUCCCCUAUGAGACUUAGAGACGUGAGACUGUGAGCGAACCUUGCGUUCGCCGAGAGAUUGGGUAAUUUGAUGAAUGAUUUCAUUAUUGAGCAUGGUAUUAUGAUAGCCAGCCUUGUUACUAUGAGUCCCAUGCAUGCAUCAUACUGGAUUGAGGCAUUGAUAGAUCAUAGUUCAUAGUUGCUCCUUACUAUUAAUGCUUUCAGUAUUACAUCUCUAUCUAUCUGCAUAUCUAUCUGUGCCUGUUUAGACCUAGUGGGGAGAUCGGCGGAGUCGGCGACCGAACCCACUGGGAACUAUUCGUAGUUCUCACUCCACCAUGUUGCAGGUCCGAGUUCGAGCGCCCCUGGUGAGGAUCGUGGCAAGGGCGUAGCACCCUAGUGAUAUUAGUAGAGGUUUACUUUCCUUUAUGCAUUAGCUACACCCUAUACCUAUUUUGAGAGUAGAUGAUGUAUAGGGUGAGGAUUUUAGAGUGAUUGUACAUAUACUCUGGAAGAAUGUAAAAGAUGAAAUAAUUGUAUAAAGUUUAAUGAGUUAAUAGUUAAGUAUAUCUCUCUUUAUCACUUGUAUGCUUUACAUGUGUUGCUUGUUCUUGAUUGAUAGGCACUGUUUGUGCUCUCGUGGUUGUUGUAUGAUUGUGUAUGUAUUCAAGUUGUUUUUCUGGCAACUUGUUGUACACAAUCUAACCGUUGGAGCCUUGGGCGGGUAGGGGAGGUGUUGUCCGUCCGGCGGUCCGUCCGUCGCGCCCGAACCGUGCUCAAUUGGUAGCGGUCUCGGGGCGGGGGCGUGACAGUAUUUAUAAAAUUUUAUUAUAAAAAUAGAAAUCAAGUAAUUUUUGUAUUUAGGCUUUUUAUAUACUAUAAAUUACAUUUGUCAAAUUAGAUUUUAAUUUUAUUAUAUUAAUUAUUAAAAAUUGUUUGGUUUAUGCAAUGAACUUUUAGAUUUGGUGAAGGUAAAAAAAUUUUAAAAAGGUAUAUAUAUUAUUGAAAUAUCCCAUCACUAAUGAGCAAUAAGCUGUAAAAAAAAUUUUUGUCUUAUAUACCGGGUGCAUAACUAUUUUUUUUGCACUGUAUUAAUAAAUUUUUAUUAUAAAAGUAAAAAUCAAGUAACUUUUGUAUCUAAAUUUUUCAUAUAUUAUAGAUUGCAUUAAUUAAAUUAGAUUUUUAAUUUUGUUAUAUUAAUUAUUAAAAAAAAGGUUUGAUUCAUGCAAAAAAAUUUUAAACUCAGUGCAUGCAAAAAAAAAAAACAAAAAAAGGUAUGUAAAGAGAGAAGGGAAUGGAAAAAAAGUAGGUAGCCCCACUAUCCCCUAAAGCAAGGAGAGAGCUGCCAUACUAUUUUUGGUUUUUCCUUUCAUGUAUUGUAAAGAAGAUGCCACUAUUAUUCAUCUAUUUCAUUAUAAUUAUUUUUUAAAAAAUUAUGAUAUGUUUUUUAUCAAAAUAAGAGAUUUAGUUGGCUUGAGUCAUAAAUGAAGACCACCUAGUCCAAAAGAUGCCCAAACGACCCUAAAUUAAGAUUUUCAUUAAUACUACAAUUUAGCUACCGUUUGGUUUGGGAUUAAGAAAAAACUAGUUAUUCCAGGGAUAUAGUUAAGUUCAGGGUUAAGGUGGGGUUAGAGUAUUUUUGUAUUUGGUUGGGAGUUGGAGUUAGUCCAGAAUAGUGAAAAAUAGUGUUUGAUUGGAGUAGGUGGGAUAAAAAGGAUAGUGAGUUAUUAUGAACAGAAAAUAAUGUUUGGUUGGGGUUUGGUGGGGUUAGCUAAUCCCAUCCAAAAUAGGCUAUCCCGGGUUAGGUGGGGUUAGCUAACCCCUCCUAUUUUUGAGAGCGUUUGGGGAUAAUAUGGGGGUUAAGGGGCGGAAUAACCUCUUAACCCCCAACCAAACAAAGGCAAGAGUCCAGCUAUAAACCUUCCUCCUAUUAAAUGGUUUUUAGUGACCAAGGUCUCGAAUCGAUGAUUAGCACCGCUAAUACUGAUCUAAAGUAUUCCAAGUUUCUAAAAAUCAAAUUUUAUAAUUUAAAAAUAAUUAUAAUUUUUAUCAAAUCCAUUAAAGAACUAAAAAUUGAAUAGUCGAAAUGUUGAAAGUGUCCCACGUGAUUUAUUAAAGGUGAUCUAUAAAGAUACAGUCAGUAUAUUUAAGUCGAUCUAUAAAGAUAGGUGAUCGAAUGGUUAGGAUGUAUCUGGACACGUCCUUAAUCGACGUACGUGAUUUAACAUCCUUACAUCAAGUUAUAUAUAAAUAUUUAACAUACGGGAGUCCCGGUCUAACCCUAAUCCUAAUUGCUGUAACAGUUCCAUCUCCGGUGAUAAGGGAAUUAGACUUGAAACGUGUAACAAAAGAAUAGGUGUGGCGGGUAACAAAACUUUCAUACAACUUGUCCUUCGACUGGCCAAAGUCAAAGAAAUAGGUAAGGCCCGAGGAAAGACGACCAAAAUUGUAAGUUCAGGUAGCCUUAAGCGAACAAUAGCAGCGAGGUCAAACAGAACAGGGGUUAUGGUACCGAAAGGAAGGUGAAGAGUUUUGGUUGAGGGAGACAAAAACAAAGAUAGUCACCAAAUAAGAAGGGUUUGACUAUAAUUUUGCAAGCAACAAAAUAGAGAAUUUUGUAGAUUCCUAGGGCUUUCUACUGGUCAACCUUUUCAACCUCACACAUUGGUACCACUGUAGGUAUUGUUAGUUAGAGGAGCGGGGACCACGCGGAGUGACCAAAAGAUUUCCAGCAGGAGAGGUUAGGGGAAGUAGUAUGAAGGGAAUUAUCUAUAAAAUGAUAGUCUAGAUUACUGAAAGAGCAAAGCUAAGGAUAUAACGGAGGUGAUUUUUGGUGAGAUUUCUCGAUGAAUUCUAGGGAGAAGUUUUAGGCCUAGGUCAAAGAGUGUCACCCCCCGAGCCCGCUACCAAUUUGGUCCAGUUCGGGCGCGUCGAACAGACGCCGGACGGACAGCAUCUCCCCUGCCCGCUCAAGGCUCGACAACAGAAUCAUGUACAUAGAAUUGCCCAGAAAUAAUUCAAUUACAUACAUGAUAAGCACAGAGCAUUACUAGUGCUAACAAGUAAGAGCAAGAUACAAGUAUGCCAUACAAGUAAUUAAAGAGAGAUACAUUUAGCUAUUACAUCCCUUCAACCAUUCUUUUACAUCAAGUUUAUAUUUUGUAACUUGCAAAAUGGAUAUAUAUACAAUAAUCCUCCAAAAUACAUAAGCAACUCCCAAAGUAUAAAUACAUCUCAUAUCAGGGUACUCUAAUACAUAGGAAGCUGCUAUCUGACUAGGGCACUAUGCCCUUACGACGGUCCUCUGCCGGUGCUCUCUCGUUAGGCUCUGCAACAAAGUGGGGUGAGAACUAUAUAAAUAUAGUUCCCAGUGGGUUCGGCCGCCGACUUCGCCGAUCUUCCCACUAGGUCUAAGCAGGCAUAAGUAGAUAGAUAGAUAGAUAGGUAUCUAAAAGUAAAGCUGAUGCCUUGAGAAACAAGAGUAAACAACAUAGCUAUGUAAUUACUAACAUGCUACUAUAACUCUAUCAAGUAUAAAUGCAACUCUAUCAUGCUCAAUAUGCACAAUAUGCCCGAUUUGCAUAAUUCUCUUGAGUUUAUUACCCAAUCAUCUGGCUGGCCCAUAGGCGCCUCAACUCACAUCUCAAAUCCGUCUAUGAAGGGGGACUCGAACCACCCGAGGGACUAUCUGCGGGACCCCACAUAGGCUAUCCCUUGUGACCCCACAUAGGCUAUCCCAAUCGAUUCACGUGCCAAACUCCGGAGCGCACUACUUGUGCGGAGCGACCGUCACAAGAGCUGAACAGACGUGUGAGUAUAAUCUAUUCCUCAUCUAAUGAGGAGAUCCAGUCACUAGGACUAUCAUGCCACAAGUGUUCUUUAACACUAAAUUCUAAUGCCACUUGUCAAGUUGUUUACUUGGUAUGCAUGUCACUUGCCAUAAUGCAAUGUCUUGACCGUUCUGGUCAUAUAUCAUUAUACUCAUCCAUGCAAGAUCAAGUUAUUGUUUAACUUAUCUCUAUGUCACAAAACUCAUUCUCACGCACCCUAAGUCCACAUGCCAAGCCUAAUAUGCCGCGUUACAAGGGAGCAUGCAAAAGUAGUAAAAGUAACUACUAGACACCCUAUCAUGCACAAUACCACAUAAGGAGUAUGAUCAACAUCAAAAUACUUAGACAUAGAAAGAAGCCCAGUUGCUUCGGGAUGGACACCCCCCACCUUUGUGGUCGUGUCGCGAUGCUAGGUACUCGACUUCGCGAUCCUUGGUCGCCGCUUUUACUCUUCGGGUCAUUGCGAAGCCCCGAACACUUGUUUCGGCUAUAUCUUCGCACCCGCUCGAUGAAUGCUUAAUCCGUCGCUUCCCACGGGUUUAGACACCUAGCAAUUAGGUUUACAUAUGAUCAAUUUAGAUCAAAACCCUUCACUUUCAAAAACUCCCAUUUGGAGCCCUAGGUUCCAAUCAAAGCAAGAAUCCCUUUCUAGCUUCAAGACUCAAGCAUAAAGCUUCCAUUUGGCAUCAAAAAGAUCCAAUGGAACCAAUUCUAGAAGAUAAAAAUCCAUCAAAAUGGUUCUACCAUGAAAGCUCUCAUGAGCUUACCUCAAUAGCAAGCUCCAAUGGUGGAGAGGAAGAAGAAUAUGCCAAGAAUCCUUCUCCUAGCUUGCUCCUCCACCAAAUUCUCCUCCUUCUUCACCUUCUAGAGAGAGAGAAAGAGAGUUUAGAGAGAGGGGGAGCUAGGGUUGUGUUUUGGGAGAGAAAUGAGGGGGAGAGAGAGUUCACUCCCCUCUAUACCCCUCAACUCAUGUAACAAUUGCUACUAAACCCCUCCACUUUGCCUCUCUUGACCUGCCCAGACUGGGCACUUUUCGUGCUCGGGGACCGGUCUGUCCCCUAGAGGGACCGAUCCCCGAGAGCACCUCUCUCGGGCAGAAGCUUUCUGCCAGCUUCUACGCAUACGGGGACCAGUCCGUCCCCACCAGGGAUCGGUCCCCGAGAGUAGAACUCUCAGGACUUUGCCAAAUUUCCUUCCUUCUCGCUGGAUACGCUUACGGGAACCAGUCCUCGCCUGAGGGACCGAACCUUCAAGGACCGGUCCCCACUUGAGGAACCGGUCCUCGCCUGAGUAGACAGAGUUUUCUGCCGCACUUUCAGCUUACAGGGACCGAUCUCUCCCGCCAGGGACCAGUCCACGAGAGCAAAAUCUACCAAGUGCAGAUUUCUUCACAACUCGCUCUCGCGGAUCCAUUGCAAUGCACUUUUUGGGUUCUCGACUUCUUCGGCCUUUCCGAAGCGUACCCAAUCGACAAUUAGUCGAUUCUAAAUGAAGUCCAACUCUCGUAUUUCGAGAAUUCACUUCCUUACAAACAGAGAAGUUGAGAGAUGAAAGUGAUGGAGCGAAUGGCCGACUAUCUUUAUAUAUUCAAGCUAGACCAAUGAGAGACUACCACGAGUCUAGGGUGCAAGAGACGAGCUGUCAGGUCACGCAUGUGUAGCAUCUUUUAGAGCUUGAUCAACCGAAACAUUGUGUCUUGCCCUAUUAUUGAGGGGCCAAUUGUUAGCACAAAAUUUCAACCGUUGGAUUGUCACGCUCCGAGCUCCGCCAAUUUGGUCAGAUUCGGGUACGCCAACAGACCGCCGAACAGACAGAGUUUUUUCUGUAUGUUCUAGGCGUCACAAUCCAUGCAAUACACAAGGUUCCAACCAGGAACAGUUUUCAAACACAGAUUGCAUAAGGAAGGUAUCAAAAACAUAAUUGCUAUGCUAUAACAAGCAUUCAUCUCAAAUUUUCAUUUUACAUUACAUUCAACUUCCAAAUACAAUCGACAUUAUUACAAAUUAUUGCAAUUUGUUUCUUAUCAUUUCCACCCCUAAGCUAGACCACCUCGGGGUACUACUAUCUCUGGUCACAAUGGUAGGGCGCUAUCUACGGAGCUACGCCUUUUCCUCGCGCCGCCGCGCCGCUGGCGUGUGAACCUAAAAUCUCCCAAAACAAUGUGGGGUUAGAACUAUAUCCAUAGUUCCCAGUGGGUACGGCCACCCAAGGGAAGAGCUCAACUCACCAGGUCCAAAGGAGGCACUGCAACAUAUUAGUCCAACAGAUAUCCACAGAUAAUUUUAUGCAAGUAUUAAAUACAUGCGUAUGCCUCAAGACAUGCAAUAUAUAAAUUAUGCAACAAUGCAACUCAUGCAACAAGCUAAGUAGAUCAUCUGAUUCUACUUUCUAUCUCGCUAUCCAUAGCUCAUAUCCAUCUAGCUUCUAAGGUUUCUACUACCUUAUAUCCAAGUUAACCACCCGACUCGGCCUCGAGUCAAUCAUCUGCGGAAUACCGCAUACAACCAGGCUCGAGGUGAAGGACAUCUCAUAUGCACCUCAGCCUUAGAUCCACUCGACAGGGAUGCACAUCUACUCAAUUGGGAUGCCAACUGGGAUGCAAUUCCACUCAUAUGCUUGUCACCCAAUCAUUCCGGCUUACUCGAAGGUUAAGCCCCGACUCACAACCGAAUCUCACAACGUGAGGAGCAUCCACUACACUCACUCAAGACCAUUUACGGGACAGCUACGUUAGUCCCUACCGUGAAGUACUCCGAAGACCACUGCUUGGGUGGAGCGACCACCGCCAAGCGAAACAGACGUAAUGUGAGCAUGAUCCAAUCCUCUAACCCAAGGAUACCCUACCAACUAGUAGUAAUCAAGCCGGGAUAAACACCAAUCCCAAUCCUCAUAUACUGAGUAAUCAAAUUGUCUCUAGUUAAUGCCACAAUGUCACAAUGUCUCUAGCUAAUGCCACAAUGUCACAAUGUCACAAUUUCACAUGCAUAUACUUUCUAGCAUAUGCUCAUAAUGCCAACAUCCGUAUCUCAUCUAGCAUAUUCUUACGAUGUCAACAUUCAUAUACCAUCUAGCAUAUUCUAUAAUAUGUCAACAUGCAAAUUUUUUGUCAUCUAAGGGUAGUAAUACAUAUCAUCUCAUGCAUUCACAUGACAUCUGCCUAUGCAUUCAUAUAUGUAAUUAACUACCGCUACAUGCAUCAACGACAAACCACACUUCACUUUGGCAUGAAAGUGACCUAAUCACUUCGGUGAAGCACAACCCACCUCGCAACGUUCUCCGAUUACUUGUCGACACUUGCAAUCGGGCUCCCGCGGCACACGUGAUCUGGUUUGGCUCGAACUCGCAAUCGAUCACUGAAUAGCCGUCAAUCCGUAACCUAGGGUCUUCAAAGGCUCAUUUCUAACCUUCAAUUAGAGAAUAAUAGGGUUAAUUUAGAUCAAAACCCUCAUUGCCCCAAAACCCCCAUUCUAACCAUAGCAUGAGCAUAUUCUCCAAAUAACCCAAAAUUAAAUGAAGGAACAUGUAUUUAAUAGCCUAUGGAUCAUUAGAACGCCAUUCAUGAAGGAUUUAACCAAAUCCUAAACACGUACCACAAUGCGAACCCCGAGUCGAAAGCACACCCCUCUGCCGGGCGCACGAAGACUCGAUCGGUCGCUCCCAACGCGUUCCCAAGCUCGCUCUCCGCUAAUCCUUCAAAUUUGGGAGAGAGAUCUAGAGAAGAAAAAUGGGAAAGCUAGAGAGAGAGGAGCUUCUCUCUCUACUCCAUGUGUGUGUGGUGUGUUGUGUUGGGCUGAGGAAGAAGGAAAAAAGGGGAAGAAGCCCUUUUUAUAAAGCAACCCUCCCACAAUUACCAAAAUAGCCCCAGCCCGCCUGGGCACUUUUCGGGUUCGUGGUCCGGACCCUGGCUUUGGGUCCAGACCCCGUAGGUCUAGACAGCCCAGAAAACUGCAUUUUUCAGCUUUCCUCCGUUUUGCCUCGUUUUCGCUCGUUAGGUCUCCGAUUCAUCUCUAGUCAUACCGAGACCCCCAAAACACAUUUUUGAGCAUGUUUAAACCAUCUUUUCAUCCAUGCUUUGCCGGAUUUAGGCCAAAGUUAAACAUAGCUAUUCGAGUUCCGUUUUUGCGCCCGAAGGGUACCGAAAACACUUGAAUGCUCCCGAACUUCACCAGAACUACUCUAACAACUCUUCGAGCAAGUUCCCACCGAAACUUCAUAACCGUAAGAGUUCGGUACAUUACAUGGAUAGAAAGGGUGACAAAAGAUCUCACUCAUCCGAUAGGUGUCUUUUAUUUGGCAAGUGAUAGCCGUCCCAAAGAUUUCAGGAUUCGGCCAAGCGUUUCAUGGACUCAGAUUUAGAGUGUAGGGUGGUCUAUAAAUAUCAAAUAGCCAGAGAAAGAAAGGAGGUCGAGCGGCCAAACAUAGCAUGCUUAAGAAGGUCGAGUCACAACAGAGAACUCGAGCCGGAAAGCUUGAGUUCCCAAUGUUGGAAAAAUCUUUCUGAUCUUUUAUUACAAUAUUCUUUAAAAACCAAUUCGAAAAUUUAAAUUACAAGUUUCGAAAUAGUCAACGAAAGAAAUUAAAUAACAAAUAGUAUAAAGAAAAGGUUUAGAUAAGGCAUGUGGAUCGAGGCGUGCAGAGCACUAUCCUAGAAGCGAAAUUGCCCCUCCACGUGCGAGGCUUCCCGACAAUUACUCCUAGCGAUACAACGACCACGUUCCACCCCGUCGACAUGCUUUCAAGGUGGCGCAAGAUGAACCCAACGAGCUUCAAAUCCAGCAAAAGAAAACUCGGCGAAAAUCCAGAAAUCAAAAAAAGACGAGAGGCUUUAGGUAUUCUCGGGUUAUUCAUUAACUCGUGCAACCUCGCCCCAUAUUUAUAACCUAGGCGAGAAUCUUGCUUCAACGCGUCAAAUCCGUGUAGAACAAGAUAAGCCUAAGAUUAUACGGAUAAAGAUUAGGAUUAGGAUAAAGAUAAAGGUAAGGAUUAAAAUAAAGAUAAAAUAGAAAAAAUAAAAUAAAAUAAACCGGGUGUAUGAACCACGCGCGCCGCUGCCCGCCCGGCCUGGCUCGUGCCGUGCAUGCGUGUAUUUAAACAAGAGCAUUACUCUCACUUUCUUCCAAGCAGCUAGCUUGAGAACAAAGGAAUAUAUAAAAACCACAAACACUCUUUUGAUUUCCAAUGUGGAACUAAACAUCACACAUGAAAAUUUUAGUUGGGCUCCCAAGCGGCCCAUUAACAAUUAUUGGGCUCUCAAGAGGCCUUAACAAGUUUUAAAUCACAACAAAUCCAAUAAAAUCCAAUACCCAAUAUUUGUAAAUUCCUCAUUCGGAUUUAAUAAAAUUUUCCCUUUGACUUAUUUUUGAAAAACAGAAACAUUUCAUUUUUCUUCCAAGAUAAUGCAAGAUAAACCUUAUAAGAGGACAUUCUAUUCUCAGACUUGUUCCUCUAAUAAUCCAACUACAGAUUCUAUAUUCACUUUAUCAAUAGUGUUACUUCCAAUUCAAUGAAAAAUACUUCAUUAAACACUUUGCAGCAUAAAAUUGAGAGCAUUGAUAGAUCAACCAUCAGAGCAAUCAAGGGUUACCUAUUGACUAACUGGGAAGAAGGUAUUCGAAGUACCAAGCAACCUAAAGAGAGAGAAAAGAAGAAAAAAGGGAAAAAAAUAAAAAAUCAUUUGUGCAUUUAGGACCGGUUUAGUAAAUGUCUUUCAAUAAUUCUAGGGGCAUGUGAAUUAGAUGAUAAGAACUAGGGAAAGAAGUGUAAAAUAUUUUAUAUAGAAUACGCACCCUUCUAGUUUAUUCUUUGGAAUAAGAUACGUCAAUCACGUAGAAUCCACUAUCUAGAAGGAUGACAAUAAUGAGGACUUGCAAUGUACUAACUCAAAAAUCUCAACCAUAAAGAAAAUUCUCAUAUUGAACUUAUAACAUAAUGACUUGUUUGAACAUGUAAACAGGCCCUUUAAAACUACAGAAAAGAGUUUAUUUAUUUACCCGUUUUUAGCUAUAGAAUCUAUUUCAUUACCCCUUCUAGCCAUUCUUUGUUAGCUGACAGAAUCCCAAAGAGAUCAAACCCCUUGAGCUGAUGGCUCACCUGCAGCUAAAUUAGCCAUUUCCUUUGUUUUAUGCGUAUCAAAGCACCAGAAAGAAUAGGAAAUUAACAAAGUUUUUAUAACCUCAAUGACCAGUUUUCAUCAUGAUUACCAUAAAGUUUGCAACUCCUAAUACUUUACCUGUGUCAUACUGUAGAACUUAUUAUCCUACUUUCCUUCAAGCCACGCAUUCAAAUAGAUAUACUAAUGUCACUAAAAAUCUCAUGCCUCAGUGUUUGAAGAUUCUUAUCUUUUUCUGUUCAAUCUGUUUGUGAAAAUGUUAAAUUGCUUUAAGUCUAGCUUCUUUUGAAAAAAAGAUUACGCAGCUCAAACCUAUCAUCAGUUUAUGAAUUUUCUGCAUAUAUAAUAUAAUCCAGCGAGCAUUCUUUUAUCUGUGGCCAACAAAACAAUGCAAAAACAAUUACUUAGACCUUAAUUAUUUGAUGCCAGAAAAAGUUAGGGAGUUCUGGCACAGCUUGGGACCACAUAGCCUAAGAAUAUGACAUCUCUAAUGGAGCCCAUCCAAUAUAAAAGUUUAAGCCUCUUAGGCCUGGGCCUACUAGUAAAUAUCAAAUAUUUACUCUCUUAUAAUUAUUUGGUGUGGGAAUUCACAUGUGAACUUUUAGCAUUCUCCCCUUGUAACAUAUGAACCAAUCAAUCAACUCCCCCUUGAACUCAAAUGUUUUACUCUCUAAGCAUUGCACAAAGUCACCUUUUCGGCUCUUCUCCAAGACGUGCCCUUCAAGUUUCUUUUAUGAGUCAUUGUUGAACCCAUUUAUCUGAGCUUAUGCGCUAUAACCCACCCUACUCGUGAAUUCAUCCAAGCUCAUGCGCAUGCACCUAACCCGGGCCUCUCGGGCCCAACAGUUUAUUGAAGGCAUCAGCAUAUUAAGCCCCUACGCCAAAGAUGUGCCUCUCGAACCCAAUUCUUUUCAAUGCAUCAAAUCAUCAUAUCUCAACUACAACUACCCUCUGCGAACGCCUUAUGUUUGUAAAAGCCACCAUCCAUCAUAUUUGUAAAAGUCAUUAAAUCAAUUGCUCUGUUCUGUAUCACUUGGACGAGUACCCUAGGAUUGUAAAACGAUAGGCUCUAAUACCAUUGUGGGGGAGUUCUAAUCCUAACCUAAAUCCAUAUGAGCCCAACAAUGGGACAUAUCUAAUGAAACUCAUUCAACCUAAAAGCUUAAGACUAUUAGGUCUGGUCCUGCUAGUAUACGUCAAGUCUUUUAUUCUCUUAUAAUUAUCCGAUUUUUUUUCUCCUUUUUUUUCUUUUUUUUCUUUUUCUUUUUUCUUUCUCUCUUUUUUUUUUCUCUUUUUUUCUUUUUCUCUCUCUCUCUCUCUCUCUCUCUCUCUCUCUCUAUCUCUCUCCAUUUUUUGAGGCCCGGUAGCCUUACAUUUUGUAGCUAAGUUUAUUUUCGAAAGCAGGUGGCAUGUUACCUUUUUCUCAAAAAAAAAAAAAAAAAAACUUAUUAGAUAUGAAUUUUUUUUAUUUUUUGGGUGAGUUAAGAGUUAGGAGUUUGAUUUUUACUCCUUUAAAAGUUUUGACAUUUAUGAUUUCAUAAGAUGACACAUAUCAACAAUCGGUUGAUUUAUCUUAUUUUGAAAAAAUUAGCUUGAACGCCAAAUAUGGUAUACUUUGCAGACAUUUGGAGACAUUUUGUCAUAUUCCUCAUCAAACAAAUACUAUAUACGUUUUAGGUAAAUUUAGAAAGAUAUACCAAAUAAAAUAGUUAUGUAUUUUCAAAUUAAUAUGUAGUUCUAUUAUACCUUCACCUCUCAUUUUCUUGGUGGUUUUUUUUUUUUUUUUUUUACGAGCCAGAAAGUAUUUUCAAUGAACUUGCAAAUGAAAAAAUAUAUAUAGUUUACGACUAAUUCGACAUAAUUCACACGAAGCAGCUCGGUUUGGCGAGCGGAUUGGAAACCAUAUGCGGACAAGCCUACGGAGCAGAACAAUACCACAAACUCGCCGUGUACACCUACAGGUCCAUCACCACUCUCCUCCUCGCGUGCGUACCCAUCACUCUCCUGUGGCUGAUGAUGGCGAAGAUUCUCACCUUGCUCGGUCAAGACCCUGUGAUCUCGAGUGAGGCGCAGAAAUACGCAAUGUGGAUGAUCCCGGGCCUGUUCGCUUAUGCCGGCAUCCAACCGCUCAUGAAGUUCCUCCAGUCUCAAAGCCUGAUCCUCCCCUUGUUCUUGACUUCCUUAGCGACGCUAUGCUUUCACGUCCCUCUGUGCUGGGUGAUGGUGUUUAAGUUAGGCCUGGGGAACGUGGGAGCCUCGCUGGCGAUAAGCAUAUCGGAUUGGUUGAGUGUCUUACUGCUCAUUCUGUACGUCAGAUUCUCACCCUCCUGCGAAGAAACCCGAGCGCCGCUCUCAUGGGAGGCCUUCAGAGGCAUCAACGAGUUCUUGCGGUUCGCAGUGCCGUCCGCGCUAAUGAUGUGGUAAUUUCACGGUCACAAAAAUGUGUUAAAUGGAUUAACUAUACUGUUGCCUUCUCCUCUCUUUAAUUUUGAUCAUGUUUGUUCGUAUUUCCCAAAACCCUUCAGUCUUGAAUGGUGGUCCUUUGAGCUGCUCAUCCUUCUAUCCGGGCUCCUGCCGAAUCCAGAGCUUGAAGCCUCCGUGCUUUCUAUAUGGUACGGCACUACGGUGCACAAGCUAACAUAUAUAGUAAAUAUAGAUGGAUCCCUAUUAAAUUACACUUGGUCACGUUUGUGUUUACGAUCUAUAUAUUAUCUUUGUCCACAGUCUCACUUGCUUAACUACACUAUUCACCAUACCGAUGGGUAUUGGAGCUGCAGCAAGGUGAGAGCAACCACUCGAUCGGUGACAAUAGAAAACUUAUUGCUCAUCAUUUUUCUUUUUUUUUUCCUCUCCGUCUAUAGACACUAAGACCUAGAUAUAUACUGUUUGUUUUGUUUUCUACUUUGUGUAUACAGUAUUCGAGUAUCGAACGAAUUAGGGGCUGGGAACCCUGAACGAGCUCGAUCUGUGGCAGGCGUCACGGUGUUUGUCGGACUUAUUGAGUCUGUCGCGGCGAGCGUAAUCCUUUUAGCCUUGCGUCGCACCUUAGGCUACGCGUACAGCAGCGAGGAAGAGGUCAUAAAUUAUGUGACCAGCAUGGUUCCUCUGGCGUGCAUAUCUGUGAUCACUGAUGGCCUACAAGGAGUCCUCUCAGGUGAUAUAUUAACUAUCAAUCUCCUCCACUAUUGUUUUUCGACAGGCUACAAAACAAACUAUAUAUAUAGGACAAUAUGUCAACUUCCUAUGAUAUGCUGUGCAAUCCCUCCUCAUAUGCACCCUCUAAAGCUAUUAACUUCCUCUCUUAGAUAAGCAGGAAUAUGAAUUAGAAGAUACUUCCUAAAUUCAAUGAGAUGUUUAUUUGAGAGUAGUUCUUUUAUGUGUAGUCGAUAAAUGCUUGGUUGCUGUUCGAAAUAUGUAGCGAAUGAAUUAAACAGUUUCGACCAACCUACUUCCACGGCAAUCAUUGUAAUAGAGUGUAGUUAUAUAACUACUUUGUUGACCCAAAGAAGAAUUCAAUCAAUAAAAAGCGUGUGUUCUACGAACCCGAAAGACAAGAUGCAUUGUUUUUCUCAAGCAAUGUAAUUGUUAUUUUAUUUGAUCUACUAUCUGGGGCCUCUCUCUGUAUUCAUGCUUCACUCAGAUGCAUCGCAUAUGGCAACUAAUUAAAACUCAAAAUUGUUUCAUUCUGCUCACAACUACUAUGUGCCUCCUUAAUUUCCUUAAUUUUUGAUGCCGAACAUUCUUGUACGCAAAUAAAACCGUCUCCCAGCAUGUUGAUAUGUGUAUGAUCGGCCACCCUUGGUUCAUGCAGGCAUAUGUAGGGGAUGUGGGUGGCAGCAUUUAGGCGCCUACAUCAACCUCGGAGCAUUCUAUCUGUUCGGAAUUCCGGCAGCUGUGCUUUUGGGCUUCCGUAUGCACUUAGGAGGAAAGGGACUUUGGAUUGGCAUAAUUUGCGGCUCGACCACACAGACGAUCCUUUUGGCGGUCGUAACGUGCUUUACAAAUUGGGAAAAAAUGGUUUGUCCUCCUCCGCAUUACUACUGCUGCGAUGUUUAACUUGCAUGAUGUGAACCUCAAGUGCUAUCACAUUUUCGAUGCAUGAGAUUGGAAUAACAACUAUAUAACGACUGCAUUCUUCCUGAUGAGUGAAAUUGCUGAGAGAAGACAGAUAUUGGUAGAAGAAGAUUAACAUGGGACAUCUAUUGAUGGUUUCUCUUUUGUAUUGUUCGGAUUAUUUUGUCUUGCAGGUAAACAUGGCAAGGGAGCGAAUUUUUGAUGAAAGACUAGCAGAAGGGAGUGUCGCAGCAUGAGCCGAGGAAGGUGCCUAGGAUUCUAAAACACUCCAAAGCUUUGACAUCGGAUUAUCAAGAUUUUGCACCACAAGCUUUAGCUGAAACGGAAAUUCCAGUGAAUUAAAGUUGCUACUGCAACUAGAAUUUUGUCUCCUUCAUCUCGCACAAGCUUUAGCUUUUACAUUGGUUCAUUCGUGUUGAUUGUAAACCAUUAAAACUCCAUUCUCCUAUGGCUUAAGCUUUGGGUAUUUCACAUUGCACAAAAGUAGGAGGUCUGAAUUUGGACAUAAUCACGUCCAUCAGCAUUUAAUUCGGUGAGACUCGCAUAUUUUUCCCCUUAAUUUUAAGCAACUUCUCUUUAAUGAUGAUUUCCUCUGAUUUAAUUACGGUAUCUUAUGUUUAUUUCACUAUUUUAGUCUUUGAUUCAACAAAUCGUCCUUUUCUCAGUUCAGAUAUUCUUCUCCUCCGGAGAUGAACAUAUUGUUUGCUAGAUUCUAAAUUGUCUUGACCAUUAAAGCAUUUGCUCUUAUGCAUUCUCAACAUUUUCUGUAAACCAACGAGAAACCAACAUUGGCUACUAAUAUGAACACAAGAAUCAUUUGUCAAGAGAAGAUCACAACGAGCUACGUGAAGAAUUUGAAUUUUGAUUCCAAUGAUUAUUCGAGAUUAUUUCAUUUAAUCUCUUUUAUUUUAUUCAAAUAAGAUGGAAUGUCGACUAAGUUUUUUGUUCUCCUGUAGAUAUUAGAAAUUUAGUUUUAAACAGGAGCAAUCAAAUGUUAGGUCUGUUGCCGGUAUGAUGUUUUAUCCAAUAAAGUGCUAGAUGGUAGUCAGAGGGAAAAAUGAAAAUUUUCCCCUUUCUUCCCGCCAAUGUCCAGAUAUUGUGCAUCUAGUUUCCUAACAUAGAGACUUUUGCCAGUAAAAACUUCUCCAAAAAGUUUUUCUCCACCUGCCUAAGUGAUGCAACUGUUGGAUGUGGACCACAUAAUUUAUUCAAGAUGAUUCAUAAAGAUAUGGUCGAUCCAACAGUUAAAAUGUAUAUGGGCACGUUCUUGAUGGACGGACGUCCCGAUCUAACCCUAAUCUAAAUUAUGUUACAAAUAAUAUCCUUACAUUAGGUUAUAUAUAACAUAACGGAAGUCCCGAUCUAAUCCUAAACUGAAUUUCACUGUUAAAAUUAACGGAAUCGCCACGUCAACGUCUAUUUGGCAUCUUUUUGCAUGUUAAUUUAGGUCCCUAACCUUUGCACCUUUUUCACUUUACUCCCUAAAAAUAAAAAUUCAAAAUUUUAAAUAUAAAUCCAAAAAUAAUAUUAAAAUUAAAAUUUUAAACUAACGAGAAAUUAGAAUUUUGAAUAAAGCUGAAUUAAAAUUUUGAAUUGAAAUUCAAAUUUUAAAUUUAAAUUUUUAAUUGAAUCUAAAUUUUGAAUUCAAACUUACAAUUUUGAUUUUGAUUUUGAUAUUUCAAUUUACAUUUAAAAUGAAAGUUUUGAAACUAAAAUUUAAAUUUAAAAUCUGAAUUUAAAUUUAAAAUCAUAUUCAAAAUUUUGAUUUUAAAUUUUAAAUUUGAAUUCAACAUUUAAAUUUGAAUUUAAGAUUUGAUUUCAAUUCUAAAUUUGAAUUUAAAAUUCAAAUUCAAAUUCACAUUUUGAAUUUAAAAGUUCAAAUCGAAGUUUGAAAUUAAAUUAGAAUUUAGAAUUCGAAAUGUGAAUUUGAAUUUAAAAUUAAAAUUUUAAAAUUAAAUACAAAAUUGGAAUUAAAUUCCAAUUUAAAUUUGAAUCAAAAAUGAAAAUUUAAAUUUAAAAUUUAAAUCUUAAAUUAAAAAUCUUGUUUUGAAUUUAUAAAUUUAAUGGGUUAAUUACACCAUUGGUCCCAAUGUGACAACUGAGAAUUUGACUGUGCAGCUAUACUCUCUAUUGACGAUGUUUUUGUGUAUACUUUAAUUACAAAAGCACUCGUCAAGUUUCAAGAGGAAACAAGUUAGAAUGGAGAUUUUAUGCAAUCUUUAUUUUUCACUUAAAGUGAAUAGUAACCCGGGUUUCCGGAGAGACCAAUGAGUAAAGAUGGCUUCUGACGCGUAUCGGACUCCAUUCAUAGCAAUCCAAUAGCUCGUUUUCCAUAGUCCGAAUAUUUUGGAACCAUUGGCACUGACGGAUUUCAGAUUUGACACACGGUUUUCAAGGAAACUGGAGAUACAUGUAUUCUAUGUAUUUGUGUGCGGGUUUGGCCUAUUGGUAAGAGGAUGGAUUUCAUCGCGAACCUGCGACCAAACCUGAUGAAACAAAAUUGUAGAUUCGAUGCCCCAGUCGUGCUGAACGCAUUGGAGCAGUUCGUUCGCAAAUCUGAUGAACGGAUCUCCCGAAAAUUCAAAAUGUUAGCAAAGUGGUCGAAAGUGGCAAAACGAAAAUGUCGCAAAACUCCCUAUAUUUUAUGCACCGUUUUGCGUGAUUUUGUUUGUCGAGGCACGUGCGCGCAAAACAUGCACUCUGUGAGGGUCUUAGUUAUAAAUAGUCAUCGUUGGAGGACUAUCAUGCAAAUUUACAAUUUGCUUAUAUAGGGCUAUCUAGGGUUUCAUCAUGAAAACCCUAACCCUAGCUCUUUAGCUCCCUCAGCUGACCUCCCCAACCACCAAGCACCUUCCCUUGCCCUCGCCGCGCGCCUGGGCCGCCGGAUUAGGCUACAUUGCCUUCCUUCCCACCAAGCACCUCCCAUCCCUGCCCGUGGUCCAGCCGGGGUAACUGUAAUAUACCCAAAAUUUAGAAAAAAAAUAUCGAACUUUAGUCAAAUUGACAAAAGUGCGAGGAUGGUACACUUCGGAAAGUCUGAAGGUGUUAAAAUGAUCAAAAGUGCAUUGUGUGAGGUUUUCGAGAGCUAAAGAAUCAAAAAUCUGCAUUCUGCAGGUUUUGUGCUCUCGGGGACCGGUCCCUGGUGGGAGAGACCGGUCCCCGAACGCGUGAGAAAUGAGAAAGGCUGAAAAUCGGCUAAGUCCCAAAAAACCAGUUCUCGGGAACCGGUCCCUGUGGGGAGAGACCGGUCUCCCUGGGAGAGACCGGUUGCACUGCGCGGGGGUCUUGGCUGCCCGCUGGGAGAGCCCUCUGGGACCGGUCCCAAGUCGGGGAGACCAGUCCCCGAACACGAAAUCUGCCCAGUUUGGGCAUUUUAAUAAGAUAAAAGCUGAGGGGUUUAUUUGCAAUUAUAUAACAAAUGGGUUAUGUUGAGGGGGUUAUGAGGUGUUUUCUCUCAUUCUCUCCCUCUCACACACUCUCUCCUCUCUUUCUCUCUCUAGAAGACAAGAAGGAGAAGAAGAAAAGAAAGGAAGGAAAGGAAAAAGAAGAAGAAGAAGAAGGAGUAGAGGUGAAGAAGGAGCUAAGAAGUAGAGCUACUUCCUCUUCUUCCUCUUUGGAGCAACAUAGGAGCAAGCUUAGAGAUAAGCUUGAACCCUAUUCAUGGCAAAACUCUAGAAUGAGAACUAAGUGACCUAGAAAUAGUUUUAAUAGAACCUUUUGUAUAUUUGAAGCUUUUUUUUGCGUCCUUAAGAGAUCAAAACUAUGGUUUGGGUAUAUGUAAUGAAGCUUAGAGGUGAGCUUCACCCCUCUCAUGGUAAAAUCCAAACUAGGAUUUGGAUUAAGCUAAGGAUGAUUUUUAUAGAGUCUCUAGAGUAUAUUGAAACUUCUUUUGCUUCCUAAUGAGAUCAAACCCUAGGUUUUGAUGUGGUUUGAGCUAGGGCACCCAAAUUGGGGGUUUUGCUUGUGAGGGUUCCAAAGUGAAAUUGACCCUUUAGAAACCUAAUUGGGGGUAUUUCCGAAGCGUUGGUGCACUCGGAUUAACGUUACGAAAAGCCAAUGUAAAGAUAUGAGCAAAAUGGCCUAAUAGGGCUUCGUUUUGCCGCAGGUAGCAAACGAAGAGGCUAAAAAUCCCAAAAAAAUUACCGUAGCAUCCUAGUACGCCUACGAGGUGGGUGGUGCUAUCCAAACUUGUUGGAAUUUUCUUUAUGUCUAAUGUGUCACUUUUUGAACAUCCAUGAGUAUAUUGUUGCAUGCAUAGUAGGGUAAUGAGAUUAUGAACAUGUGAAUGUUUGCAUUUUGUGAGUUCAAGUGCAUCAUUAGAUGGUUGAGAACCAAUAAGAAUGUAACAAUCCUAUAUGUACAUGUAUGAUGAUGAGAACUUGAUAAAGUUAAAGAACAAGUGACAUAUAACAUGAGGACAAUGAAAUGUUGAGAAUGAAAGCUAAAGAUAACCUAAAGUUGUAUAAGAACACUAGAGUUAGUGUAUGACAUCAAAGAGAAAAGUGUGGCAUCAAGUGAAUAAGUGAGUCAUAAAGAACGUUAAAUGCUAGAGUUAGCAUCAAAAGUGUGACAUAAAGAAUAAUGGCUAGAGUUAGCAUCAAAGUUGGCAUCAAAGAACAUUAGAGUUAAUGUAUGAUAUGAAUGAUAGUAAAGAAUGUAAAGAACACUAGAAUUAGUGUAUUGACAUGGUCAAAGAUAAAGAAUGCAAAGAACAUGAGAUUGACACAAUGACAUUCAACCUUAGAGCUAAGGGUCAUUUGUGCAUAUUUCUUUAGAGUUGAGGAACAGAUUGAACUAAAUAUCCUUAGAGUUAAGGAUUGAUCAUACUCGCUAUAAGUCCUGGCUCAAGGGUGGUCGCUCCCCCUCGGGCGAUGCGCUCCAGAGUUUGUCAUCACUGAGUUGAGUUACUUAGAGGACGGUCCUAGCAGGAGGAAGAUGAGGGACCGCAAUCAUGGAUUUGAGUUGUGAAUUAAUGAGGCGAUACCCCCGAGUUAGCCUUGAGAUUGAACAAAGAACAAAGAACAAAAAAUAUCGACCCUGCAUUCUUCAUGAAUUUAUAUUGAGCAUCUUAUUGAUGGCAUUGUUCAGGCAUAUUAGCUGCAUUUGUAUAGUUAGUUACUUAUCUGCUAUUUCUUUCUAUUAUGCCCGAGUUAGACCUAGUGGAAAAGUCGGUGAGAUUGGGGCCGAACCCACUGGAAACUUUGUUAUAGUUCUCACCCCACUAUUUCGACAGAGCCGGGACCGAGCGAGCCAGCGAGCGACCGGGGUAAAGGUAUCACACCUUAGUCAGAGGCCACCAGAGUCGGGUUUAUAUUUUGUAGUAGCAUUCCCUUACUUCAUCUUUUGUACUUGAAGAUGUUUAAAGUAAAGAAAAAGAAUGUAAACUUUUAUUUUGAGGCAAUGUGAUGUAAAAAGAAAUGAUGCAAGUGAUGUAAUGAAAUGUAAAGAAUCAUGAAUAUGAAGGUUAAAUGCAAUGUAUGUGAUCAAAAGAGAAUCAUAGUACUUGUGUAGAUGUUUAGUUUCCUUUCUUUCACUCAUGGCUAUUGCUUACCCUCGUGUAAGCCGUUUCUGUAUGUUUCCGCUAGUGCUUUUCUCUACUUGAAAAUGUACAGGUGAUGAGCCUUGGGUGGAUAGGAAAAACUCUAUUCGUUCGGCGUCUAUUUGACGUGCUCGGGCCGGCCCAAAUUGGUAUCGAUCCCGGAGCGUGACAGAUAUUGUGGUAUCAGAGCCUAGAGUGAAAGGAUAGGAAUGGACCUAGAGACCUAUAGGAUUGGCAUACCUUAAGGAUCUAGGAAACGUGAGUGACGUGGGAUCAAAGUUAGCGAAAGCAUGUGAUUGGAUUAAGUUGGGACGUCUCUAAUGUGAUUAGAGGCUAAGUUUAAUUUUCAUUUGUCCUCUACUUCUAGUGUUGUGUCGGGCGGCCGAUGACAUGACGCUUGAGGCAAGGAUGAAUGUGUAUGUUGAUUUCGCCGAAUUAGGUAUUGAUGAGUAAUGUUGGUUAUGUAGCUAAUGCGAGUUGCUUCUUUUCAGGAAGCAAUGGCACCUCGUGGACGACCACAGACAAGGUUGAUGCCUGAGUAGCCAAGUGUGGAGCCCGAGCGAUCCGGAGCGAGUGGCGACAGAGAGCUUAGGGAUCAAGUAGCUGCGCUUAUUGGAGUAGUGUGGCAGCAAGCAGAGUCUGUGCGAAGCCAAGAGGAGCAGAUUCAGCGACUCCAGGAGGCCUUGGAGCGUCAGCAAGCGGCGGCCCAGGCGGGUGUCGAGCAUGUCGCGCCCCCUGUGGUAGUGCCGAGCGUGGACGAGGGAGCGGCGGCAGCAGCGGCAGCGGUGGCUGUGCCAGUUACGAUAGUACCGGCCGUAUCGGGAACCUCAAAUCUCGAUAGUGCGGCGGUAGAGGUGAAGCGGGAGCGCACGUUGGCGGCUCUCAUACAGUUUAAGAAGUUCGACCCACCUACCUUCAAAGGCGCAUUGUGUAGCACACUGGACCUUUGCAAAUUGCGAGGUUCGAGUGUUUGAUGUGUACUCCAAAAUUUUUCGCACUUAGUGGAAGACCGUAGAUGGUAUUCCGGCCUAAAAGUUCGAUCUCUAGAGUUUUGACUUUGUCCUGAGAGUUUUCACUCUCGGGGACCGGUCCCUGAUAGGAGAGACCGGUCCCCUCAGAACAGUGUUGCGGCAGCCGGCGAGGCAACCGGUCCCUGGCGGGUGAGACCGGUCCCCGAGCGCUUUUUCACGGGGAAAGACCGGUCCCGCGCGGGGAGAGACCGGUUUCCGAACGUUGGAUUUUCGGGUUCGACCUGAGAGACCGGUCCCAUGCGGGGAGAGACCAGUCCCCCCUGGGCGAAAUUGCCUAGUUCGGGCUGAUGCAAGGAUUGAAAUGUUGGGGGAUCUAGAUGGAUUUUGUGCAUGAGGGGGCUUUUAGAGCCACUUCUCAUCUCUCUUUCUCAUAUUUCUCACCCUCUCACAUCCUCUAGAGAGAGAAGAAGAAGAAGAAGAAGAAGAAGAAGAAGAAGAAGAAGAAGAGAAGGAGAGCAAGCUUGGAGGCUUUGGAGCAUCUCCCUCUCCCUCAUUUCUCACUUUUGGAGGCUUAGGGCUUGUAGCUGGAGCUUGUUAGUGGAUCAAUCUUCAACCCUAGAAGAUUUGGAGUUUGCUUUGAGGCAUUUAGAGAGGUUAGCAUCUUGAUUCUAACCUUUGAUCCUUGUUUUGGUAGGUUUUACCAUAUGAAACCCUAGAUUUGGAUUUUAGGGUUAGAUUUGGGGAUUUUCAAUUUGAGGGCUUUGAGACCCAAUUGAUUGACUUAGAACCUUCCUCUAGGUUGGAUUGGAAGGGUUCUUGCCCCCAUUUGGAGCUUGAGAGAGGAUUUCGUCACUUGAGGUGAGUCUCCUCCACCUUAGCCUAGGUUGCUUGUUGAUUGAGUUUAGGGUUGAUCGUAAAGUUCAUUUAACCCUUGUUCCUACAUCUUUAGGGUGCUAGGGGGCUAGUGGACACCUUCGUCGGAGCUUACGAAGGGUUUCGGUAUCAUCGGUGGGUUUGGCUUCAUAAACACGGGACAAAAUGGCCCCUAUGUUUUCUAUACUUGUCAUAAAGUAUUUUUGAAUGCAAAUCCAUGCUAAAUAUGAAUUAUGUGAAUUUUAGAACACUUAAAAUGCAUGCAUCAUGUAUGAUGAAAAUUUCACUCUAUAUAGUAGAGCCUUAUAGAUUUGCUGCAUGCAUGUGAAAAGUAAUCGCAUUAGCGAGUGGAAAACUUGUCUUCUAUGUUUAAAAUGACUCAUAUUAUGCAUUCGGGAACAUAGUUACCAUGCUUGGACUUAUUGAACAAUAGUGUCAUAAAGGGGCACUUGAAACUAGUAAACUAUGAAACUACAACAUAGAGACAUGAUGACAUAGUGAUAGGCCAUCGGACAUAUGCUAUUUUCCAUGUUGGAGACAUGAUGACAUAGUGAUGGACCGUCGACACAGUUGACUUAUAUUCCAUAUUUUGGCAUGAGAACUUAGUACUUGAGACAUACUGUUACGCAUGCUUGCCAUUGUGUUCAUUUGCACAUGCUUGUGAGGGUCGCUCCCUACAAGCCGGCACUCCGGAGUUGGCCAUCGCAAUAUGUUCGCCGUGCGGGAUUGGGCGCCGAAGUGGAUUGCUGUGGGAAAGGCUCAUUCCUAGGGUGGGGAUGUUGACUACCACUGGGCCAUUAGGCACGGUAAAGCCAGACAGCCUUCGGGUGGGUCUUAUGCUAGACAGCCUUCGGGUGGGUCUUAUCAAAGUUGAACUUUAAACAGUCAAAGUGACAAGUGGACAUUAACUAGAAUAGUAAACAAUGGCACCUUUACUAUUUAUAUUGUGGACAUUUGGUUAGUUGCAUACUUAUGCAUUUACAUGUGGGAUACUCUUGUGCACAUACUUGUAGUAGUUGCUUUCUUACUUAUGCAAAUCAUGCUAAGUAGAGACAUCAUGGUUGAGUAGUAUUCAUGUUUAUUUCCUAGUUGUUCUUACUGCUUUCGCUUAUACUUAUACAUUGACCCCCUUUUUGUAGCUUUUGGGCCUAGUGGCGCAUUUCACUGAAGUCAGUAAUUGCCCACUAGGAACUAUUAUUUAAUAGUUCUCACACCCCCUGUUUUAUGAUUUUAUUUCAGAGCCUUCGGCACCGGCGGAGGCACGGGAUCGCGGCAAGGGAGUCGCAUAGCUAGUUAGCGGGGAUCUACUGUUGAGCUUAGGUGGUUUACUCUUUCUUUUAUUGUACUAGAGAGAGAGAGAGAUUUUGAGUACCAUAUAUAGAGAGACCACCUAUAUACUCUUUAUGUUUAGUUUUUGUAUUUGGGAUUCCCUUCGUACUACUUUAUGGCUUUAUUAGAGGAUUUCAGUUUUUUUUUUACUUACCCCUCUAUGUAGAACUUAGUUAUUUACUUUGUUCUGAUAUCGUUAGAUUCCUUUGUUCUAUUGCUUUAUUUAUCGUUUUGUUUUAGACGCCUUGUAUGUUUUAGACAUAUGGCGGGUCUCGGCCCGCACCGGGCGGGCUUCCGCUGGGUCCCGGGGCGUGACAGAUUGGUAGAGCCGGCGGUCGUGGAGUCGUGGAUCGACUCGAUGGAGACGUUCUUCAAGGAUCUCAAUACCUCGGAGAAGGACAAAGUAUACCUUGCCACCCAUUGUCUUGAGAAGGCGACGAUGAUGUGGUGGAAGCGAGUUAAGCGGGAUCGACCUACCGAUCUUCCGCUCAUGUUGUGGGAGGAGUUCAAGAGAGUAGUCUUCGUGAACUACUUCCCCGACACGGUGAAGCGGAGGUUGCAAGAAAAGUUCCGCAAGUUGCGACAGGGCGAUCGAUCGGUGGGGGAGUACGACAGGAAUUCUCCCACAUUAUCGACUGCGUUCCCAAUGUUGUUAGAGAUGAUCUGGAUUUGGCUGAUUGGUUCUUGCGAGGACUCCAGUCGAGAAUUUAUGAGAAGAUGCAGAUCUUGAAGUUGACGACCUUUGCGGAGGUCUUCGAUAGAGCUUUGUGGGCGGAGCACGGUAGCGCACAUGUACGUGAAGAAAGGUAGGCUAUGGCCGAGAGCAAGGACAAGAGCAAGAAGCGAGCGGCGGGUGGUGCCGGGGGCCAGCCGAAUGCUAAGAAACCCCCUUGGUAUCCCCGACAGCAGUCGAGGAACUGGAGAUGUAACAUACCAGAUUUUGGUAUAAAAAUAAAAAUAAAUAAAAAUAGUGUGAGAAACUAUUUUUAUUGAAUUUGUAGGAGUAAAACAUAAGUCAGAAGUGACUUGUGCUGAAAUCGGAAUAAAAACAGAAAAUCUAAAAUUUUCUGUUGGAAACGAGACAGAUAAAUUAGCAGAAAAUGCAGUCUCAGAAAAUUAUGAAAAUUGGAGGAUAAGUCAGAAAUAUUUUUAUGAGGCUAGAUUUAAAGUUUCAUAUUUUUCUGACACCCGUAGAGUGAGAAAUAAAAUCCGAGAUUUAUCAUGAUAAAGAUUACAGUUCGGUACAGUUUUCGGUGACCAAACUGGCGGUCAAAACUGGAAACUUAAGAUAUAUUCUUACUCAGUACAUUAAGGCUGAGCCUGCCUGUCAAAUUUGAGCUCAAAAUGGACAUUCAGAAGGGCUCCAACUGUUCCGGAACUGCUAAACAGCUGCCCGGGAGUAAAUAGUGUAAAAGUUGAGGGGUUGAUUGGUAAAAAGGGAUUUAAUCCCUUUUCUUCUUCUUCUCCUCAGCCGAAUGCACAACACACACACACGCCACACACACGCAGGAGAAGGAAGAAAGAGAGCUCUCCUUUCUCUCUCUAAAUCUCUCCCAAAAUUGAUGAAAUUGGAGGAGAAGCAACUUGAAGUUGAUCUUCAUAUUUCUCGUCUUCUUCCUCUCCAUUAGAGCAAGCUUGAAAGUAAGCUUCAAACCCUUUAAUGGCAUUUCUCUCUAGUUUGGUUUUUAAGCUCUAAGAAUGAAUUUAGAGGUAUCUCUAGCAUGUCAAUAAGAGUUUGAUGCUUGAAAGAAGCUCUAAUGGUGGAUUUUUACCUAGUUGUAAUCUAGGGCUCAAAAUGCUAAUUUGGUAAAUAUGAGGGUUUGAUCUCAUUUGACCCUUCGUAAAACCUAAUUGCUAGUAACGAAACGACGUUGGCGAAGUAUGGUUCGGCAAAUCGACAGCCGUUACAAAGUAUUAAAGAAAUGGACGUUUAGGCUUUCGGUCCGCCGGAAGAGCGCGAGGCGACGUCGUAAAAAUCGUGAAUGGAUUUGAGGCCAUCGUGCACAUAACCGUAAGACUUAUAUUUUCGGGCUGGCGAAACGGAGCAGCGUUGAGGCGCAAUUCAAUAUCGGCCGUGCGGAUACGGGUGCCGCGGCGGCUGAUUGCAAGUGCUCGACAAGGCAAUCGGAAUGCGAAAUGAGGUCGGUUGUGCUCUAUCGAAGCGGACUAGGUCGCCUGUAUGUCUAAGAGAAAUGAGAUUUUAUUUUGAUGCAAUUGAAUAAUAUAAGAAUGUAAAAGAAUGCAUCUAACAUACUAUAGAAAUGCAUAUGAUUAUUGCUUUGAAUGCAUAAUAUAAAGGCAGUAUGAAUGUUAGCAUUAUAAGAACAUCAUAAAAGAAAUGUAUGAUGACAUGUGUAGAAUAUGCUAAUAUAAUGCUAUAUGAAUUAAGUGCUAAAAGAAAUGCAUGAGAUUUUAAGUAUGUGACUAUUUGGAUAAUGACUAUAUGUAUUUGACUAUCAUGUGAUGGCUAGUGGUAAUAUGUGCAUGAGUGAUAUAUAUGAAUUUACAUAUUGUGGAUUAUAUUAAAUAGAAAAAACAUACUUGAAUACAUAUUGCCAUGUUGUGGAACAUAGUGGACCAAUCUAUAUAUAUAUAGAUCGAGUGCAUUAAACCUAGCAUCUUGAACCUAGCAACACACUUGUGGUGAUUGAUCAUAGUAUAUUACUAAUUCAUUCAUGUAUGUUAAGGACCCUAUUAUUGUGUAAAUGUGAGAGUUGGACUUGAACAUUAGUAAACAAGGGUGACAGUGACAAUAGAGACAUCUUGGCAUCAAGAAAGUGAUUGUUAAACAUAGUUUAACUCAUAUUGACAUUGGUCAAGUUGACAUAGAGAAGUUGGCAUGAUUAAAUAGGUAGAGACCUAUCAUGACAUUGGUAUUGUGACGAGUGGCUAUGAAUCGCUCAGUUGAGGAUUGGAUCGAUACUCACGUUACGUCUGGCUUGAGGGAGGUAGCUCCCCCUCGGCGCGUGCGCUCGGAGUUGUCACCACUGGGCGUGGUAAAGUCCCCGCCAGUAUGAGGUCUCCCAGGGAAGGUUCGAGUCCCCGUUAUAGGGAUUUUGGUAUGUGAGUUAUUGGGUUAACAAUGGUUAACCGAUAAGAUCGGGUCAUAGCCAAAUGAGUGUACAACAAGCUAUGCAUUAUGAGUUAUGGAUUUUGUAUCGCUAAGUCGAGAGGAUCUAGGGCUCCGAGGUGUAUGUGAGCGUCCAUCGCCUCGAGCCUGGUUCUAGUGCGUUACUUCUGCAGACGAUUGACUCAAGACGCGACUGUGCGGGUUGGUUAGCCUUGUAACAGGUAGAUGGAAUUUAUGAUUAAAACGGUGAUUGACAGAGUCUAUGAUAAAAGAAAACUUAGAUAUCAAACGGGGGAUGGUAGUGGUAGUGUAGCAGAAUUGAAAGUAGUUUAUCGAAUGAACUACUAGUUGGUUGCAUAGUUGCAUUUAUUGCAUGAUUUGCCAUAUAGCGAUUGCACUUAUUGCAUUUCGUGAGGCAAUGCAUAGUUUUAAUUCCGUUGCAGUAAUCAGAUAUACUAUCUAUCUGUUUAGUUGAACCAACUUGCAGUUGGCCUCACCUUUCGGCACCUAUUGGUCGAAGCUCUCUCCCUUGGGUGGCCGUAUCCCACCUGCGAACCAUGGAGCUUGGUUCUCACCCAACGUGGUUUUGGGGUGUCUUAACAGGUUCGCAACCGUGAGGAGCCGCGGCAGCAGCGAGCGAGGGCCGUCAAGCUUCCAUAGUUAGCGCCCUACCACCGAGACCAGAGAUAGCGGUACCCUGAGUCGGCCUUACUUAGGGAUGUAAAGAAUGAAAAGAAUCAAGUUGUAAUAAUAUUGUUAAAUUGGAUUGUAUUUGGAAGUUAAGUGAAAGCUAAUGUUGGAAUCUAAUGAGAUUUGUGAUGUAAAAAUGAAUGAAUGUGAAUGCAUGUAAUAACAUAGGAUGUGUUAUGUUGUUUGAUACCUUCCAUUAUGCAAUCCUUGAUUGAAAUGUGUUCCUGGUUGGAACUUCGCACAUUGUAUUGAUUGCUAUGCCUUGAACGUACAGGGGAGACUCUGUCCGCAGUGCAGGGGAAACCCUGUCCGUUCGGCGAUCUGUCGGCGGCGCCACGACCCGGCCAAAUAGGCGGGCGGUCGCGGGGCGUGACAGGAGACCACCUCGGUGCGUCAUUUGUGGCGGAGAGCACCAAGUGUCGACUUGCCCGUAGCGCUAUGGCAAGUGUUUCAAGUGCGGCCAACUGGGACAUCUUAUCCGGGAGUACCCAAGCUGGACGUCGUCUGCGCCGACGGCAGCAUCAACACCGUCUAUCCCGAGACAGCUUGCGGGGUUACCACAAGCGAUGUCGGCUCGGCGCGCGUCAUCACCGCAUCAGCCGGAGGGAUCGAGAGCGCUGAGAGGCCGGGUUUUUGCUGCUCAGGUGGAGGAGCAGCACCUGACGAUGUCGUGGCAGGUAUAAUUGUGAUUAAAGGCACUAGAGCUAGAGCAGUAUUUGAUACAGGCGCAUCUCAUUCAUUCAUUAGCGCAUCAUUUGCUCAAACUCAUGGCAUAGAAAUGGCAUAUAACGAGGACUACUGGUGGGUGAAUGCCCCAGAACAUUCAUUCAGUGUCCAUAAUGAGUGUUUAGCGUGUCCAGUGCAAAUAGGCGAUUGGAUUAUGCCGAUAGAUCUGCUAGUGCUAGAUCAUAUGUGGGGAUUCGAUGUCAUCUUGGGGACCAACUGGCUCUCCAAAUACUAUGCGGUUAUAGAUUGUGAAAGCAAGGUGAUCACUUUUCUUGAGCCUAACCAAGAAGAGUUGGUGUACCAAGCAUGCAAAAGUAGGCGCUUCGCGGCGACCAUAUCAUCUGUAAGGGCGAAGAAGAUGAUCAAAGGAGGGUGUAAGGCCUAUUUGGCAACCAUGGUUGAUGCUCGAAAGGAGUGCCCAGAGUUCGGGGAUAUUCGAGUAGUGUGCAAGUACCCGGACAUGUUUCCGGCGGAGUUGCCGGGACUGCCACCGGACCGGGAAGUUGAGUUCGUCAUUGACUUGAUUCCCGGGGCGGCGCCAGUUUCGAAGGCUCCGUAUAGAAUGGCACCGGUGGAGCUAAAGGAGUUGAAAGGCCAAUUACAAGACUUGCUCGAUAAAGGCUUCGUGAGGCCGAGCGUGUCACCGUGGGGAGCUCCGGUGCUAUUUGUGAAGAAAAAGGAUGGCACACUUCGACUCUGCGUAGAUUAUCGUGAGUUGAACAAAAUGAUGAUAAAGAACAAGUACCCGUUGCCAAGGAUUGACGAUUUAUUCGAUCAGUUACAAGGGUCCAAGGUGUAUUCGAAGAUUGAUCUCCAAUCGGGGUAUCAUCAAUUGAAGAUUAGGCCGAAGGAUGUGCACAAGACGGCGUACCGUACGCGGUAUGGCUAUUAUGAGUUCACGGUAAUGCCGUUUGGGCUUACUAACGCCCCGACAGCAUUUAUGGACUUGAUGAACCGAGUCUUCAGGCCGUUGUUGGACCGGUGCGUCGUGGUGUUUAUAGACGACGUAUUGGUUUACUCAGAGAGUGAAGAGGAGCACGAAGAGCAUCUGAGAGCUGUGUUGCAAAUACUCAGGCAGGAGAAGCUCUAUGCAAAGUUAAAGAAAUGUGACUUUUGGCUAAAAUAGAUCACAUUCUUGGGUCAUGUGGUAUCGGGCGACGGAGUGUCGGAAGACCCGAAGAAAGUAGAGACAAUAAAGGUUGGCCUCGCCCGACGAAUGUAGCGGAGGUCCGCAGUUUUCUUAGAUUUGCGGGCUACUACCGGCGGUUCGUGGAGGGGUUUGCUAAAAUAACCACUCCAUUAACGCGCCUUACCCAUAAAGUGUUAAGGAUUUUCUAAGUUGGCGGAUUUCGUGAAGUCGAAUGGAGUCUUGAAGAGUUGAUCGCGGAAGUUUAAAGAGAAGAUCCACUUUGAAGAAUCUAAGACCUAUUUGGAAAGCUUGACACAUCAGGUAUGAAUGUUAGAUCAUUUGUGGUGUGUUUAAACUACCUAAAUAUAAGUUUAGAAGACUUGGAUUGUUAUAGAAAACACUAACUGAAGUUUUCAAUAUGCUGGGACCGGUCCCCUGAGAUGAGAGACCGGUUCCCGAGAGUCCUCUCUGCGUGAAAGUCCAAGGCAACCGGUCUCCUGAUCUGAGGGACCAGUCUCUAGGACGGUGCAACCGGUCUCUCACAUGAGAAACCGGUUCCCGAACGUGGGAUUUUUGACUCGCAGAGAGAGACCGGUCUCUGGCAUGAGAGACCGAUUCCCGAAUGUUGUGUUUCCUGUCAUGCAGCGAGGGACCGGUCUCCCACCUAAGGGACCGGUCUCUGACAGACCGGUCUCCUCGAGAGGACCGGUCCCUGAGGACGACACCAGUUUUUAAAAAUAGACUUUUUGCAAUCCUAUUCCACUUCUAAGUCUUCUAAACCUAUAAAUAAGCGAUGGGGGUCAUCAUAUGAGUUGAGGUUUAGAAUUUCUACUGUUCUAAAAUCCUAGAAACUUGUUUUCAUAUUCUUAUGAUUUUAUUCAUAUAACAAGUUUCAUCUAAUCAACGAUCAACUUGAUUCUUAAGUUUUAACUCGAGAUUUUCUUCAAGAAUCAAGGAGAUGAUUGAUUAGAAGGUUAACCCUCAUCGCUUAUGGUAUUCUAAGUCUUAAUCACCACAAAUCAUCAAUUCUAAAAGCUCCAGAAGGAGGUUUGGCGUGUGGAUCUUGCGUGAAGCUGAGGAUUCGAUGGAGGCUUUGAGGAGUUGAGGCGUUUACCCGGCAAGGAGUUGUAGCGGGGUCGAUUGGAGGCUUCCUAUCGAUCGAGGACCGACGAAGACAAUCGACUACGAGAAUUCGGUAAAUUGAGUCAUGUAUUUUGGUUAAAUCACUUGUACUCAAGUUUUCUUAGUUGAUUUUCUUCGUGUGAUCGGUCCCGUGGGUUUUUCACUCCGGAUUGGAGGUUUUCCACGUUAAAUCUCGGUGUGUUGUUUUUAUUUUCCGCUAUCUCUUUUUAUUUGCAUCGAUAGGUUUGGUUUUUGCCGUUUACACCUAUUCACCCCCCCUCUAGGUGUUAUUUACCUUUUAGAUUCUUGGGAUCCAUAUCUUACAAGUGGUAUCAGAGCGGGUAUAGGUUGUAAAUCAUGGCCGAGGGCGGUAACAUCAAUCGACCCCCUCUCUUCGAUGGCACUAAUUACGCUUAUUGAAAAGUCCGUAUGAGGGCGUUUCUUAUUGCCAUCGACGAGCGGGUAUGGCAAGCCAUUGAAUUCGGGUGGAAACAUCCCACCGAAGUUGUCGAGAAUGUUACCGGUCCGAUACCUAGAAAUAAAUGGAUGAAAGAGGAAAACGAACUAUCUUCGUUCAACAGAAAGAGUAUCAAUGCUUUAUUUAAUGCUUUAAAUCAAACUGAAUUUUCUCGUGUCUCGGCGUGUGAAACCGCCAAAGAAAUUUGGGACACUUUACAAGUUACACACGAGGGUACAAGCUUGGUAAAGAUUCAAAAAUUACAAAUGCUUACAAGUAGAUUUGAUUCUAUUCGUAUGGAAGAACAUGAAUCUUUUACCGAGUAUUAUGCUCGUUUAAAAGACAUUGUAAACACGUGUGCUAACAUAGGCGAGAAGAUUCCGGACUCCAAAAUUGUUAGAAAAAUUUUGAGAACCCUUUCCGAACGAUUUCGUCCUAAGGUUGCGGCCAUUGAAACGGUAAAACAUCCGGAUGAACUUAAAGUAGAAGAAUUAGUUGGUGCUCUUCAAACUUAUGAGAUGACUUUUCCUUCUAAUUUAUCUUCUUCUAAGUCUUCUUCUAAAGCUUCAGGUAUGGCCUUAAAAUCAACAAAAGGAGAUGACAUGACUACUUCAUCGGACUCGGAAUCGGAUCAAACAUUGGAGGAGUUUGAAAAACAAUUGGCUCUUCUAACGAAGAAGUUCCGUCGGAACUUUAGAAAGAAGUUUCCUCCAAAGUCUACUUCCUCAAAGUCGAGCAAAUCUAAAGGGAGUUCUUCUUCAUCUUUCUUUUCUAAGAAUAAAAAAUCCAAAAGCUCCUCAAAAGAUUUUUCUAAAGAGAAGAAAAAUAAUGAAGGUCAAAUCCAAUGCUAUAAGUGUAGAGGAUUUGGUCAUAUUGCUUCGGAUUGUACUAAUAAGAAGUCCUUGAAAAAGAAAGCGAGUAGCCAAUCAAUUUUCAUCUAGCUCUAGCAAACUUGACAAGAUGCUCGGACUUGGUCAAACAAAUAAAUUUGGACAUGGAUACGAACGGACGUAUGUUGAUCAAGCAAUGAAGAAAGAUGACGAACAUUCGACAAAAGCGGUUCCUAAGCUUUAUGGUAAGUUUGUCCCUCCUAAAGACACAUUGACUAACAAAACUUGUCAUCUUUGUGGUGUUUUAGGACAUAUAAAGAAAUUUUGCAAACAAAAGGGUAAGAGCUCUACAACACCCUUGAAUCAACGAACAGCAUUAAAGCCAAUGAAGAAUGAUCCUAAAUCAAAAGCGAAGUCAACUUGGACUCCAAAGAAUGAUGAUCAUAAGAAGAAACAAACAUGGACACCAAAGAAGAAUGCUCCAAAAUCAAAGGCAAAACAAGCAUGGAAGCCAAAGAAGGAGGAUCUGAAGAAGAAGUCAACUCAAAUCAUCGACAAGCCACGAUCACCAAAAGCAAGUCAACCGACGCAACCCAAAACACGUAAGGUCUGGGUGUGCAAAGGUGAACUCUUUUCAUGCCUUGUCAUUCACACUUCGCUUCAUGCUUACGAUAACAUUCUUGGUAUCUGGAUAGUGGUUGUUCCCGUCACAUGACCGGUGAUAAAAAUUGCUUUACUUCUUUAAAUAAAAUCUCCGGAGGACUUGUUGUCUUUGGAGACGGUCGGUCAUCAAAAAUCAUCGGAAAAGGAACAGUUACUAUCGCAGAUGGCCCUACUUUGAAUGAUGUUUUUUAUGUUGAGGGGUUUAAAUCAAAUCUCAUAAGCAUAAGCCAAUUAUGUGAUGAUGGGUAUUCUGUGAAAUUUUCUGAUAAAGAAUGCAAUGUGACUCGCGAUGAUUAUCUUUUCUUAAAAGGUGUAAGAUCUCAGAAUAAUUGUUAUGUAGUUCCUAGUGCUUCAUUUGAAAAGUGUAAUCUAGCGUCAUUAGAGACUGAAACUUUAUGGACUUAAACAAGCACCGCGAGCAUGGUAUGAACGAUUAACAAAAUAUCUUUUAGAAAAGGGGUACAAUCGAGGGGGAGCAGAUAGAACUCUUUUUGUUAAACACACUAAAAAUGACUUUAUUGUGGCACAAAUUUAUGUGGAUUACAUUGUCUUUGGCGCAACUAAAGAUACCGUUGCCACUGAAUUUGCAAAGUUGACGACUAGUGAGUUUGAGAUGUCUAUGAUGGGUGAGCUUUCAUAUUUCCUUGGUCUUCAAGUUAAACAAUCAAAAGAAGGAAUUCAUUUGUCUCAAACCAAGUAUGCAAAGGAAUUGGUUAAGAAAUUCGGUUUGGAUGGAGCAAAGAACUUUGAUACACCGAUGGGAACAAGUAACAAAAGACUUAAAUUGAAUGUUGAAGGACAAAGUGUAGAUGAGAAACAGUAUAGAAGCAUGAUCGGCAGUUUACUGUAUUUGACCGCGAGUAGACCGGACAUUGCUUUUAGUGUGAAAAUUUGUGCUCGCUAUCAAGCUAAUCCAAAAGAAGUUCAUUUGAAAGCGGUUAAGAGAAUCAUACGAUAUGUUAAAGGUACAACUGCUUAUGGUCUAUGGUAUCCGAUGGGGACGUCCUUAGAUUUAAUUGGCUACUCGGAUGCUGAAAGUUUUGAGGAGCCCAAGGAUCUAUCUAGAUUGUAUCUAUCACCUAGAGGGGGGUGAAUAGGUGAAAGGCCAAAAAACCACAAAUCUCGAUGCAAUAAAAAUAAAUGCGGAAAAUAAAAAGCACACCGAGAUUUACGUGGGAAAACUCCAAACUCGGAGUAAAAAACCCACGGGACCAACACGCGAUAACAAUCCACUAAGAAUAAAAGAUUACAAGGUGAUUUACCGAAUCCACGGACUCAAACCUCUCUUCUAUCUUCUCCGGAUCUCGCGCACACCAACGGGUUGUCCACGCCCCACGUCCGAAUCCACGAACGCCACGUCCCGAAUCCACGAAACGUCACCACUUCGAAUCCACGAAGCCUCGAUCACGUCGAAUCCACGACGCCCACUCGAAUCCACGAGCUCACGAUCCGAAUCCACGAACCGUCUUCGUUCACGCCGAAUCCACGACGCCGUUCAUGAAGAGCAUCAUGUGUAUGGUGAUCCUUCGCUUAGGAGUAUCGUAGAAAACCAGGGAAUAGAACUCCAAGCGAAGCGGAGAUCAAAUCGACAUAUUAAUAUCAAAUUUCAAUAUCUCGAUUUGAUCUAAAAGAGGCUUUUUGUAGAAAAUAGGUUUAAGAUGAAAUCCGAGCCUCUAGGGUUUCUCAAACAUGUAUUCUUAUGAUGCUUGAUGUGUUAGAGAAGCCCAAUAGCUUAUUUAUAGACUUUAGAAUCAAUUGGAGUCGGAUUAGAAAGAUUUCACGAUUUUACAUUGUGUACCGGUACACUUUAGGCUGUCACCGGUUACACAAUGACGGAACGAAAAACCAGACGAAACAGUGAAACCGGUUACACCCUUGAUGGUCGUACCGGUACACAUUUUGUACCGGUACACUUCUGAUGCUGUACCGGUACACUUUGCAAAUUUUCGCCAUUUCGGGUUUUGCAAAGUUCCAAUGCACUUUCUAAUCCGUUAGACAAUGAUAUUAUGAUUCUAAUGUCUACAACUAAGUAUGAAUCACCAUGAUCAUGAAUUAACACCUUACCUGGACAUCGUGAUUCACGGUGUGAGUUAUUUUCCAACUUCUUCGAAAUCUUGAAUUCUUCGAUCUUCGACAACACGCACCGAUUCUUCAAGACUCCGACUCACUUCACGAAACUUGCCAACACACAUGACUUAACAGAUGCGGAUUGAGCCGGUUUUGUGGAUGAUCGAAAAAGCACAAGUGGAGCAUGCUUUUAUAUAGGCCACUGUUGUAACACACUGGACCUUGCAAAUUGUGGGGUUCGAGUGAUUGAGUGUGUUCUGAACUUUUCCAGACUUUCUGGUAGGUCGUUAACUGUGUUCCGACCUAUGGUUCGAGUCCCGAGAAUUGUGGUUUAAAACCUUGCAUCAAAAUCCAAAAAGUUAGAUUUUUGGUCAGCUUUCGGAUAGCCUUCAGCAGGCCGUGUACCGGUACGGGUUCGCUUGCUGUACCGGUACGGGGUUGAUGGCUGUACCGGUACGGGCCCGCGUACCGGUAUACAGACGGCUUUUCGGCCAAACCCGAGGCUCGGGUUUGCGUUUUCGUGGGUUGUGUACCGGUACACAAACUCGUGUACCAGUACACAGUGCAGAUUGGGGCUGUUUCGUGGAGAGGUGUUUUUGCAAUUGUUACAACAUCUUUAUAAGUGACCCCAGCCCCCUUGGCUGCUCUCCUUGAGCUCUAAACAGGGAGAAUCAAGGUGAGUCUUCCCCUCUUGGUUUGAUCUCCAUUUUUUUGGUAGUUUUUAUGGGUUUUGAUCUCUCUCCUACUCUCCUUUUUGCUUUUUGUGGGUUUGCCACCAUUGGAGAAGCUUGAGAUCUUGGUUGGAGCUUAUUUGGAGAUCAAUCUUCAACCCUAGAGGACUUAGAGUUUGGUUUUGAGCAUCUUGUGAGGUUAGUAAACCUAAUCUCUCAUUUGGAUUAAGUUUUGAAGGUUUCUUUUGAAUGAAACCCUAGAUUUUAGAUUCUAGGGCUAGAAUUGGGGAUUUUUGAUUUGUAGCUUCUAGAGCCAAAUUGAUUGAUUUAGAACUUUGAUUUAUGUUGGAUUUGAAGGAAUCUAACUCCCUUUUGGAGUUCGUGGGGGAUUCCUUAGCGUUCGGUGAGUUUUCUCCAACCUAGCUAGAGAAGCUUAAUGUUUGAGCUUAGCUUUGUUCGUAAGCCUUGUUUGACACUUGUUCCUACAUCCCUAGGGUACUAGGAGACUAGAAGACACCCUCGUUNNNNNNNNNNNNNNNNNNNNNNNNNNNNNNNNNNNNNNNNNNNNNNNNNNNNNNNNNNNNNNNNNNNNNNNNNNNNNNNNNNNNNNNNNNNNNNNNNNNNUCAACAUGCAUUUCAUCUUAUCACAACACAAUAUAUAAUCUGUUAUAUGCAUCUACUUACAUUUACAUCAUAUCAUUAUUAUCAUGGCCAUUGUUUAGCUCUUGCAUCAUAACUAUAACAUGCCAUCAUUUACAUCUAUCAUGCAACAUAAAUUCUUAGUCUUUUCUUAGACAUAAGGUGCGACUAUCGCUUGCGGUAUAGACAACCCACCUUUGUAACGCUUUCGAUGCUUAUGGUCGGACCACUUGCCAAUCGGCCUCCCCGCGGCACUCGGCACCCUUCUGGCCCGAUCUCAUCAGUUGCCCCACAGAGCGUUCCGCUUCGCCGUUUAAGAUAUAUCUCUUCGCAUAGCGCACGGUGCUCCAAAUCCAAUUCCAUGAUUUUUCGACGUCGCCAUCGGCCCUCUUUUGCGAACCCGAAGCUAAACGUCCGUUUCUUAAUAACUUCUGUAACGGUCGUCGAUAGCCGAUACCGUCUCGCCAAUGCGGUUCGUAGACCUGCAAUUAGGUUUUACAUAGGUUAAAAGAGAUCAAGCCUCAUAUAUAUCAAUAACGCCAUUUUGGAGCCUAGAUUCCAAUUAGGCUAAAAACAACUACCUUUAAAUCUCUAGAUUCAGCAUUAAACAUCUAUUAAGCUUGCUAGGAAUCCAAUUAAACACUUUCUAGAGAUCAAACCCUACAUCUAGGGAUUUACCAUUGAGAGGCUAAGCGAUGCUUACCCUCCAAGCUUGCUUCCGUAAAAAAAAAAAAAAAAAAAAAAAAAGUAAGGAAGAAAUGCGAGGUGAUGAAACAACUCCUCCUCGAUCUUCUUCUCCUUCUUAUCUUCUUCUUCUUCUUCUUUUUCUUCUCUUCUCUUCUUUCCCUCCCUUCUUCUUUUUUUUCGUUUAGAGAGAGAGAGAGAGAAACAUGAGUGGAGAGUGAGGGAAUUAAGAGAGAAAGGAGAGAGAGAGCCCCUCUUAACCCCAUCUCAACAUUGUAACAUUUCCAAAAUAAGCCCCCAAACUCUUCUAAACCUCGCAUCAGCUCAAACUGGAUAGUUUUUCAGGCGUUUCGGGAUCGGUCCUUGCGGUGAGUGGACCUGGUCCCUGAGAGAACCGGUCCUUGGCUGAGAGCACCGUCCCGAAGGUCCAGCACUCGGCCUACUCAGCCUCAAGGACUUAGCCAAAUUUUCAGCAUUUUUGCCCGUUUUCGUCCGUUUUCGCUCGUUUGACCUCCGAUUCAUUUCAAAUCGAACCGAGGCUCUCCAUACAUGUUUUCGAGCAUGUUUUCAUCAUCUUUUCAUCCACGCUAACGCCGGAUUUAGCUCACGGCCCAACAUAGCCUUUCGGGUCCCGUUUCCGCACCUAUGCGCACCGAAACGCCCGAAUGCCUCCGAACUUCACCGAACUUCACCGGCACCAUUUGAAUGGCUUCUAACCUCACAUAAACCAUAACUUCAUGAUUUUAGAAGUCUAGUACCUUACAGUAGCUAACCUUUUUCUAUGAGUUUCAUGCAUUCAUUAUAUUGGAUUGAGGCAUAGUAGAUUACUUUCUAUUUCCUUAUCAUGCUACUGUCGUUUCAUAUCUAUCUAUCUGUAUAUCUAUCUGUGCCUACGUAGACCUAGUGGGGAGAUCGGCGGAGUCAGCGGCCGAACCCACUGGGAACUAUUCGUAGUUCUCACCCCACCUUGUUGCAGGUCCGAGCUCGAGCGCCCCCGGCGAGAAUCGCGGUAAGGGCGUAGCGCCCUAGAGGUUGUAGUAGUUUACUUUCCUACUUUGCAUUAGAGUUACCCUGUACUCAUUUUGAGAGUAAAUGAUGUGUAGGUGGCGAGGUGCUCGAGAGAUGUGUCCAUGUAUGUAUAUAUAUGUGAUGUACGAGUUGUACUCAGGUUUUGGAAGUUCAAAUGUAAUUAAAUGUAUAAAGUUGAAUGGAUGUAAUAGAAUAGGUAAGUAUCUCUCUUUCAUUCACUUGUAUGGUUGUAUUACUCGUGAUGCUUGCUCUCGUGUUGUUCAGCACUGUUUGUGCUCUCGCUUGUUGCUGUAUGAUUGUGUAUAUAUUCAAGUGUUUUCCUGGGAACUUGUUGUACACAAUCUCAUUCGAGCCUUGGGCGGACAGGGGAUGUCACGCCCGGGUACCAGCGGAAGCAUAUCCGGUACGUGCACAGACCCGCCAUACACCUGCAGUAUAUAAGGCGUCUACGAAAAAAGCAAGUUGAUAGGAAGUAAAACAAAGAAAGUCCUAUCCUGAUAUCAGAGCAAUGUACAAGUCGAUANCCGGUCUCUCCCUGCCAGGGACCGGUCCCCGAGAGCCUUCAGCCUGAACACACCUACGGGAACCGGUCUGCCCCUAGAGGACCGGUCCCCCGGAGACCGGUCUGUCCAUCAGAGACCGGUCCCCGAGAGCUUACUCUCACAGGACUUAGCCAACACUAUCUUCUCGCUGGUUACGCGUACGGGGACCGGUCCCUCUGGCCCAGGGAUCGGUUGCAUCACGCAACCACGCAACCACCAGCUAUGGGGGACCGGUCCUUCCCUGCCAGGGACCGGUCCCCGAGAGCAAAUCUGCCAAGUGCAGAUUUUUGNCACACUUGCUCUCGCGGAUCCGUUGCAAUGCACUUUUGGUGCAUUUGACCUCUUCGGCUUUUCCAAAGCACUUCCACUCGACAAGUAGUCGAUCCUGAGCGAAGUCCAACUCUCGUAUUUCGAGAAUUCACUUUUUUACACCAAUCCUCACGUGGCUAUCUCUUAUUCAAGUGUCUCCUAGAGAACACUUUACUUUCUCUUUAUCCUUUGUUACCACAAGCCACGUUCAACAUCACACGAACCCUCCAUUCGUGAAUUCAAGCCCAACUCACUAGCAGAGUUGCCGGCCGCACCGAUCAUCGAUUCUCGUAGGCGGACCAACGGUCGCCAUCACCUCGUAGGCCUACCGCCUAAACCCGUCGCAACUACGCAUAGCGUCUCUCGCUCGCAUCGUAGACCCAAUCCUCAUUUCCGGGCUAAAUUCUUACUUGGGAAUUCGCACACACUCCAAACAGGAGCAACCAAGACCUCAACCACGUCAAGUCCUCGGGUUGGGUCACUACACACCCUGUGUAUCCUCGAUCUCAUGAUCCAACACGCGGCAUUCCGCGCACUCGGGUCCAAGCUCGGACUACCGUCCUAACCAACUCUCUGCCCUACCUGUAGGUAUCGGGCCGCUGUCACUCACAGCUGACUGCGCCUGCCCGAAGGGUCCAGGCUCCACAGUCCACAAAUGGUCCAGGCACGGAUCGUCCUCAAGCGAUACCCGUCGUCGUCGUCCUACACGACACACCUUAUCGAGCUGCACGCACUAUCGGCUCCUAAGCACCUAGUGCGAGCCACCAGCCCCCACGAGUGAUCCAUGGCCCGCUUCACACUUAGGCCUGCUAAAGUGCUACUGCCAAUUCACUCAACCGGCUGAAUCGAAACCGCACUUUACGCGUAACUAUACUUGAGCGUUCUACGCCUCUAUCGUGUUCCAACUAGGUCAAGCAUUAGGCAACUUGCCUAUGCCCACUGACUACACGAGCACAACUCGUUCACCUCAAUUCGAGGUACUACUAGGCCCACAGGCCAAACUCGGCGCUAAUCAACCAAUUUCGCAAUAGUGGUUCACCUUCACUGUUCAAUCUACCGAAACAAUGUCCGAGAUGCCCAGGCUACUUGGAUAUUCGCGAUGUCACGGCGCAACUCUCGCAAUUCGAUACUCAUUGCCUUGAGAGUCACUUCACCAUUUCGUGUUCACUACGAGUUUUACUUCUCAUCCAAGAACUAUUGCUAGCGAUUUGCUAGUACCACUUGGCUCUCUACCUGCUCCAGCAGGCGCCACACUCUCACUGCAUAAGCAUGCUCGGGUGUCUACCUCUACCCGUCCCCACGGUCCCUACUAUGCAAUGUAUAAAUAGUAGUAAUUGGCCACAUGAUAAAUGCAAUGCAUGCUAUGCAUCAACUUAAGAUUAUGCAAAAAUACUUGCUUGCUCAAUUACUCAUACCUGCCACGACGUCGUCGGCAACGGCAGGCAUCGCAACUCAGGUCGCAUGUCCAUGGCUACUCGGCACUCUCCGCGAACCCUCUGGUUGCAACGCCCUCAGUGGCUGCUCCCCUGACCAUGCCGCAGGUGGCAUACCUGCAGGCUGUCCCAGAGAGGAAUUGGCCGUGGCCAGUGUCAAGGCCCGGCUACCACCUUGCGGACACUUGUCCCGCCUAUGGCCCGGCAGCCCACACUCGAAGCACUUUCCCUCCCGCUGCUCACACUGUUGUGGGUAGUGAGGGCCUCCACAAAUAACACAUCUCGCCGAGGACCGAAUGCAGUAUGUCCCCGGAGCUCGGGAUCGCGAGCGCGAACUCAUCGAAGUUCGUUGGGAACUUGACUGACCGUCAUGCCCGCUCACCGGCCGUCCUUUCCCCUUUUCCUUGUAACAUGCCUCGCGCUCCUCCCGUCGAGAUUCCUCGCCUUGCUCUAUCCACAAGGCCCGAUCUAGGACUUCGGCAAAAGUCCGCAACUUGUGUACCAGCACAGCCUUGUAAAGGCCUGGUCGAAGUCCACGCACAAAGCAGUCAGCCUUGUCCUUGUCAUCCCGUACCACGUUCGGGACACAAUGCACGAUACAGGAAAAUUCCCGUUCGUACUGCCUGACUGAGUGAUCUCCUUGCCGCAACUUUUGGAAUCUUUCCUUAAGCUUUCGCUUUUCACUGUCGGGGAAGUANGUACCGGUACAGCAAGCAGAAAAGGCUGAUUUUCGCCAGUUCAAAGCACUUUCUCACUUCUCGCAUUCCAAACAUCCUCUAACUUAUCCAAACACUUGUUCUAACCUUUUAGAACAUGUAGGAGUGAUCCACACACCAUUCCACAUACUCGAACUCCGCAAUUUGCAAAAGUUCAGUGUAUUACAGGGGAGGUGCUGUCCGUUCGGUGUCCGUUCGCCGCGCCCGAACCAGACCAAAUUGGUAGCGGUCUUAGGGCGGGGGCGUGACAUGGGCGGACAGAGGAAGUGCUGUCCGUCCGGCGUCUGUUUGACGUCUGUUCGACGUUCCCGAACCGGCCAAAGUGGCGGGUCUCGGGGCGUGACAUUUUCCCUUGUUCUUAAGCUCCCUCACCACCAAGAACACCAACUCCACCAAUUUCUCCUUCAAAAUCCACCCACCAUAGGUUUUAGAGAGAGAAGGAGAAAGAGAUAAGAAGGAGGAAGGAAAGAUAGUUCCUGCAUGGGAACAACAGGCGUAGGAUCUGGGGUUUAAGAUAAGCCCAAACAAUUACACUUAAACCCCUCCCAAAAGCUCUAAUUAAUCUUACAGUUCAGUCCAUUUUCGAGGCUGGGUAUCGGUACUCCCCUAACUUGGUACCGGUACUCAAUGCCCAAAACUGCUAUAUAACAGCAGCAGCAUUCCGAGGCCUAUUUUCCUGCCUAAUUAGCGCUGAACACCUCUAAACACCUCCGAAACUCACCAUUAAUCAUCCCCGCGCCACCAAAACAGCUUGGGGACAACUCAAAUCAUAUUCACGCGUCACUUUGAUCAAUUUGAUCAAAGUUAGCCUCGUACUCGGAGAUUCGGUACAUUACAGGUGUACAGGUAGCAUUUUCCAUAAAAUAUCUACCUAGUUUGCAGGAAACCUCCCGCGCUAGUUGAAAAUUACAAUUGAGCCCAAUUUUGAUCAGUUAAACUAAAUUGGAGCCCUUAAGAAUGUAGGUUUAGGCUUAAAUUUGACAAGUAGUUCGACUAAAAUUAAUCAUUGGUAAUUUGCUUCGAUUUCUUCAAUUUGGACUACUUUUGGUAAUCGAAAGUUCUGUCAAGCAAAGUUUUUUGAUAGAUUAAUUAUUGAUAUACUUUGCUUUACCAUUUUGCUGUUCGAAUAACACGAAAUUUUAGUUCUAACCCCAGUAUAUUAAAACUGAUGACUCUGUAGAAUUUUAUAAUUUUUUUGUUACUAUUUAAGUUUUAUCUUAAAUGUGAUCUCAUGUUUUCCCAUGAGGGUCCUUGAGGCAUUUUUUUUCUUUUUUUCUUUUUUUUGGAAAAAUCUGAAUUCAUUCAUAACACAUUUUUCACUUCUCUAAACUUUUUCAAAUGGCAUGUUAUACUAUUUUCCUUAUAUUUUGCCACUUUAAUUGAAAUUCAGUAUGCUAUACUAAAAUUCAGUAUACGUACAAUACCAACCAUGCGACCAAAUAAAUUUUUAAGAGGAUUAUUUAGCCAAUUAGAAAAUUUUAUGAAGUUAUUUUUUGAAAAAUGUUCGUAAUAAAGUGUAAUUUCCGUAGUGAUGUAUAAUUUUUCAGACCACAGGAUAGCAAAGUGAAAAUUAGCUAAAUCAUAUGAGGUAAAAGUGCAACGUUUUUUUAAACUAAAGGUGAUAAACUAAAUAGCAAUGUAAACUGUACGAGGAAUAUUUGAACUUUACUCUUUUCAUAACACUAAAAAUUUUUAAAAAAAUUUAAUCCUAAAGAUGAAUGAAUAGGUGUCAAUUAUACACACUUUUUAGAGCCUACAAGUAGGAUUAUUAUAUUUUAUUUUAUUAAAUUUUUUUUUGAGAGAUAGGUAGACGCUGGAUAAAGGCACCGAGGGACGCCAACAUUCUACGGCUGAGAUCUUUUGUUCGUAAUGAUGGACGGCGGAUCCUUUCAGUAGCAUAUUUGGUAUCCAUGGGCUCGUCCGCAUGGACAUCCCUUGGCUUGUGUCUCUCGGUUGCCCUCACAGGAAUUUCUAUACGGACUCUCGCGUAGAGGAUUCCCUCCUUCCCCCCCCUCCGGCGGCCACGGCCUCCGCGCUCCGCCGCCGCCCAGUCUGGGCGCCGCACGACCCUUGCCCCAAACCUUAUCCAACCGAUUUGCCGGUGAUGAAACCCUAACCCUAAUCCGACCAAUUGGACCCAGGAAAAAAACAAACAAAAGAAAAUAAAAUCUCGUAGGGCGGGGCGUUCUAUUCCUCAAUUUCCUCAGGUAAUUUUCUUCUAAUUCUCUCAAUUGUUUUUUUUUUUCCUUCCCAAUUUCAUGCAUAUGCUUCUAUUGGCCUUUGUAGUAGUAGUUUUGAUGUGCAAAUUAGACCUGACCCAGACAUUGUCACCAUGUAUCGUGAUUAUUAUUUUUUUUCGUAUACUUUAAAGUUAUGAAUUCCUGAUUCGGAUCAGUUCAAAUAUGUUUUUUUUUUUUCUUAUUUUUCUUCUUUUAUUUGUAUAUAUUCGAAGCCAUUGAGUGCUGAAAUCUGUUAUUUUACCUCUCCGCCGCGGCUUAGGUUUGUAUUGAUUACGUUAAUACAAAUAAUUGAUCUUUUGAUAAGCGCACAAAGUUUUUAGGUUAAUUUGGGAUAAAGCUGCAUCUACCUUUCACUUGGAACAUCUGCAUUGAGCUUUUGACAUUCGUGCGGCGUUAUUCUUGUUGCCCAAAUGUUUAACAAAAUAUUCAUCAUUAGUUUGGCCCCAUUUUUUACUGCAAUGAGCAGAAAUCAGGAAAACAAUAUGCUGUUUGCUUAUAACAAUAUAACCUAACCUACAGAGUAAGCUAACCUACAGAGUAAGUGACAUGGUGAAAAUCAGUAAAACAUUUCUUUUGGUUUAAUACUUCUGUGGCUUCUUAGUAUCAUUUACUAAGAGGUUGCAGUCUCUUCUCAGAAUGUACAUCCACCGGAUGGUUAUACCUCUAGGCUUUAUAUAAUUUCCACUUUGGUUAUUAUGAUGAAGGAAAGAUCUAUCAUAAAGCAUUUGAUCACUUCUGCUAUGUUUCUGACCGCCGUGCCACGAUCGCUUUCACUUUGCUAUUGUUUGUACUAUGAGCUCGUGGGAUAUCAGUUGGUUGGCUUCUUUAUAUUGUGUUCUCCUUCUCCUGAUUUCGGCUACUUCAAAGUUUUCCCUUGACUCUUUUUUUUUUUUAUUUUUUAUUUUCAAUUAUAGAAUGGAGUUGUCUGGUUCAUCUUUAGACAAUGAGUCGAUAGAAACUGUUGAAGACUCGAGUGACAGAGAGGAAGAUGAUGGAGCGAUACAUAGAAGGCCAAUGGGCCACGAUUCGAGAGAAAAUAUGGCCGUACAAGAGUACCAAGCUUUGAAAGAUGUUGAAGCUUGUAAAACAUCAACGUUGACAGAUCCGGGCGUAAGAGAGAAGCAAAAGGCGGCAAUCGUAAACUCACAAUUGGAACCAGAAGUUGGUAUGGCAUUUCACUCAGAGGAUCGAGCUUAUUUGUUUUAUAAUAAAUAUGCUCAGCGAAAGGGUUUUAGCGUUCGGAAAGGCCAUCUCGGUCGGAGAAAAGAUGGGAGUGUACGGAAUAGAGUCUUCUUAUGUAGCAAUGAAGGUUCUCGUCAGAAACAUAGUACACACUUGACGAAGAAACCCCGUGAAGCCGUCAGGACGAAUUGUAUGGCUCGCAUUGAGUAUAAAGUAAGUCGUGAUGGCAUUUGGGUUGUGAGCAAAAUCAUCUAUGAGCACAACCAUCCUCUCGUCAGGCCACAUAAAGCACACCUACUAAGGUCUCACAGAAGGCUAUUAUUAGCACAGCAGGAUGAGACAGGUGCUGUUGGAGAGAAACCUAUCGAAGCUCUUGAAUUUCCUUUAGAGGAGGCUCGUGAAUCUGAAACUGUUGGGUUUCUUCUAAAGGAUCAAAGCAGCUACUUGCACACCACGCGGAUGAGAGAACUUGAGAAGGGAGAUGCCCAAGUUCUUUUAGAGUUCUUGAAAGCUAAGCAGUUAGAGGAUCCAUCAUUUUUCUAUGCUAUACAGCUUGAUGACCGGGAACAGGUGACCAACGUCUUUUGGGCUGAUGCACGAUCAAUUAUUGAUUACUCCUACUUUGGGGAUGUCAUCUUAUUUGAUACAACUUACCGCUUAAACAAGAGCGAUUUACCUUUUGCACCGUUCCUUGGAAUAAACCACCAUAAACAAGUUGUUGUGUUUGGUGCUGCUUUGUUGUUAGAUGAAACAACAGAAUCAUUUAUGUGGUUGUUUAAAACCUUUAUGGUUGCGAUGUCCGAACGGCAACCAAAGACUAUAUUUACCGAUCAUUGUGCUGCACUUUCAAGAGCUAUUAGUGUGGCACUACCUGAGACUUGUCACCGCCUCUGUCUGUGGCAUAUAAUACAAAAUGCCAGCAUACAUAUUUCUCAUUUACACAACAGUGAGCCGAACUUUCUAAAGGAAUUUAAGAAUUGCAUAUAUGAAUGUCGCUCCGAGGAGGAAUUUCAUAAUGGAUGGGUUGAUUUAGUCAACAAAUAUGAUCUUGGUAGCAAUUCAUGGUUAGAAGAUUUAUAUGCAGUACGAGAUAAGUGGUCAUUGAUUUAUCAGAAGAACUCAUUUUGUGCUUCCAUGACUACAGUUCGGUGGAGCGAAAGCAUGAAGAAUCACUUCAAAAAGCAUUUCAAUAGGAAGUUGCCCCUCAACAAGUUUAUUGAGCUCUACCAUAAGACAUUGACACGCUUUCGUGAAAAGGAGCUCUUUGAAGAUUAUAAAUCCAGGCAGACUAAACCGGUUCUGCUUGUUGACAUGCCUAUGUUGAAUGAAGCAGCCGAAGCAUAUACUAGGACUAUGUACAAUGAAUUUGAGGGUGAGUUUAAGAGCCAGCUUUCUUGUAUUUGUGAACCAGUUGGUUUGAAUGAGACUAUAUAUACGUUUAAGGUUUCACUGACUGAAAAUCGAUGCUAUGGCUUCGUCGAGUUCAACCCAUCUAAUCUGUUAGUGACAUGCAGCUGCAGGAAGUUUGAGACCGUAGGCAUCCUAUGUAUGCAUGCUUUAAAAGUUCUCAAUAAUAACAAUAUUCUCCACCUUCCACCUCGAUAUGUACUGAAGAGGUGGACAAAAUACGCAAAUAUUGAGGUAGUAUCUGACAAAAUCCGCUAUGUGGCUGAUGUUGAUGGCCAAGAACCUAUGACAUUGCAAUACGUUCGUGUCUGGCGAAAGGCACUGUCUAUUGCAGUGAAGAGUGCUUUUUCUGAGGAUGCCUUGCAAAUAUAUGAAAACGAACUUGAUAAAUUGAUGGCUAAAGUGGAACAUGUGUUGCAUAUGGCUCCUUUGAACAGACCAGCAGAUGAUGAAGAUGUCACAGUUGUUGACAAUAUGCAACAUAACACAUUAGAAGCCAGAAAGAAGAAGCGCGGGAGGAAACCAAAGAGUGAAUCCGAGAAGAGAAGGAAGAAACCACAAACUAUUAUAAGUUCUCUUGAUACAACCACUCUUCAGCAGCCUCCACAGAAUACUGUAAAUGCAAGUAUGCAAACAGUAUUAUCAAUUCACUCAAGCUGACAUCCAUUAAUCUUUGGGGUUUUUUUUGUAAAUUUUAUCUCAAUUAUUGCACGCAGGGCAAAAUGUGACUUCAGCUCAAGUAAUGGUUGACGAUCCAUCACGCAUUCAAUCUUAUCAUCAGAAUGGACCCACAUCAUACUGUAAUCCCAUCCCAAUGCAACCCACAGGAUGCCCUUUCCCUCAAGAGACAGUCAUCCCUACUCAGGUUUGAUCACCUUCUGUUCUAGUAUCCACUCUAUUAUUAUCUGUGAGUAUCAUGUUUGGUAACUUAUUUUUUGGAUGGCUUUUUCACUGUUGUACUAUAGGAAUCUUUCCUACCUACACAUGGAAUAUUUGACCAUACAAUCGCUCCACAAGGAUCAAGCAAUCCCAACAUGGCAUGGUGUAGUGCCAGGGGACCAGUUGGCAUUCCCAUGCCUGUUUUGCCGGGCCAGUCCAAUUUUGUCAAUUGGGUGGCUCAACCUCGCUCCAUUCCAAAUGUCACCAUGCCGCACAAUCACCUUGAUCAUCCAAUGGUGCAAUAGCCGUGGAAACACUUAUAUUUCUCACUCUUAAUAUAUAACUAUUGCCUAAAUUUAACCUUCUUUGUGCAGCAUUCCACUGUUCCAACCCACCACCAGUCAAUGUCCCGUAAGCUUAAUUUUGACAUCAAUAAAGGUACAAUUUAUGACCUCUGAAACUAAUAUUGAGACCAAAUUAUCGUGGAUGAACUAACAAGCUGUCAUUUUCUGAUAGGUAGUUAAGUAGGAAUGGUGUAGAAUAUGCGAUGAUUGAGAGUGUUGUUGACUUCAGAAUGCUUGCUGACAAGGCGUAAAUGCUGUUCUUCCUUCAACUUGCGGAUGCAUCAAGCUUGUACAAUCUUGUGUUUAGCUUUUUCUCUGUCAUAAUUCCUAGGUUGCUUAUUCUAUAGCUAAAUCCUAUUCUCGUUAUGCGAAUGACUUAGUCAUGCUUGUACAGAUAGUUCUAACAGUUUACUAGUAAAGCUUGUCAAGUUCCAUAAACUAGCAAUAGCGCCUGAUUUUGAUGUUGCUGAUAUUUUAGUAACCUAUUUGCAGUUGAUACUUGAUAUUUUGUAGCUUCCGGUGAUGCUCAAUUACAAUAUUAGAACCAUUCCGUAUUUUUUUGGCUGCUUCAGAUGUACCGUAUUUUUUGACCUUUGAAUAUAUUUAUUAAGAGAAAUGUCAAGAAUUGUAACCAGUUAUCCAAUUGUGAUCUAAUUUGGUCUUUCAUUGAGUUAGUAUAGCAGCAGAUGCAUUGAACUAAACUUGCUAGGAACUGGAAAAGAGAAGAAGGUGGACGCCGAUGAUCAUGAUAUUUUUUUUGAAUAAUUUCUGGCAUUACGGAUUUUUAGUAAUAUGGAAAAGAACGAAAUUAAGAUAGACAGAUUCAGCAAAAUAGAUGGAAUUAUAAAGGUGACGUAUUAAAAGAAUAUAUGUAAAAUGGAAGUCGUAGCGUAAAACUGAAGGUUUUUAAUGGAAUUCUUAAGAAGAUGCCUAGUCAUAUUAAGAGAGUAUCAAGAGGUUCUUGAGUUUAUGCAGGUCGAAGCUUAGCUUUAAAGAAAAACUGGCAGUUGAAUAGUGAUGUGUAAAUUAUUAGUACUUGUUACUAUGUAGUACUACAAAAGAAUGUCAUAAUUAAAGAUUUGCAGUUUCAGCAGUAAAUAGUCUAUUUUGGUCAAAAUGGAUUGAUUUUGGCUGAAUGAAUUUACAAAUGUAUGGAUUUCAGAUUUUCUGGUGAAAUUAUUUAAUUUUCACCGUAAACUACUGUAGUUUCUAGCAAAAAUGAUGAGUUUGACUGAUCCCCUCUCUCGAUAUCAAAUUCCAUUCCAUAGAUAUUCUGAUGUUGUAUUGAUAACCUUGACUUUCCUAUUCUAAUGCUUGUUACAGGAUUGAGAGGUCACGCCAAUUAUCGCUCACUUUGUACUACUCUAUGGUUAGUACUUAUGAUAUCGACUAACUACUGUACGUUUUCUCCAUUUAUAUUCUUCUAAAUUACCCUCUCUUUUAGGUGCUAGAGCUUAAAGCAUAGAAUAGUAAUGUCUCACUAUAGCAAGGUUAUGGUUGUUCAUCUGUGGUGGUGUUCAAGAAAAUAUGAUUCUCUUUUCAGUUGCUGGGACGUGCUCUAAUCUGUGCGUGUACUGUGCUUCAACACAAUCAAUAACAUGAUAUUCGAGGUGUUGACAGCUAGAAAUUUAACAAGUAGCCGAAUUCGAUCUGAAAGUUAGUAUCAUGGUCAAAUUUGCGUCACCUGCAUUUUUUUUCUUUUACAAGUCUGCAUAUAAUAUAUCUAAUGUCACAUGCCUUAAGGACGGUACAUGGUAUCCCGACUUCCUCCUACUAUACUUUCAUUGUUCUUUGCCACAAAAUAUUGAAUGUACAUUACCAUAUUUCCACCUUAUGUAUGAUGGAUGGUUUACGAGUCAUGGUUUAAGUUGGCUUGUUUUUUAUUGUCACUUUCAUUGUUAGAAUAAUAAGUUUAAUGUUUUGGUUUAAACUAAUAAUCAAUUCAGUUCAGUCUACUCAUCAUAUUUUCCAAAUUUGAAAGUGCACUUCCAUUUCUUACCAUUUUGGUAGUUGUUUAAUUCCUAUAUUUUUGAUCAAUGCUAUGAUGACUUUUCGCCCUUCAAUUUCGAGCAUAAUCUUUUUGGUUAACAAUUUAUUACUUUUGGCUACCUGCUGUUACAGGCUAUUACUGUUUUGAGAUUUGUAAUAUCUAAUCACAUAUUAUAUAACAGAUAAAGACGUUGGAGAGUGCCAGGCACUGUUCAGAUAGAUAUUAACCAUUAGCGGUGUUGUUGCUUUUCUUUAUUGAUAUUAUCUAAAACGCAUUAUGUUAUCAACAGUGUUUUAAAUAGCGGCCGCUAUACCCGCCAUAGCGGCCGCUAUAGCGGUUUUUAGGUGUUACCGCUACGCUAUAAUAUAUAAAGCGGUAUAUAGUGGUUCGGGUUCAUACCGGCCACUUUAGCGGUGUAGCGCUCGCUAAAGCGGCUGCUAUAUAGCGGUAGAAAAGCGGGCACUAUGAGCCCACCUUUAAAAAAUGCAAAUAGGUUAAAAUGGCUUAUCGGGUCGGAUCCUUAAAUGAAAUAAACCCUGUUUCUAAGGGUUUGGAAGAUAAAAAGGUGAUCCGUUUUUAAAAGAGAUUCAGAUAUCAUCAUUUUUUUGGUUUGCUAAAUAUUUUAAAGUUAAUCUUAAAUUCUUCAUAGGUAACGACAUUAAAUAUAUAGGCUUGCAAUACUAAAAAAAGAAUGAUUAGUUGUCUUUUCUUCGAAAUUAUAUGUAUUUUGUAAGAAACAUAAACAUAUUAAAUUUGUUUUUAUGAAAUCUGCUAUGAGUUCAUAACGCCCGCUAUAGCGCCCGCUAUCCGCUUUCCGCUAUGAGACUCUCCGAACACUAUAUACCCGCUAUCCACUAUUUACAACCUUGGUUAUCAACCAGGAGUAUACUACAGUGUGUGUUGGUAAUAUUGAAACAUAACCAUUCACUUCGUUUUGUUAGUUAGUUAGUAGAAUAUACGACCAAUGGAAUAAGAAGCUUCAGGACAGAGUGAGAAAAGAGAUCAUCGCCAACGAUGCCGGGAGCUUAAGCGAAUUGGGGCUCACGGUAAGAAAUCCUACUAACCAUUGCUUCAAUUCUUCCUUGUUGAGCGUGACUGCGGCUUUGAUCACUCGAAUCCAUUUGAGUGGUUCAAGUAGCAAAUUUGCUUCUCUUAUGUAAUCUUCAUCGAUGAUCCUGCUAACGUCCUUUUGAACUUUGUAAAUCUUACUGGAAGGUUCUCUUGCUGUGCAUGACUAAAAGCAAAGUAGAUGCCUUUUCAUAUCAGUUGUUCAUUUAUUUAUUGGUUGGUAUUGUGAUUCUAAUAGUAGAUGAUGGAUGCUGAGCGCAUGCAGCGCUGUACUUAUUUUUACAUUUUUCACCACUGUUUUCAAACUUCAGAAUUCUAUGUGAUUUAUCUUUUGAAGAUUAGUACUUUAUGGAUGUGUCUUGUUGAUGUUCUCUCUCUUUUUUUCUACUCUCUUUUUCUAUAAAGAAUCUUCAUAGGCUUACACGGGAGCACGCUAUCCGUUCAAAACUAGAUUCAAUCUUGGGUCAUCCUGCCUGGAGGGAGGGUGCCUAAUAAGUGUCACAUGCAAUGCUAGUGGUUUGCCCUAAAGUGGAGUGUGUACAUCUUACACCCUUUCCAUUCAAAUUCAAAAAUUAUUAUUCAUUACUUGUCAUAUCAAUUUUUUAUUAAAAGUUAUUUGAAUUUUUGUGAAUUUUAGAAUGGGGAUAUAAGAACUACACCCUUUUUGGUGAUGUAUAAGUAGAAUUUCUCCAUGCCUUGCUGUUGUUUUUAUAGUUUUGGAGACGUAGUCGUACUGAAUGAAGAAUCUGUGCAUCGCUUUGAAUAGUUUUUUUUUUUUUUUAUAUAUAUAAAUAUCCUAAUAUAGUUAGAUUUGAGGGGAAAGAAGUACAAAAGUUUGGAAGCAAAAUUCUAGAGAAGAGAGAGCUUCAUAUGUUGUCAAAUAUAACGAAGUUGCUUGGCAAAAAAUUCUAGUAAAGAGAGAGCUUCUGUAAACCUCCGGACUCACCGCAACUUGUCGGAGACGAAAUUGCUCUGGGAUGAGAAUGGCGGCGGGGAUGAUGGUUGAUGCAGACUCGGUAAUUGAGACAAUUGAAUGUAGAGUUGGAGGGAAAGAAGAGAAAUAGAGAGAGAUGGAGAGAGAGAGAGAGAGAAUUGGGGAGAAAGAAAAGCUUAUAUUCCAUUUCUUAAUUCUUUGUUACAUCUGCCAGGUAUUUACUAGACUAUUUAGUAUUGAAAUCAAAAUAUUUACAACUUGAGGGAUAAAGUUGCAAAUAAACAAAAUUGUAGUUGGUGAGCAGGGAAACAAGGCCUUCUGGGCUGUUAGGGACCCCAACUUGCUGUGCUUAUCGGUUUGAACUAGUGGUGCUUAUUAGGUUGGCUCCGCUACUUUCGACCAUUCGAUCCGAUUGUGGCGGCUUCAAGUUCUUCCACCCAUAAGGCCGGGAAUUGCUGGAUCUCCUUGUCGCCUCUUGCCUCCUCGCAUUAUUGAUCAGAGCCCUAGUUUUGCUCGGUUGUCUUCCUCUUGUUGUUGCUGACCUCUAGUACCCCCUUCUCCUCAAGGAUGUUUCCCCAAGGUUCUCCCAAGGCUCCGACUUCCAGCCUUUACUUAUUCUUUACUACCGUUCUUAGUUGAUUCCCCCUCUCUACAUGUCUUCAUAUGUAUAUGUUAACUACUAUUCUUUUAAUGGUAGAUGUUACAACUCCCCCCUGCUUGAAAAGAUCCUUGUACUCAAGGGUCAAAGUCCGGGAAUUGGGAUUUCAAGAACCAGUAAUCCUCCUAGCUCGCGGCCUCCUCGCCGAGGUUCUCCUACUUGGGCAAUACCUGGCUCACAGUGCUGUUUCCCUUCCUCACCAUGCGCUUGUUCGGUAUCUUCUCUGUUCGCGUUAGAAGUUGUCCCUCGUCUCCCACCAGGGGUGCCAUAGGUGUAUUUGCGGCCCCUGUUAGUGGGCUCUUCUUCAGUUGCGAUACGUGGAAAACUAGGUGGAUCCAUGAUCCUUCCGGCAGCUGCAGGCGGUAGGCCACCUUGCUGAUCCUUUCAAUGAUUUUGAACGGCUCAAAGUAGCAUGCUGUAAGCUUUAGUUUGCGGCAAACCGCAACACUGACUUGGCAAUAAGGUUGCAGCUUCACGCAUACGAAAUCCCCUAACUGGUACUCCUUGUCUGCUCUAUUCUUGUCUGUAUUUUGCUUCAUGCAAAUUUGGGCAAGUAGCAGUUUUUCCCUUAGCAUCUGUGUCAUCCCUUCUUAUUCUUUCCCCCAUUCUUGCACAGUCGGUGUCACGACCCGCGACCACCCGCCUAUUUGGCCGAGGUCGCGGCGCCGACAGCGCCGAACGGACAGGGUUUCCCCUGUACUGUGGACAAAGUCUCCCCUGUACGUUCAAGACAUCGCAAUCAAUACAAUACAAAGGUUCCAAACAGGAACAGUAUUCAACAAACAGAUUGCAUAAGGAAGGUAUCAACAACAUAACACAUCCUAUGUUAUUACAUACAUUCACAUUCAUACAUUUUCACAUCGCAGUUCUCAUUUGAUUCCUCCAAAUACAAUCUAAGUUAUUACAUCAUUUACUUAUUACAAAUUGAUACAUUGUGUUCUUUUCAUUUUCCCAUACCCCUAAGCUAUGUCGACGGGGUACUGCUAGCUCUGGUCUCUGGGUAGGGCGCUAUCUAUGGAUCUACGCCAUUUCCUCGCGCCACCGCGCCGGUCACGUGCGAACCUGUAAAACCCCAAAACAACGUGGGGUGAGAACCAACUCCAUGGUUCCCAGUGGGUACGGCCACCCAAGGGAAAAGCUCGACCAAAAGGUCUAAGUAGGCCCUGCAACAUGUUAGUUCAACAAUANUCUUCUUCUUCUUUUUCUUCUUCUUCUCUUCUUUCUCCCCUUCUUCUUUUUCUUUCGUUUAGAGAGAGAGAGAGAGAAACAUGAGGGAGAGUGAGGGAAUGAGAGAAAGAGAGAGAGAGAGCCCUCUCUUAACCCCCUCUCACAUUGUAACAUUUCCAAAUAAGCCCCCCAACUCUUCUAAUCUCGCAUCAGCUCAAACUGGGCGUUUUUCGCGUUCGGGGACCGGUCCUUGCGGUGAGGGACCGGUCCCUGAGAGACCGGUCCUCGGCUGAGAGACCGGUCCCCGAAGGUCCAGCACUCAGCCUCAAGGACUUAGCCAAAUUUUCAGCAUUUUCGCCCGUUUUCGUCCAUUUUCGCUCGUUUGACCUCCGAUUCGUCUCAAAUCGAAUCGAGACUCUCCAAACAUGUUCUCAAGCGUAUUUUCCUCAUCUUUUCAUCCGCGCUAACGCCGGAUUUAGCUCACGGCCCAACACAGCCUUUCGGGUUCCGUCUUCGCGCCUACGCGCACCAAAACGCCCGAAUGCUUCCGAACUUCGCCGAACUUCGCCGGAACCAUUCGAAUGGCUUUCUAACCUCACAUAAACCAUAACUUCAUGAUUUUAGAAGUCCGGUACCUUACAGUCGGUGAGGCCUCAGUCCCCAAGUUGACCACUAAAUACUUAGGCGGGACGUGUCUGAAUAGUGCCUGAUAGGGUGUCAUCCCCAAAGAACUGUGGUAGUUGGUGUUAUACCACCACGGGCCAACGUGAGCUACCUGUGCCAUUUGUGAGGGUGCCGGAAGCACAUACACCUCAGGUAGGUCUCCAAACAUCGAUUAAGCCUUUCUGAUUACCUGUCCGCAUGUGGGUGAUAAGCCGAACUCAUUAGUAGCUUGAACCCCCAUCAUUUUGAAUAACUCCUGCUAGAGCUAGCUCGUGAAUACCUUGUCCCUGUCAGUUAAUAUGGUUCUCACCAACCCGUGCAGUCUAAUAUACUGAAUUGAGGAAGGCCUUGGCUACUUGUGAAGUUGUGAAUGGGUGCGCCAGGGAUAUAAAAUGAGCGUACUUGGUAUGCCGGUUGAUCACCACUAGUAUAGUGUCCGUGUUCUCAGUGGUAAGGCUUCGAUAAAAUCCAUGAUAAUUUCUUGCCAGGCUCUGGUUGGUAUUGGUAAAGGCUGUAGGAGCUCGGUAUAAGGCUGGUUGUCCGACUUGUUUUGCAAGCAUACCGUACACUCCCUCACUCACCUUUCCACGUCUUGUUUAAGUCCAGGCGAAUGGAAGUACUAUUUCACGUGCUGGUGUGCACCAUGCCCCAGUGGCCACCCAAAGCUGAGGAAUGUAGUUGGUCUAGUAUGCUCCUUCGGAUUUUCCUUUGGCUGCCUACAUAUAUUCUGCCUUUAUACCUCAAUAAUUCUUGAUUAUAAGUGUAGGUUUGGUGUUUUUCGGAUUGUAGCUGUAGUACACUGGAUUUGACUAUAUAUGCAAGUGUAAAUAAAAAUAGUGUGAGAUACUAUUUUUAUUGGACUUAGAGAAGUCAAAAAUAAGUCGGAAAUGAUAUACUGAAAUUGAAAUGAAAAUAUAUAAUUUAGAAUUUUCUAUCAGGAACGAGGCUUAUAUUCCAGCUAAAAAAUUCAGUGUUAGAAAAUUAUGAAAAUUUGAGAAUGUCGAAAUAAUUUUUUUGAGACUAGAUUUAAAGUUUUAUGUAAUUCUGACGCGCGAGCAGUGAAAAUGGAAUCUGACUGUAAUCUAAAGAUUUUAGUCGGUAGAGCUUUCAGUGACCUAAAAUGAUUCAAAACUGAAAAGUUAAGAUCACGUGCUUCUGAUUGACUUUAAUUGAGGCUGACUAUCAAAUUUAAGUAUAAACGGACAUUCAGAAGGGCUCCAAUUAGACGUAUCAGAUCUGAAUAGGACUAAACUGAAAAUUUAAUUGUGUUGGGGAGACCUAUAUGUAAACCCAUACCAUCUCGCUCUAGUUGUGCCAAACAUGAGAGAAGUGAGGAGAGGGUUUCUCUUUCUCAUUAGAUCACACUCUUUGUUCUCUCUAACACCUCUCUUUCCCUUUCUCUUGUAAUUGCUCCAUCAAAGAGGAAAAAAAAUUGGAGAUUUGGAAGCAUCAUGUCACGCCCCCAACCGCACUACCCGAAAACAGUACCAAUUUGGUCCGUUUCGAGCGCGGCGUGCGUGAUGCCGAACGGACGGAGUUUCCCCUGUCCGCCCAAGGUUAAGCAACAGAUUGUGUACAACAAGUCCCCAGGAAAAACAACUUGCAUUCAUACACCAAUCAACAACGAAAUGAGAGCACAAACAGUGCUACAACCAGCUAGAGCAAGCGGUACAAGUAAAUUCAUACAAGUAUACAAAAGAGAGAAACUUAACUAUUUAAAUAUAAACUAGGACAUAUAAAAUCCUUCCCAAUAUCAUUAGCUUAAACUUUUAAAUACAACUUGUAUUCUUUUCAUCAAAAUAUAGUACAUCAAUCUCUCCAAAAUCUCACCCUAUACAACAUCUACUCUCAAAGGUAUAAAACAAAAGUACAGGGUGGUGCUAAUGCAAUAGGAAAGGUAAAAUAACUAUCAAGCCGCUAGGGCGCUAAGCCCUUACCGCGAUCCUCCCGCUCGGUCGGGGCGCUCGAGCUAGUACCUGUAACGAGGGUGUGAGAACUACGAAUAGUUCCCAGUGGGUUCGGCCGCCGACUCCGCCGAUCUACCCACUAGGUCUUAAGCAGGCAUAGAGAGAUAUAUAUAUGCAAUAUAUAUAAAACUAAACUGAACUGAAAGCAGGUAUGUGAAACAGGUAUAUCAAGCUAUGCCUCAAUCUGACAUCAUGGAUGCAUGAACAAUAAAUAAAGCUGGGUAAGUAAGCAACUAUGAACAUCUGCAACAGCUAUCAUAGAAGCUAUAAACAUGCUACUAGGAAAGCAAAUAAGCUGAUAUGAACAAUGAAUGGCUACUAUGACAUCAAUCAUGGGUAAGACUCACUGGGUAACCCAAUCUCCAAGUGAACACAAGGUUCACAAGCAAGGCUCACAUAUCGACCUCCGAGGGAUGUCUAGCUGGACUAUCCCCGAGUACGCCUGCGGAUAGCAAGCGGCUAUCCCAGCAGCAAGCAGGCUGCCUCUCUAGUGACCAACUCCGGAGCGCACAACUUGAGGGGAGCGACUCCACAAAGCGCAGACAGGCAAUGUGAGCAAGAUCAACUCACGAGCAACAACAACCCUUUGAGGGUAAUAUUAGCAUGGAUCAAUAAGUUCUUGUACCCACUCUCAUAGUGUCUCAACCACACUAAUAAGAUCAUCUCAAGUAAACAUCAAGCAUGUGCCACUCAGUCAUAGUUUUCUAACUAGAUGCCACUCGUCAUUUAGACUCAUCAACAAUGUUAGUUCUUUAACAUUAUAAGUUCUAAUCAUCUCAUAUAGGGUUGAUUCUCAUCAUUAAACUCUAUCAUUUAAUCUCAUGCAUACUAGUUUAUAAAUCAUUCAAUCAACCAUAUCUAUAGCUACUAGCAUGCAAAUUGAAGCAAUAUAAUUAAUCUUUAACCCUAUAAGAACAUGCACAAUAUGCAACUUGGUCGUAUUUAAACUUAGACAUAAUGAGUAGCCCGAUGACUUCGGGAUGGCACUCCCCCACCUUAGGUAAUGCCGAAAACACUUCGAGACGCGCUCUCGUGCNGCUAGUCUUGUCGCCGCUUAAUUUUCGUUGGAUUAGCUUUAACCCUUUAGCACUUCAAAUGGCGAUAUCUUCGCACUCGAUUCUCGUAUCAACGAACUGUCUUCGCCUACGCGUUUAUAAGUAUAAGAAUUAGAUUUCUAACCCCUCAAAAGAGAUCAAACCCUAAUAUUUGCAAAAUCUCCAAAAUCAAGCCCUAGGUUUAGCACCCAUGAGAAGCAAUGGUUUCUAGCUUCAUUGUGAGCUAAAUCCAUGUCUUCUAAGUUCAUUAGGUUCCAUUUGAACCAUCAAAACCAACCAAACCUCAUAAAAACCCAAGAUACCAUGAAAGGGGUUGAGGCUUACCUCUAGGGUUUGCUCUAAAGCAAGCCCUAAGCCAAGAAUGAGGUGAAGAAGAGCUUCCAAACCUUCUUCUCCUUCUUCUCCUUCCUUUUCUUCCUCUCUUUUUUCUUCUUCUUCCUUCUCUUUUCCUUUUCUCCUUCUUCUCCUUCUAUUCGGCUAGAGAGAGAGAGUAGAGAGAGAGUGAGCUGAGGAGAGUGAGAGGCUGAGAGAGAGGGGUUUAAGUCCUCUAUUGUAACAAAAUCCCGAAAAGCCCCUCUAUUUUCUAAUUUUCCAAACUGAUCCUGCUGUUCGUGCGCCCUUGUACCGGUACACAGGAUCUUGUUCCGGUACAAGGCCUGGGUGACAGCAAAACAGAGCGCAACCCGAGAGCUCGGGUUCUCGGUUUCGCAGAGCUUGUACCGGUACAAGCCCCUUGUACUGGUACAGCGCCUGAAGCCUUCAAACCCGAGAGCUACGCAGCCUGGCUGCGAUGGUUGUACCGGUACAACCAUCACCCUUGUACCGGUACAGCAGCUCCAGAAUGCUGUUUUAACUUUGUUUCGGCUCCACUUCGCGCCGAUCGAUGUCCAAACCAUUCCAAUACCUUUAGAACUCACUUUUGCUCUUUCAAACUUGUCGGAAUGCCGAAUGGAACUUGUCCAAAUCGUUUAAUCGCCCACUUUGCCCCAUUUGGCCAAAGUUAGCCGACGUCGUCGAAUUUCGAUAUCGUACACAUCAAGUUGGAGAAGAAGCUUGGAGGAGCUCUCUAAUGAUGGACCAUGUUUCUUGACCAUGAUGCCUAAGGUGAGAUUAAUGGAUUUGAGUUAGGAGUUGGAUUAAGUCCUUUACAAUUGAUGUGAUUGAGAUCUCUAUGUGAUUCCAAACUAGCUUCGUUGAAGAUUGAACAUGGAUUUUGGAGUGUUCUUGAUGAAAUAGAAACCCUAGGUUGAUAAUAAGGGAUUUUGUGGUUUUGGGGUUUUGAGUUAAAUUGACCUUGUAAAUCUCUAAUUGCAGGGUAGCUCGACACGAGGGACUACUCCAAUGUGGAUUUCGGCGAGGCUAUGUUGUCUAAUUUGGAGAUUUUGUCGAAUUUCAUUCGUUAGGCUUGGGUCGAGCCAAAUCGAUGUCAAAAAUCGAAUGUUUGGAAAUCCUAGCAAUUGGUAAUUAAACGAGGUCGGUGGUGCUCUCCAAAAUGGUUGGAUUUUUCUUUAUGUCUAAACUCCAUUCGUUGUGCAUGUAUGUGUGAGAUUGUGUAUGAUAGGGUUCAAUUACUUAUUCUUUCUAGAAGCUUGCAUGCCUCCUAAAUUAGAUAUGAAUGAUUGUAAUGGAAAACUUGGAAUUUAGGAUCCAUUAGUAUGGUGUCGUGUGAACCCUUGUGAUACAAGAACUAGUUGAUUGGUCAUAUGUGUAUAUAUGUGAAAUUCUAUGCAUGUAGGGUUAAUAUUGUGAUUGAGCUUUCAAUUUUCUUGCAUGCUUUCUAAAAUAGGGUUCGACAAAUUUGAUUGAGAACUCGGACAUUGGAUGUAUGAGGAUUGGGUCGUGGGACAUUGGAACCUUAUGAAUGCAAAGAACUAGACUAUAAACUUAGAAAACAUUGUGGAAUGUUGGACAUGAACUUAGUGGCAUCUUUGACUAGUUGUUUGGAUAUAGAAAACAAAGUGAAAUACUAGGUGUCAUUGUGAGUCUAAACAUGAGCCUAAAGACGGAAAUAUGGUUGGGUAUCCUAUUUUGCAAGUAGAGAACAUGAACGUCGUGUGUCAUGAUUGUAUAAGUGAGUUUGUUGUCGUAGUUGCGCAAGAUUUGAGAUGAGCAUAUUAGGGAUUGGUAGACCCCCGUGUGUUGUUACUGUUGUUACCUUGGUUAGGAGUGUGUUCUCGAGAUAAGAGGACUGGAUCGUACUAACACAUAGUAUGUAACACACUGGACCUUUGCAAAUUGCGAGGUUCGAGUGAUUGGAUGUGUUUCGAGCUUUUCCACACUUGGUGGAGGGUCGUAGAAUGUUUUCCGAUCCAAAAAGUUCGAAAACUUGAGUUUUGGACGAAACCUGAGAGUUUUUACUCUCGGGGACCGGUCCCUGAUAGGAGAGACCGGUCCCCCAGUGAGCAGUGUUGCGGUAGCCUCGGGGCAACCGGUCCCUGGCGGGCGAGACCGGUCCCCGAGCGCGUCUGCGCGGGAAGAGACCGGUCCCGUGCGGGGAGAGACUGGUUCCCGAACGUGGUUUUUCUGGGGGCAGGCCGAGAGACCUGUCCCAUGUCGGGGAGACCGGUCCCUCAGCCCGAAAACUGCCCAGACCGGGCUUUGCACAGGAUGCAAAGUUGAGGGGUUUUUCUGGAUUUUGUUACACUAGAUGACCUAUAUGGCCACUCCACUCUCUCUUCUCCUCAUUUCUUUCCUCACACUCUCCCCACACUCUUGUUAGAGAGAGAAGAAGGAGAAGAAGAAGAAGGAGAAGAAGAGGAGGGGGAUCUAGCUUGGACUUGGAGCAAUUUCUUUGCCUUUCUUUCUCUUCCCACCUUGUUGGUGCUUGGAGGCUUGGACUUGGAGCUUGCAAGAGAGGAGAUCUUCACCUUUGGAGCUUGGAUUGGAGUUUCUAAAGAGGUUAGUUGCUAAUUUCCCUCCUCUAGACCUUGAUUUGUUGGUUUUUAGGAGAUGAAACCCUAGAAUGGGAUUUUAGGGUUGAUUUUGGACAUUUUGAUUUUAGGGCUUUUGAGGCUCGAUUACUUGGUUUAGAAUCUUCCUUUGGGUUGGAUUGGAAGGAUUCUAGCUCUCUUUUGGAGCUUGAGAGAGAUUUUCUACUCCCUAGGUGAGUUUUUGCCAUUUUCUUGUGAUUGUUAAUGUUUGAGCCUAGAGUUGCUCGUAACGCUUGUGUAUCUCUUCGCUCACUACUUUUAGGGUAUUUUGAGACUCGUGGACAACUUCGUUCGGCGAAACGAGGGGCUACGCGAUGGUUCGGUGGGUUUGACCUAGCCACACAAUGAGAAAAUCUCAUUUGUGAUGAUUUGAGUAUCGUUAAAUAAAAAAGCAUGCAUAAUCAUGUUAGAUAUAUUUAUUAUGAAUUUUAGAAUGCUUAACAUGCAUAUGUUAUGUAUAGUAAAUUUUGGACCUUCAUGUGGUAGGGUGCAUGCAUGUGAGAUAUAGCAUUCUAGUUCAGACUUGGAACCAUGAUUUCUAUUAUGAAAAUGAACAUUGCUUUCAUGCAUUUAACCUUUAUGCCCAAUUGUGACACUAGGGACUUUGGAAGCCUAGAGAGGCUUGGGGACUUAGACUAUUUGAGAUUUUGGGCCAAUGUCAUAAAGAGGCAUUGGACUCCAACCUUAGUGAGCAUCGGUAUUAAUGUCUUAAAUGAGAAUAUAGAACAUGAUUUGGGCUUGAUUAGUUGUGGUGCUUGAGUGUCAUAAAGAGGCACGAAGCAAGUGAGUGUUGGGUUAUCACAUUGUGACAUAGAGCUAGACCGUUGGGUCACUAGUAGCUAUUGCCAUGUUUGAGACAUGAGAGUUGGAUACUUGAGCUUUGAUUACGCUUGUUUGCCAUUUGUGCUCAUUCGCACAUGCUUGUGAGGGUCGCUCCCUGCAAGCCGACACUCCGGAGUUAGCCUACGCGACUUAUGUUCGCUCGUGCGGUAUUGAGAAGCCUACGGGGUCGAGUGGGACAGACACAUUCCAAGAGUAGGAAUGUUGGGCUACCACAGGCACUUAGGCGGCACAAGAUGGACUACCUUGGGUAGGUCCUUAAUUGGAAAUGGAAAUCGACACAGUGUGUUGAGUGUGUUAUGAUCACUACUAGAUAGAGAGUAGUAGUUAGAUUACUUGGACUUGCUUCUAGCAUAGUUUUGGACGCUUGGGUAUACAUACAUACAUGUAGUAUGCUAGAAGAUGUUGCUUAUUGCAUUCAUAUAUACAUUGUUGCCAUGAUAAAGCGUGACCUUCAUAACUUCAUAAAGUAAAUCGUGAUAUUUACUUGUGGCCAUGUAGAGACAUAUUGCUUAUGACAAAGUAAAGGUGCAUCAUUUUAACACCAUAUGUAAUUGCAAUGUAGUAUCUUAGCAUUUUAAUUAUGCUUUCUUAAAUGCAAUUAUUUAUUAUUAUUGCUCUCUUUUUGACUUACCCUUUCUUUGGAGCCUAGUGGUGCAUUGAGCUGAGAUCAGUAAUUGCCCAUUGGGAACUAUAAAUUAUAGUUCUCACGCCCUCUGUUUUAUGUUUUCUUUCAGAGCCUUCCAUGCCGGGAGAGGCUAGGGACCGUGGGAAGGGCGUUGCUUCGAGCUAGCUCUUCAGCGAGUGACGAGUUCUAGGUGGUCUACCUCUCGAUAUAUUUUAUUUUAGAGAGGUUGAGAGCUGUACCAGUGUACUAGAGACCACCCUUUUGUGUACCUUUUGGACAGAUAUUGUAUAUCUAUAUGUUUCACUCUUAUUGCUCUAGUAUACCUCUUUUACCUUGUUAUAGACUAUAGAUCUAUCUGUGCUCUGAUAUCUUUAAAUGUAGAUUACUUUUGAUUUUAUUUUUCGCUGUUGUUGUAGACGCCUUAUAUGUGCUGACAUAUGGCGGGUCUGGGCACGCUACCGGGAGGGCCUCUGCCGGUCCCGGAGCGUGACAUAGUAUGUCCAGCUUGUUGGUGGUCGUGGCACCACAAGUAGUGAGCUCCGGAGUCGUCACACAUAGGUUGAGGGUUAUCUCCCCACAGACUGCCCUAUAUGGUUGAGUGGCUGUCUUCUUGCGGGCCAAGUAUGUGAGUGGGUUCGACCUUCAGAUGAGCCGGUAAGAUUGGGUCAUGAGGUAAAAGAGAAAGUCACUUGAGCAUAGUAGAUCUUGUCUUUAAGUAUAGUAGUAUCAUAUGACAGGUGACGAGUCGAUUAUGCCUCCUCCGUAGACGGUUUGCGUUGGGUUGAACAGUCAUCUCCUCAGUAGACGAUCUAGAGAAGGGAGUUUUGCAUGACUUCGCGUGAGCCGGUAUGAUUGGGUAAAAGGUAAAAAUGGUAAACAUCUUGAGCAUAAUAGUUGCAAAGGCAUAGUUGUGUUUAUUCCAGUUAUGCAUAGUGUAGUUAUUGUACUACUUUCUUGUUUAUUUAUUUACUUAUAGCUUGAUAGACCUAGUAGAAAAAUCGGCGAGGUUGGCGGCAAAACCUACUAGGAACUUCUUUUAGUUCUCACUCCCUAUUUUGCAGAGCCAACCAUGGGCAGAGCGACAUCGGACCGAGGCGCGUGUGUUGUAUCCUAGAUAGCUGGGUCACCGCGUAUAGGUCACCCUUGUACAAGUAAAAGAAUGUAAAGGUUUAUUUGAAAUGGAAAUGUAAUUGGAAGUGUAAUUGUAUUUUGAGGAGUUUAUGUAUUAUGUAAAGUGAAAAAGUAUAUGCAAAAUGUGAAUGUUUCAAUGUUGUGAUAGUUAGGUUUACAUUCUCUCUCUUGUAAUAUGCCCUCGUGCAAAAAUGUAUUAUGUUAUUUUUUCUGUGUGAAAAUUAAUGUACUUGUUUUGCAUACGCCUUGGGCGGACAGAAAAAAUUUUGUCUGUUCGGCGGUCUAUGAACGUGCUCGAGCCGAGCAAAGUGGCGGCCUCGGGACGUGACAGUAGCAGUAGCGCCUCAAUGAGUUUUUGGCACUGGUCAUCUCCUUGAUAGCUUUUAAUCACCUCUGAAAUCCAGCUAGGGAUGGCUGUGGUUAUAGCUGAACUCUACCCUUUUUCGGUUCUCGCCUGGAUAGGGAGUCUGCAGCUUUAUUUUCCUUAUCGGCCUUGUAGUGUAUCACGUAGUCUAACCCCAUCAACUUCACCAUGCCAUUCUGUUGUAUCGCCAUUGUAAUUCUUUGUUCUAGCAAGUAUUUCAAGUUUUGAUGGUCGGUUUUGAUUAUGAACCUUCGGAGGCUAAAGUAGUGUUUCCACUUGUUCACGGCCAUCAAUAUUGCUAUGAAUUCUUUCUCGUAAGUCGACAAUCCCAAGUUUCUUUUGUUGAAGGCCUUGCUAAGGUAGGUUAUCGGCUUUCCCUCUUGCGAUAAAACGGCCCCCAUUCCCUGCUUGCAUGCAACUACUUCGAAGGUGAAGGUUUUAGUGUAGUCGGGCAAGGCUAACAUCGGAGCUCUUGUCAUCACUUCCUUCAAAUUAUCAAAUGCGGCCUGAGCCUCCGUUCUCCAUCUAAACUGAUCCUUCCUUAGCAACUCCGUCAAGAGUUUGCUCAAUUUUUCAUAAUCCUUGAUGAAUCUCCUGUAGUACCCCGUAAUGCCUAAGAACCUUCUUAAUCCCUUGAGCGAAGUAGGAACCGGCCAAUUAAUCAUGGCUUCAACGUUGUUUGGAUCUAUGGCGACCCUAGUUUCUGUUAUAACAUAUCCCAAGUAGUCGACCUUUUCCUGCUCGAACAGACAUUUGGAGCUCUUCGCAAAUAGUCAAUGCUCGCGGAGAAUACCCAGCACUUCUGUUAAGUGUUCCUCGUGCUCCCUUAAGGUUUGCUACAAAUCAGGAUGUCGUCGAAGAAUACGAGCACAAAUUUUCUGAGAUACUCAGCAAAACUCUCAUUCAUCACAUAUUGGAAGGUGGUUGGCGCGUUGGUUAGGCCAAAAGGCAUGACUAGGAACUUAUAAUGUCUGGAAUGAGUCUGAAAGGCUAUUUUUUAAACAUCUUGCGGGCUCAUCCGAAUCUGAUGGUAGCCGGCCCUCAAAUCCACCUUCGAAAAAUGAAUGGAGCCUCCCAGUUCAUCUAAUAAAUCAUCAAUUAGAGGGAUAGAGUACUUAUGUUUCACUGUGGCCUUAUUAAGUUGUCGAUUGUCGACACAACAUCUCCAAGUGCUGUCCUUCUUCUUAACCAAAAGUAUAGGAGAAGCAUAGGGGCUUGUGCUAGACAUGCCGGAAGAGGACCCAAGGAUGGGGGAUCACCCUGCCAGGUUCUCGAGCAAAAGAGAGGAAAAACAAAUGUGAGGGAGAGGGAGAGAGGUGGUGGCUGUGGCGGCGACUUGCCAGCCAGGGCUUGAUCGGCGGUGGCCGGGAGGCGCGCGGCGCUCGAGGGUGAGGGAGGAGAGGCAGCUAGGGGUCAGCUGGAGCUAGGGUUAGGGUUUGCACCAUGUAAAUCCUAGGUGGCCUUUUAUACAUGAAUGUAUAAUUGCAUAUAAGUACAUCGAAACUCAGUAUUUUUAGUUGAGUCCCUCACAGCGCGAGUAAAACGCGCGGACACACCCCCAUAUUCGAUUUCACACGAAUCCGUACAUAAAAUGUAGGACUUUCCGCAAAAUUUUUGUUUCGCCACUUAUGACCCCUACUCGAUCCCCGCACGAUAUCAGGAGAUCCGUUCGUCAGAUUUACGAACGGACUGGACCAGCGCGUUCGGCACGACUGAGACAUUAAACUCACAAUUUUGUUUCGCCUGGUUUGGUCGCAGAUUCGUGACGAAACCCAACCUCUCUCCGAUUCAACAAAACCACACACAAAUAAAUAAUAUAUAUAUCCAAUAAUUGCCUCCAAGACCUUCCAAUUAGCGAAAACGGGGACAAAGCCCCUCCCAACUAGUCCUCUCUCAAAGAAAGGUCCCCGCCCGAGGAUCCACACACAAAACGGCGCAACGAGAAGUUUUAAAAAGCAAAAACGAUAAAGAACAAAAGUCCACUUUGCGAUAAAAUCUAGUUUUUUCGAAAACCAUGCGUCAAACCCAAAAUCCAUCAGCGCCAAUGGGUUCGGGGCAGUCAGACCGUUGAAAAUGAGAUAUUGGAUCACCAUGAACGGAGUCCAAUACGUGCCAGAAGCCAUCUCUACUCAUUGGCCUCUCCGAAACCCAGGUUACUAUUCACUUUAAGUGAAAAGUAAAGAUCGCGUAACAUCUCCAUUCUAAUUCGUUUUUUUCCAAAACUUGACGAGUGCUUUUGUAAUUAAAAUACACACAAAAAUAUCAUCAACAGAGAGUUUAGUUACACAACAAAAUUCUCAGUCCUCACAAAGAUUUUGAGAGAUAGUUUUGAUUAAGGGAGUGGAAAGUGUUGAACAACGAGGAGGGGUUUUUGUGAUAGUGGAUUUUGAGUAAUUUACUUUGGAAUGGGCUAAUUCGGAAUUCAAAACCGGAUUAGCCAUUUCCAUUCCAUAAUGGAAUAGGAAUCAAAAUUCGAUUUCUAUAAAACAAACAACCAACUAUCGGAAUCAGUAAAUUUUAUUCUGAUUUCAUAGUUUAAAAUAGAUGAACCAAACAUAUCCUAAAAAGGGAUAUAACUUAAAAAAGUUAGUAAAGAAAAGAAGCAACUAGGUAGAUAUAUGUUGGAAAAUAAGUAUACAAACACAAUUUCAGAUGCAACAGUUCUCUCUUAAAUUACAUAUAUUUUUUUAUUAUAUCUUAUAAUAUUUAUAAAAGAUUUUUUAUAUAUCAUAUAUAAAAAUAUUUAAUAUUAAAAAUAACAUUUAAAAAUUCAUUUAUAUUACAUAUUUAAAUAUAACUAAAUUUUAUCUAAUUUUAUUAAUAAUGUACGUAAACGUACAUGUGAGUUGAUCAUACUAGAUUGCCCACCUUUACCAGUUUCUUCAUCUAGAUUGCCGGCUUUUGAAUACUCAUGUUUAUCUGUACAUGAGUAUUCUUAUAUCAUCUGCCUGAGAUAUAUACAUAUAUAUAUAUAUCUCUCUCUCUCUCUCUCUCUCUCUCUCUCUCUCUCUCUCUCUCUCGCGAUCCGACCAUAUGAUAGCCAUCGUGCCUCCGGAGGUAAAAUGGUUCAACAAAAGUUACUACGGCGAAGGUUUAGCUGUUAGCCGAGGCAAUCUAAACUAGAUGUGAUAAUUUUUAUAAACUUUUGAUUUAAAGUAUUAAAAAGUUGUAGUAAAGCGAUCACUAGUUUUCCAGAGUUUUAACUGUUAAAAUUACCAUCUACACUACGUAAACAUUUAAAUUGCCACAUUUUGUUAGGUUUAGUCUACUUUAAACAUAUCUUUCAAGAAAAAUGAUAAAUCUCAUUCUAGUCAUGGAGACUAGAAUUUAAGUUCAGAAGAUAGUAGUACAAAAUACUAUAAAAAUAAAAGUCAGCAAGUAAAAAUCUGAUGAGCAAACUAUCCAUUUACUAUAACUUUUUAAUACUUUAAAUCAAAGGUUUAUGAAAGUUAUCACAUAUAGUUCAGAUUGACUUGGCUAGCAGCUAAACCAUCACCGUAGUAACUUUUGUUGAACCAUCGUGCCUCCGGAGGCACGAUGGCCAUCAUAUGGUCGGAUCGAGAGAGAGAGAGAGAGAGAGAGAGAGAGAGAGAGAGAGAGAGAGAUAUAUAUAUAUAUAUAUAUAUAUAUAUAUAUAUCUCUCUCUCUCUCUCUCUCUCUCUCUCUCUCUCUCUAUAUAUAUAUAUAUAUAUAUAAACUNUCUCUCUCUCUCUCUCUCUCUCUCUCUCUCUCUCUCUAUAUAUAUAUAUAUAUAUAUAUAUAUAUAUAUAUAGGCUGGAAUACUAUCAAUAGCACCAAGCUAUUGGUGCCAUUAGUUAUUUAGCCCUUGGAUUGAGAAAUGUGCGGUUAGGAUGAACUGAGCCCUUUAGGGUUGAGUGGGUUCUUGGUUGAAUAGUAUAAUCUAACGGGUAAAAAUAAUCAAAGAGUUAAAUCUAACAGUGGAAAACUCGAUAGCAUCAAGCCCUUGGUGCUAUCGAAAUCCCAACUGAACUCUAUAACUCACUCUCUCUCUCUCUCUCUCUCUCUAUCUAUCUAUCUAUCUAUCUAUCUAUAUAUAUAUAUAUAUAUAUAUAUAUAUAUANNNNNNNNNNNNNNNNNNNNNNNNNUAUAUAUAUAUAUAUAGAGUAAGUCUCCUGUACUUUCGAAAGUACGGAGACCUCCGUGCUUGUAAGUUGUUUUCGAUGAUAGGAAAUCCGAUUCGAUGAUCGGCUCCGUUAAAUAUAAUCUACCGUAUUGGAACUACUUAGAAACCAAAUUUUAUAAUUUUUGACAUCAUUUACCAAGCGAUCAAAAGGUCUCAAAAUGACUAUUUUAAAGGCUGAUGUGGCACGUUUUUAAGUUCAACGGUGUAGAAGUAUCCAAAUUAGAUGAAAAUUUAAUAGAAAAUUAUACUUAACAUCAAUAGCAAGACUAAUACUUUUGAUUUGAAAUUUGAGUCAUUUAUCACUGUUUUUUAUGAGGUUUUUAUUUUCAGCCAUUCAUUUUGAGGCUACUCAUUUACUAGACAAACAAAAUAAAAAAAUUAUGAAAUUUGGUUUCUAGGUAGUUCCAAUAGUGUAGAUCAUGUCUAACGGAACCGAUCACCGAAUUGGAUGUCCUAUUAUUGAAAACAAUUUACAAGUACAGAGGCUUCCGUACUUUCGAAGGCAUAGAAGCCUAGCUCUCUCUCUCUCUCUCUCUCUCUCUCUCUUUAUAUAUAUAUAUAUAUAUAUAUAUAUAUAUAUAUAUAUAUAUAUAUAAAGUUAGGCUGGAAUACUAUUGAUAUCAAAAGGUUCUUUUUGCUAUUAAACUUUUAACCCUUGGAUGAGAAAUUGUAGGGUAAGGAUGAUAUUAGCCCUUUAGGGUUGAGUGGUCCCUCUAGGUUGUAGUGUACCGAAUCCUCGGUGCGCCAAACUGAACUUUAGUCAAAUUGACCAAAGUGUGGUAAUGGACGCUUUGGAGAGGUCCGUUGAAUGUUCCGAAUGAUCAGAAUGGUUUAUAUGGGUACAAAGGACCUUGGAGAGCAAGAUAUGAAAUUUUCAAAAUUUUGUGCUGGAAAUGCUCUUGGGGUCCGGACCCUGGCUAUAGGGUCCGGACCCCGUACGCGUGAAAGGUCGGGGUUGAGCAAAGUGUCAUUUGCGUGAGGGGCUAAGUGCAUUUGUCGAUAUACAAAGGUGCUAGGCACAACAUAAGGUAUAUGCAGGAUAAUAACAGGAAAAAAAGGUAAGAAGAUGUCACCGAGCGUGCACCACUGUACCGAUUUCGGGUCGAAGUACCUACCUGUACGUGCGUAGGUCUAGUCUCCUGACUGUGGAAGAAUAUCAGCCGGACCUACAAACGGUCCAUCAGGUUAGAAUUCAACCUACAAAUACAAACCACUAACUCACAAUCCCCACAUGUAAACCCACGGGAAUCGAUUUUCUAAAACCGAUUGCCAUAACACGCUGGAAGUCCCGAAAAUCGCACCGGGACUCCGCCAGGACCCACGAACUGUCCCGGAACUCACCGACUCGUGUCACAAGUCACCCGCUGCCACCAAACACAAUUAUUUGUGUGACCAAGCAGCAAACACACAUCCUCACAUCGAAACGAUUAUCGUCGGAUAAUCGUUCUGAUCCGGUUUCCCGGAAGUGUCAAUUUCGACACUGGAACCCACCGUCGCUCACCUGUCGUUUCUGGACCCUCGAAAUGACGCGAGUGACCAGCCAACAAGGCUCAGCGACUAUAUAAUUUUUUGUGAGGCACCGUCGGAAGAAUUCUGAACCGAAAUCGCGUUCCAUCGGCGAAUUUCGUCGAAAAACGCACUGAAAAUCAACAUUCGAUUUUCGAAAAGGCCUGGGGCCUUGGACAACUAGUUCAGAGGUCACCCGCUGCCCGCACAUGCUGCCAACAGCGACCACGAAAUAUAAAAUUACAUAAAAAUCCCUGCGACUACAUAAAAUCACAUCAUUUUAUGUGAUUUUCGGGGUUUUACGGCCCGAUAGCGGAAACCAAGGACUUUGGAGUCUAGCCGAGACACCCGCUGACAUGUCUCGGCGUGUCAGAGGCCGUGCUCACACUUUGGAGCAUGGUCGGCCACUGUGGAGGGCGUGGGUGCGACACAGAAUUCAGUGAAUACCGCGCACAGCAUGAAAAACAUGCUUAUCUCGCAAACCAGGGGCUCGUGGAUCCCAACGAAGGUGAUCACGAUGAUCAGCACUGAUCUAGGAUCAUCGUGCUUACCUUCGAAAGCCUCGGGGUGGCCCCAGGUCACCAGAAACCCGAACCUGAGACAGUGCGCAGAAACCAUUAACUUAAGCUUACCGGAGCUAGGUGGAGCACGGGCGGCCCGCGGCGGCCGGAUGGAGGGCGCGCCGACAGGGAUGGGUGCGGCUGGUCAGUGCGGGACAGGGCUCGCGUCGGCAGGUGACGGGAGGCGGCGGUGACGGCGGGCAACGAUGCCCUAGCCGCACGAGAUCAAGGGAGGCUUCCGGCCGGCAAGGGCUCCGGCGGCGGAGGCGCAAGCGGCAGCCGAGUGCGCCCGACCCAGGGGAGGCGGCGCGCGGGUCGUCCGGUGACGGAAGGUAGCGGCGGUGGCUCUAGAGCAACUCAAGCCCGCGCGUGCUCGGCUCGGGUUCAGCCGGUCACAGCGGCCAACGCGGUAACCGAGGAGCUACGGGGCGACGACGGUGGUUCGCGAGAGGCCGGAGGGAGGCGGCCCAGGUGGUGCCGAGCGGUGGUAGCAGCGGCGGAGCACCCUGAACCCGCACCUCAAAAACUUGGCUCGGGUUCAGCCAUGCCGGCCUCGGCGGCAGCUAGGCCGCCUCGGGGCGGCGGCGACGGGACAUCAAGGGUCGCCGGAGGCCAAGGGAGGGCGGCGCGGCCAGUCCCAAGCGGCGACGGCGCGAGGAGAGGGAGAUCUCGCAGCCUCGGCCAGAUUUGCCCAGAUCUGGCCGCAACUUGCCAAGGCGGCGGCGCUUGGGGGAAGCGGCGACCGACGGAGAAGGUUUGCCGGGGUUGGGUCCUGCUAUCAGAGGUGGAGCCCGUGGGUGUGGGGCCUCCUUGGCAGCAGUACAAGCAGAAAUGAAGGAAGAUGGUGCUGGAAACAAUAGAGGAGAGGAACGAUGACUGCUUUCCGGCGGCCGGCGACGUGCGCAAGCGGCCGGGGCGCGCGCGGCUAGGGCAGGGGGAGGUUCAGAGGGUCGCAGGGAGGUUGGCUGAGGGAGGAGGUCAACAAGGUUAGGGUUUCCUCUAUGAAACCCUAAAUGACACUAUAUAUACAAGUCACCAAUUUGUCGAUAAGUCCUCCGAAACUCAGUAUUUUCAUUUGAGUCCCUCACAGCGCAUGUAAAAUGCACGUACGAAUCUCCAUGUCUGAUCUCACGCGAUUCGGUAUAUAAAAUAUAGGGGGUUUCGCACGAGAUAUAAAAAUGUCAUUUUGACCUCUCCUCCAUAAUCACACGAUAUCCGGCGAUCCGUCCAUCGAAUUUGCGAACAGAUCGCACUAAUGCGAUCAGCACGACAGGGGCAGCAACUCAUGAUUUUGUUUCGUUUGGUUUGGUUGCAGAUUCAUGCCGAAACCCAUCCUCUCACCAAUAGGCAAAACCCGUACACAAAUACGUAGAAAACAUGUAUCUUCAGUUUUCUCGAAAGCCGUGUGUUAGAUCUGAAAUCCGUCAGUGCCAUUGGGUUCAGGACAGUCGAACUAUCAAAAACGAGCUAUUGGAUCACUAUGAACGAAGUCCAAUACGCACCAGAAGCCAUCUCCAUUAAUUGGCCUCUCCAGAAAAUCGGAGUUACUAUUCACUUUAAGUGAUUAGUACAGGUCGCGUAACUUUUCCAUCCUAACUCGUUUUCUCCUGAAACUUGACGAGUGUUUAUGUAAUUAAAUUAUACACAAAAAUAUCGCAACACAGAGUUUAGCUACACAGUCAAAUUCUCAGUCCUUACAUAUACAUAUAUACAUACAUACAUACAUACAUACAUACAUACAUACAUACAUACAUAUAUAUAUAUACAUAUAUAUAUAUAUAUAUACAUAUAUAUAUAUAUAUAUACAUAUAUAUAUAUAUAUAUACAUAUAUAUAUACACAUAUAUAUAUAUAUAGAGUGACGCUAGAAUACUCUCGAUUAGUAAACGAGCCCGUUUACUAUCGAUUGUUUUCGAUAUAGCAGCUUCCAAUUGACAAUCGGCUCCGUUGAACAUUGGAUUUAUACCACUUGAGUGUUAGAAAUCAAAUUUCAAAUCUUUUUCGACAUCAUUUGCUAAUGAUCAAAGGGUUCAAAAUUGUAAUUUUAAUGGUGGAUCAAGAGACUUUUCCGUUAACGCUUUAAGACUACCAAAUCAAUUGAAUAGUUGUUAGAAAAUUUUUAGACUAUUUAAAGACAAGAUCUAUACUCUUGAUCUUAGAUUACAGACUCCUAUCAUCAUUUUUUUAAGAGAAUUAUUCAUUUCAGCCAUUCAUUUUUCUGUUCACUAGAUGGAUAAAAAACGUAAUAUCGAAAGUCGCGUGAAAAUUUGUAUUUCUAGGUAGUUUAAAUAUUUAGAUCAUAUUAACGGCCUAUCGUCAAUUGGAGCUUAUCAUCGGAAAACAACUCGAUAGUAAAGUGUUCGUUUAUCUAAUCGCCAGCGAGUAUUCUAGCUCAACUUCUAAUAGUACUAAUAUUAACAUAAUAUAUAUAUAUAUAUAUAUAUUUAUAUAAUACAUAUAUAUACAUACAUAUACAUAUAGUAUAUAUAUAUAUAUUAACAUAUAUAUAUAUACAUAUAUUAUAUAUAUAUAUUAUAUACACACAUAUAUAUAUAUAUACACAUAUUAUAUAUAUAUAUAUAUACACAUAUAUAUAUAUAUACAACUAAGCUGGAAUACUAUUAAUAGCACUUGUGACUUGGUGCUAUUAAGUUUUCUGCCCUUAGAUUAAAAGAUGUGCGGUUAGGAUGAUGUGGGCCCUCUGGAGUUGAGUGGGUAGUUGGUUGAAUAGUAUAAUUGAACGGAUGAAAAUGAUAAAAGAGGUAAGUCUAACGGCAAAAAAAUUGAUAGCACCAAAUGCUUCGUGCUAUCGAUAGUAUCCCAGCCGGACUCUAUAUAUACAUACAUACAUACAUACAUACAUACAUACAUAGAGUCCGGCUACUAUACUCUUAUGAGUACGAUCGCAUUCAUACUCAUAAGUUGUUUUCAGUAAUAGAGCUUCCAAAUCGACGAUCCAGACCGUUAAACAUUAUCUAGAUCAUUUAAAACUUCUAGAAAUCAAAUUUCGUAAUUUUUCGAUAUCAUUACCUUACGAUCAAAAGCUCACAAAAUUGGCAAUUUUUAAAGGUCGGUACGUGAUACUUGCUAGUUUAACGGUGUAAAAGAAUGGGAAUAGAUAGAAUUUUUGAUAGAAAAUUCUAUUCAUUACCUAGAUAAAGAUCAAAAACCUAGAUCUUAAAUUGAAGGAUCCGAUCAUCCAUUUUUAAGACAUCGUUCAGUUUUGACCGUUUAUUUUAUAUCCGCUUGAUGGACUUUAUAAUGAUUUCGAAAAAUUACAAAAUUUUAUUUUCUAGAAGUUUCAAAUAACGUAUAUAAAAGAACACACACACAAAGAAAGCACACGAUAAAAACUUCAUAAAAGACGGAGACGCAAAUCAAUAGGAGACAUCUACUUACACCCUACGUCGACCCAAAACAACAUCAGACACCCAAAAGAAAUAAAUGUGUCCAUGCCAUUCCGCCAAGCUGGUAAAUAACCCCCUGCAACCUCGCACACCCCGAAAAUAAACACAAAGCAACAAUAAGACAACCAUAAGCCAACUACUGGGGAGUUUCCGGCUACCGGAUGCGAGAUCCUGGAAAAUACGAUAAAGGUUGAGCCAACAAAUAAAUUAAACUCUCAGGAGCCCUCCCAAUAUCUUACAGCAGAAAAUCGCAAAAAAGCUACAACACUAAGGAUAAGAGCAGGACCCCGCCCACUUCUCCGGACAGACCAAUCAAUACACAAAAACCUUCAAAACAAAAAAAGAAAACCCAACCACAAAUUCAGGAAAACAAAAACAAAACACAAUAAUAACAAGGAAAUACCUCGCCGGCCACCACCAGAAGCAUCAGCACCCCCGCUACUAGUAACCUUCUCCCUGUGGCUUCAACGUAAACCGCCCACGCUCAUAAUUCCUAAAGUCAGACAAGGCCCGCCACGAGGCUAAACCAUAUGACAUGCUCUCUAGGCUGACUGUCCUGAAAGGCAGACUGCGUGCAUUGAAGUCAAAAAUCAGUAGUGUCAUGCUGAGCUCCCGAUUGGACGAGACAGAAAAAAAAAACAUAGAUAAGAAACUCAUAGCUCCAAUCCGACAGCGCCCACGCAAUUAAACAACAGCCCUUACCAAGCCGUAAGAGAAUAAAACCUCGCUCCGACCACUAGCCCAGCGACGUGAAAUCAAUUAUCAAGGCCACAACCUAACCCAGUAAUGCAUGAUUGCUUCUAUGUCCGCAUCGCCGGCCCGGCUAAAAAAAAAAGCGUGGGCAUCCCAACAAGAGAGCUCCGGCGUGCCUGGUUGAAACCACACCGGUGGUUUGGCCGCAGCCGUUGGCUCCCUGUACGACCCGGAUCUCUCAUGUUGCCGGUUCUGGGCCGGAAGCCUCAGCGUCCGUUAGAGGGUGUGUGGUGUUCUUUGGGUCUCUGGUAUUAACUCACGGUGCCUUCAAGGCACUCGUCCGCCCGUGGCAAGUAACGACGCUGGGCCAUUUUACUGGCGAAGAUGAGAACCGCCUUACCGCUCCCCUGCUGAUCGCGAGCCACGAGACCCUCUGACCUGCCGUACCUGGCCCCUGGCCGGCUCUUCCCGCCGCUCCCGGCCGAGCCGCGCCACGCGUUACCUCCCGACGCCGUGCCUAGCUCCGUAAGCUAGCAUGGCUUUAUUUGUGCACUGCUUUGGGGUUGUAGUACACUUUCGCAACCCGAGGGCUUGUUCCGAUGCCUUCCGGCGAAGUGAGCACGGUGAUCUCAUCAGUGCUCGAUCACAGUGCUCACCUCAUCGGGGUCACACGAGUGUCGAUUGUGUCAUUUUGAAGUGUUUUAGUUCAGCGCAUGGCAGUUUUUGCUGAAGUUUCGCGUCGCCUUGUGGCGCGUCGGCCACUGCGCCGCCAACAGCUCGGCGAACAGGUGACACGGCCUUCGUCACGCCGAGACCUGCCACAGAUGUCUCGGUUUGGCUAUGAUUUCGCUAAAGUUUUGUAGACGGACACCAUAAAGCGGCCCAAAUCGCAUGAAAUAAUCAUUAUCGGCGUAAUCCGGGAGGCUUUUAUGGAUUAUGGUUUUGCGGCGCUGUUGCAGGCAUGGUGACGAGGUAACCAUUUGGACUGAUUGUCCAAGGCCCCGACCCUUGCGACAGAUCGAAAAGUAUUUUCGUGGCGUUUGUGCCGGCAAAGAUCCGCCGACGAGACCGGUUUGGUUCGGAGAUUAUUCCGACUGUGCUCCGUGAGCUUUUGUGUAGUCGCUGAGAAACUGUGGCUGGUCCACCAUCGCGUCAUUUCGAGAUUUCAGAAAUACGAGUGAGGCGACGGUGGGGUUCGGCGGUGUCCGAAAUUGACAUUCUCAGAACCCGGAUCCCACAAUUAUCCACCAAUAGUUUUUGUUGUGUAUCUUGUGUUGUGCUGGCCAUGUCACACUAAAAUAAGUGUUAGAGGGCAGCAAUACUUCGUGGCAUGAAGUCGUGCCUCUCCCGAUAGUUAGUGGGUGCCCGGACGGAGUCCCCGUGGCGAUUUCGUGAACUUCCGCGAGUCUGGUAAUCCGUAUUGGAAACUGAUUCUGUGAGAUGUUUGGGUAUGCUUGGCUAGGGUUUCUUAACUGUGGUUAAGACACUAACCCAGGACCUCCUUAGGAUCCGUUGACAUUCUUUUGCAGUCAGGGAGACAGGCGCGGACAGUGUAUCAGGUGGGGUACUCGAUCCAACGUUGUGUACAUGUGGUGCAGCCGCUCCGUGAUGUUCUUACCCUUGGCUCUUUUUUUAAUUAUCCAUCGCUAUAUUAUUAUGUUGAGCUUUGCACCUCUAUUGAUUACAUUACACCAAACGUUGUUUUGAUUUAUAUCUCUACUCAAAGACGUUCUCCCCAUGCUUAGUAUCACGUGUAGGAUAAUGUCUAUCUUUUAUGAUACCAUGUUUCCUUUUGGCUCUACUUAGUAUUUCUUCAACCCUGUUUCAUGUUUACUAGUAAAGCGAGUUGCGUGAUUAUCUAUGAGCAUCAAGCGAUCUUACGUCGGUGAUUCCUACUAUUCACUAUUUGUGCACUGUAUUCGUGAAGUUCCUCGACACUUUCUUGUCUGAUCCCGUUAAGGUCGGUAAACCCUGCAGGUGGGCAUGUCGGUAUUGCCGACGGAUGACUUAUACUUUUACUCAUAUUCUAUACUUGUGACAUGGAUUGGUCGACUUCAUAGUUCUCUACCUUGUGACAUGAAUUGGUCGAGUUUCAUAUUUAUACUUGUGACCUGAUUGGUGAGUUUCAUAUCCUAGUUGAUCUUACGGGGUCCUCCUUGAGGUUCCAUUGACCAUAUUGCAUAUGUUUGAAGAUAUCGAUGUUGUUCCAUUCCUUAGUUGAAUGAGUGGUCCGGUUCUUUGCUUGCCUUACAGUUGACGACCUAUGCGGUCUGAUGGCACCCUGGGGCAGGAUUGGUCGCUGUUGACGACGGUUGAGCAUAUGAGCAUCACUUGCACUGAUCGCCCCCGAUACUCGUCGCAUUUCACCGAACACUGUGCGAUCUAUCCAGCACGCAAGAAGUGUUCUUUCCGGAAAGUGGUUGAAUGGUACUAACCGUGAAGCCUAUGAGGUUAUAUCACUGAAGAUAGUAGUGCCUGGCUUGAGUCCUGCGUGCUCGACCAAUGAGAGCAUUGGUUUCAGAUUGGGUUACUUUUGGACUUCUUUGGACCGUUGACGCUAUAGUUCCUAAUAGUACAGUCGUCGCAUCGAUAGCUUAAGAUCUUACCUACUAGUUAUCUUCUACUAUAGUAGAUAUCCAUGGUAUCUUUCUGUUCUAUGGUUACAGUAGCGUAGCCGUUUAUCAGCCUAUAGUUCUCACUCUCCUUCAGUUUAUCCUAUUGUUGAUCUUGCUCAUUACCGCUUGUUCAUUUCUCACUGACCCCAAUGUUGUUGUAUAUUCCUUUCCUGAUCGCGGUGAGUGUACGUCUCGCUUUUUCGACUUGCGGUACCGCACUGUGAGGGGAGCAGCAUGUUUUACAUUUCUCACCUCUCUCGCCACAAUUUUUUUCAGGUAUCGGGGCGUUGAGUAGUGGGGCGGAGAGCCAUGAGGUACGAUGGUGUAGCCGGUCGGGAUAGGAGCUGUCCGACCCAGGUUAUUCCGAUUGCUAUUACCACUUUUUAUUACUGUGGAUAUAUAUAUCGCUUAUCGGUUUAAAACAUGGUUUCAGUUUCUGUUUUAUUAUUUGAAUACUGAUUUUCAAGUUUGUUUUGAAAUGUAAUAAAGGAAUUGUGUUUUCUUGAAAUAGAAAAAGUUUCUACCGCCUCGUGGGUAGUGCAGGUUUCUUAAAGAAUAAAGGUUUCCGGUGUAUGAACAGUUUCAAAGAAUUUUCGUGAAUUUCUAUUUAAACAUUGAAGAUAAAACUUUGUGAUGUGAAUGGUGAAUGUAUGAAUGUAUAGUUUCAUCUUAUACUUCAUUUGGUUGUGGUUGUUUUCUCGCUAUAUCUGUACUUUGUGUUGCACGCCGGGUGCAAAAUACAGGGAACUCUGUCCGUGUGAACAGUGGAUUCGCCUAUAAUUUUGUGCGGAUUUGCAUACGCUUGGGGUCAGGUUGCACAAAAAAAAAAAAAAAAAAGAAAUUUCCGCUGGUUUUUAAACCUAAAGGACCCGGGCGUGACAUUGAUAUUUCUAAGACCGUUAAAACUUGCAACGGCUCAACUACACACCUUAAAAUUAUGAUUUUGAAGCCCUUCCGAAUUCACUGAGGGCGAAAUGUAUCGAAAAAUCAUUAACAUUUAUUUGCUAAAAUACUUCAAUACUUCUAUAUCAGUUUAACUGCCGUCGAGCCAUGUCGAGCUGGAGAGGGGUGCAACAUCGAAAACAGCCUGAAAGAGGAAGGCUCCGGCUUCCAAACAUAGUAGCCUUAACUUCCUAAUAUACACAACACCACAUCAACACACACAAACACACACACACACACACAUGCACAGGCUAACAGACACACACACCACAAUCACACACAAUCACAUACAUACAUACAUACAAUACAUAACUAUCAUAUAUGAUAUAUAAAUAUAUAUAUUAUAAUAUAUAUAAUAUAUACUAUAUUGCUUCCAAUGCGACGAUCCACACCGUUAAAUAUGAUCUACAGNNNNNNNNNNNNNNNNNNNNNNNNNNNNNNNNNNNNNNNNNNNNNNNNNNNNNNNNNNNNNNNNNNNNNNNNNNNNNNNNNNNNNNNNNNNNNNNNNNNNAAAAAAGAGAGGUUUCAUAAAUAUAUAUCUCGUUCGUCAUUAUCUCGUCUGCUACUGUAUUUUACUUACCUCAUACUGUUUGGUUAGUCCUUCCUAUCCGGUGAGUACUCCUCUAUGCCUUCUUCGGCUUGCGUAGCCCACUGGAGGGAAACAUGUUUACAUGUUCUCACCUCCCCCACCAUUUGUAAAGUAUCGGCGGGCGAUGAGUAGUGGACGUAACUUGAGGUACGGUUGUAAGCCGGUCGAUAGAGCUUUCCGAACCUCCGAGGUUAAUUUCGAUUUAGGUUAUCGCUCUGGUAAUUUUCUCUGUCUGAUAUAGUAUUGUUUAGUUGGUUUUGUGUUUCAGUAAUUAAUUUACAUUAUUCGAAAUGUAGAUUUCUGAUUUUUGUAAAAUAAAAAGUUUUCUAACCUCUCGUCGUAGCGUUUUUAAAAAGAAUAAAGAUUUCUGUGCUAAGGAAACAGCUUUAAAAGAGAUUUUUUGUUUGGAUUCUGUUAUACCUUGAAUGUAUAAUCUUGAUUGAAUGGUUGAAGUGUAUGAAUGUAUAGUUAUUUUAUAUUCAUCUGUUGUGGUGUUAUCUCUGUUGUAACUUGUUUGAUCGACGCCGUGCAAAUACAGGGGAGACUCUGUCCGUGUGAACAGUGGAUUCCCUGUAUUUGUGGCGGAUCUGGCAUACUCUGGGGUCAGGAUUUCAAAAAAAAAAAAAAAAAAUUCAGACGCUUUUCCGCUUUGUUUUAAACUGAAAAGGGACCCCGGGGCGUGACAGUCGCGGGGCGUGACAAUUGCUUACCCUCGUGUAAGCCAUUGUAUAUGUUUUCGCUAGUGCUUUUCUUAACUUGAAAUUGUACAGGUGAUGAGCCUUGGGCGGACAGGGGAAACUCUGUCCGUUCGGCGUCUGUUCGACGUGCCCAGACCGGCCCAAAUUGGUAUCGGUCCCAGGGCGUGACAUCGAUGUCAACCUUUCCUUUAAUUCCUUGAAACUCCGAUCGCAAUCGUCGCUCCAAACAUAUUUCACUCCUUUGUGUGUAAGGCGCGUUAGUGGAGUAGUUAUUUUAGCAAAUCCCUCCACGAACCGCCGGUAGUAUCUCGCAAGUCCAAGAAAACUACGAAUUUCCGCUACACUUGUCGGGCAAGGCCAAUCUUUAAUUGCCUCAACUUUCUUUGGAUCUACCGAGAUACCAUCACCCGAUAUAACAUGGCCUAAGAAGGUGACCUCCGAAAUCCAAAAUUCGCACUUCUUUAGCUUAGCAUAAAGCUUCUCUUUUCGGAGUAUUUCCAACACGGUCCUCAAAUGUUCCUCGUGUUCCUCCUCACUCCGAGAAUAAACCAACACAUCGUCAAUGAAUACCACGACGCAUCGAUCCAACAACGAUCGAAAGACUCGAUUCAUCAAGUCCAUAAAUGCUGCAGGGGCAUUAGUAAGCCCAAACGACAUUACCGUGAACUCAUAAUGGCCAUACCGCAUACGAUACGCCGUUUUGUGCACAUCCUUCGGCCGGAUCUUCAACUGAUGAUACCCAGACUGAAGAUCUAUCUUCGAAUACACCUUCGACCCUUACAACUGAUCGAAUAAAUCAUCAAUCCUCGGCAACGGGUACUUUUCUUGAUUGUCACUGUCACGCCCCGCCCCGAAAACACUACCAAUUUGGCACGAUUCGGCCGCGGGUGUACCUCCCCUGCCCGCGCAAGCUCAACCCAAGGAAUGUGUACAAGAAUUUACCCAGGAUUUAAAUUCUAACAUACACAUUCAACGAGUGGCACAACAGUGCAACAACAAAGAAGAGCCAAGUAAUUCCACAAGAUAUACGACGUGAAAUAGAGAUAUUUAUAACUUUACAAAGUUACAUUCUUUCCUUUACAUCAUUUUGCAAAAUGAUAUAACAUUGAAUCCUUCAAAAUACAUAGUCUCCAACUCAACCUACAUGAAUCUCUUUCAUACAUAGGUGUACUAUGUAAAAGCGGAAGUACUACUACCACGCCUCACUGAUGCGGCGCGAUUGCCUGCGCGGUCCUCUCUAGCAGGCCUGAAUUUACCCACUGGAAAUAGAGUGGGUGAGAACUUAUCUUCCAGAGUUCCUAGUGGCCUCGGCCGCGACUCUGCGAUCUCGCCACAUAGGUCCAAGUGGAAAGUAACAACAGAUAGGAAUUAGUAGAUAGAUAGUAUAUGUAUCUUGAAAGCUGUAAAUAGUAGUUAGGAAAACUAUGCUACUUGCCCAUAUCGUGAAUAUGAAUGCAGCAUAAUAAUAAAGGUAUUGUAGUAUUGCUAAACAAAAUUCAUCCAUGUUGAAUUAGUGUAUUCAAUGAUAUUUUAACCUUUAACCUGUUUAUAUUACCCAAUUCUGUGGCGAGGCCUAGGGCUCGCAUGACUCACCUUUUCAAAUCCCAUAUUGGGAGGGAGCUCAAUUGCACCCAAAGCCGGACCGUCUUCGACCUCAUGUGGUCCGGACGCCAGUGGUCCUAGUCGGCUACACUCCGGCAGUACUAGACGACAAUCCCCUCCAUUGUGGGGAUUGGAUGGUCUUAUACCAUCCUAAACGCAGACUGUGAGCUAGAUAUAUCCUCUCAAGGGAUACGACUGUAACUAGCGGUCAAACCAAUCCAAUCCUCUCCAAGUGAGGACUCUACAAUAGAGUCAAUGAUUGUCGCUGGAAUCAUGGUUUCGGCAUUCAUGCAAUGUUAUUUAGUUUUCUAAAUCAAUGUGUUCACAAGAAUUUUCUAAGGGAUCCACCUAUCCUAGGUCCAUCGACCUUCUAGUGUUAUUACACUAUCAUUAUGCCACUCGUUAUCAUUAAUUAUUUUGGAUGCCACUCGUUGUGUUUCUUUAAACAUAAACUAUUUUCUGUCGAUCAAUACGCCUCUUUUAUCUUUUCUUUCGCACCAUAGGAUUCACGCUCUCGACCAAUUCCUCAACCUAUCUAGAGUUACAAGGCGUUCAAUACACUAGCCUGUUAUCAAUUUAGAAAGCAUAAGAAUGCAGCUACUAUGCAUCUCACAAUGCCAACAUGUAAGAAUGAGAUUAAAUGCAAUCUAAACAUAGAAGUCGAGUUUCGAAAUUUCGGAUGCACACCCCUACUUUUAAUCGACUGUAAAGGCUUGGAAAAUCCUUCUCGCCGCGAGCUGCUAUGAAAUGCUUGGCCUUCUUUCGCGCGAGAUCAACACUAGCGCUCGAUUUGUGCCCGAGAAUUCACGUCGGUUCGCCGAAUGCCAAAAUCGACUUAGCCCCGCGUUUUUGGGACUAUCGAAUAGGGUUUCCAGCUUCAAAUGGAUCAUCUCAUACUUCCCACACUACAAUACCCCCCCUUUACAAAACCCCAUUUUGGAGCCCUAGAUUUGCACAUAGCAAAACACCAAUAAAUCCCUAAAUUUUUGAAUUCAUCUAUUUAGAAGCUAGCUUGGGUUAUUUGACCAUCCAAGCCAUAACCAAAAACCAGAGUUUUAUUAGCUAGGGUUUAGUAGAUGUACCUAAGAGUAAUUCCAAUAGGACAGAGGAGAGGGAGAUGGAGGUGCUCAAAGCCUUCCUCUUAUCUCCUUCUUCUUCUCCUUCCUUAUCUUCCUUUCUCUUAUCCUCUCCUUCUUGUUUUUUCUAUUCUUUCCUUUCUAAGAGACGAGAGAAGAGAGAGAGAAAUGAGAGUGAGAGAGAAAGUGUGAGGGAGAGAGAGGCUCAGUUCCCACUCAAAUUAAGGCAUUUUGCACAAAAGUCAACCACUUUCAAUCGUGCAUGCCCUGUGACUGCGACGCUAUUUAGUCGCGGUGGCGAGGGUACGGUCCCGGAUUGGGACCGUCCGCGAGAGCUGUCCCUGCGGGCGGCACGGCGGUUCGGGACGGAUGCUUCCCGGCGAGACCGGUCCUUCGGUGAGACCGUCCUCACCUGGUAGACCGGUCCCGAAGCUGAUUUUCAGGACUUAGCCAAUUUCGCGGAUCUUCGCUGGGACCACGUUCGGGAACCGGUCCCUCCCUACCAGGGACCGGUUGCAUCACGCAACCCCGCUACAUCCAGCCAGGGGAACCGGUCUCUCACCCCCAGAGACCGGUCCCCGAGAGUAAUCUUAGCCCAAUGAUGCAGUUUGCAUCAUUUGCUCUCGCGGACUCAACUCCAAGGCACUUUUUGUGCUUUGGACAUUCCCAACUCCCACAAAGGGUAUUCUCUCGACAGUCAGUCGAUCCUGGACGAAGUACAAUCCUCGUAUUUCGAGAAUUCACUUCCUUACAGUCACUUUGUUCAAUUCGCGAUAAUCCAUGCAGAGUCGAAGUGUGCUAUCCUUUUUCUUUACAAAUAGCACUGGAGCUCCCCACGGUGACACGCUCGGCCUCACAAAGCCUUUAUCGAGCAAGUCCUGUAAAUGAGCUUUCAACUCCUUAAGCUCCACCGGUGCCAUUCUAUACGGAGCCUUCGAAAUUGAUGCCGCCUCGGGAAUCAAAUCAAUGACAAACUCGAUCUCCCGGUCCGGUGGCAAUCCCGGUAACUCCGCCGAAAAUACAUCCGGAAACUCGUAUGCUACUCGAAUAUUCCCAAGUUCCGGGUGCUCCUUUUGAGUAUCUACCAUUGUUGCCAAGUAGGCCACACAUCCACCUUUAAUCAUUUUCCUCGCCCUCGCUGCCGAUACAGUCGUCGCGAAGCGCGAGCUUUUGCAUGCACGGUAUACUAUUUCCUCUUGAUUAGGCUCACGAAAUGUGAUCACUUUGCUUUCACAAUCGAUAACAGCAUAAUACUUGGUGAGCCAAUUGAUCCCCAAGAUUACAUCAAAUCCCCACAUUUGGUUUAGCACCAAUAAAUCUACUGGCAUAAUCCAAUCCCCUAUCUCAACCGGACAAGCCAAGCACUCCUCAUGCACCCUAAAUGAAUGCUCAGGUGCAUUGACCUACCAAUAAUCCGGGUUAUGUAUGAUCUCUAUGCCAUGAGUUUUUGCAAAUGAUGCACCAAUAAAUGAAUGCGAUGCACCUGUGUCGAAUAAAGCUCUAGCUCUAGUGCCAUUGAUCAAGAUAAUACCUGCCACGACAUCGUCAGGAACUGCAGGUUGCUCCUCCACCUGAGUGGCAAAAACCCGCCCACUCGGUGCUCGUGAUCCCUCUGGCUGACGGGGUGCGGAUGAGCGUCCAGCCAACAUAGCCGGCGGCAACCCCGCAAGCUGUCUCGGGGUAGAAGGAACUGAUGCCGUCGUCGGUGCAGACAACGCCCCACUUGGGCACUCCCGGGCCAUGUGCCCCGCUUGGCAACACAUGUAGCACUUUCCCUCGCGUUGCUGACAAGCCGACGGUCAAUGCUCAUCGCCGCAAAUAACGCAUCGGGAAGGCCUCCAAUUCUUUGAUUGCUGUCAGGGAUACUGAGGGGGUUUCUUUGCAUUCGGCCAGCCCCCGGCACCACCCGCCGCCCGCUUCUUUCCUUUGUCUCUCGACUCAGCCAUAGACUCGCGCUUCUCUCGCGCGUAGGCGUUGCCAUGCUCUGCCCACAAGGCUCGAUUAAAGAUGUCACCCCCCGCGACCAACCGCCUAUUUGGACAGGGUCGCGGCGCCAACGACAGACCGCCGAACGGACCGGGGAUUCCUUUGUAUGCGGACAGAGUCUCCCCAGUACGUCCAAGGCGUCGCAAUCCAAACAAUCAACGAAUGUUCCAACUAGGAACAGUAUCAAUCCAGAUUGCAUAAGGAAGUAUCAAAUACAUAAUCUACUUGCUAUUACAAGCAUUCAUUUUACAACCACUUUUUACAUCACAGUUUCUGUUUACAUUUUUACUUCCAAAUUACAAUCUCACUAUUACAUCAGAGUUAUCAAGUUUGAUACAUUUUCUUUUCUUGUCUUCUAGACCCCUAAGCUAGAUUGUCUCAGGAUACUGCUACCUCGGUCUCUGUGGUGGGGCGCUAUCUACUGAGCUACGCCCUCACCUCGCGCCGCCGCGCCGCGCACGAACAACCUGAAAACACCCCAAAACCACGUGGGGUGAGAACCAACUCCAUGGUUCCCAGUGGGUACGGCCACCCAAGGGAAAAGCUCGACCGACAGGUUCAAAGGAGGCAACUGCAGGUUAGUUUAAUAAACAGAUAGAUAGAUAUUUUGACUAUGCAAUUAAUAGAACCAUACCUUGCCUCGCAAUUGUAACAAUGCUAUGCAAUAUGCAAUACCUGUAAAUCAUGCAAGUAGAUUACUUGAUCUACUUUAUAUCAUUAACCAUACUUUACUUGUAGCCGUUCUUUUCUUUAUUAGCUAUUCACGUUCGUUAGUUAUUCUUUAUUCUUUACUCUUUGUCUUAUUGUGCUCACUGGCGAUUCUUUCCUAAGGUUAUUUUACCUUAGCCAUCUAUGCCACUCGACUCGGUCUCGAGUCAAUCAACUGCGGAUAGUCCGCACUCUGUCCGGCUCAAGGUGAAGGACCUCUCACUUACACCUCAGCCUUCAGUCUACAAACAUCUCGCCAACGGGUCGCCCAGAGCUGCGUACACCCGUGGUCAGGGAUCUUUCCGGUGGGAAGGGGAUUAUACCACAAACUCAACCCGCGGCCCAAGACCCCCGAUAGGGAAGGGGACAUGCCACACUCAACCCUAGCAAAGCACGAUUCUGCCGACAGGAGGGGGAACCUGCCACACUCGACCCGCGGCCUCGAAUCAGCCUCAAGCUCAUCCUCGAAGUUCGUCCAGUGGGAGGGGACCCUGUCACACUCAACCCACUGCUCUAGAACUGUCGAGUUCACAAUCCUAAGAUUCCGGAAUCUAUUUCCCAAGCCUCUAGGGUAAUCUCAAACCCUAUGAUAUCGACCUAUCUAGGUCCAAUGCACUUUCUGUCCUAGGUCUAGCUGACUCUAGGUUUAAUGCCUUUUUUCACAUAACCUAUGUUCUUUAAACUAGGUUAAGCCUCUCUACCUAGAUCUUAUUAACUCUAGGUUCAACAACACUAAGUUCAUUGUCAACCUAGGUUUACCAACACUAGGUUCGAUAUCGAUUUACCUAGACCUUGAAUCUAGGUUCAUUAUGUUCAACCUAUGUUCACGACACUAGGUUAAUGCCACUCGAUCUAGCCUAGGUUCACGACACUAGGUUUAACAUCAUUCAUAUUCAUCCUAGGUUCUUGACCCUAGGUUCAUAUUCGACCUAUGUUAAUUACACUAGGUUCGGCGCCACUCGAUCUAGUUGGCCCUACUUGUCCACAUCGAGUUUCUAUAAUCAUAUAUACUCUAGCAUGCAUUCUAUGAUGCCGACAUGCAUCUACAUUUAACAUAGCCUACAUUAUCAUCGUGCAUGUUAUACAUGUAUAGCUUUUCUCAUCAUGUCAAUAAGCAUUAUCCUCUCGCAUGCAUUUUCAUAAGGUCAAUAUGCUCUUGUCAUCUAACUUGUAUUCACAUGAUGCACUUAUGCAUUUUAUCCAACCGCACUUACAUGCUCUAUUAUGAGUUGACAUGAACUAGCACUUGCAUAUAAUUCCAAUGCAUCAACAUGCCAUUAGCAACUAGCAUAAUUACUAUCAUUUAGUACAUGCAUCUUAACUAACAUGCUCACAUAAUGUUACAUGCACCUAGCAUACAUUCCAAUGCACAAAUAUAUCGCUUGUAUCUAGUUACUAGCAUGUACUUCCCAAUGCAUUAUUAUGCAAUUAUCACUAAACAUUACCCAACAUGAUCUCAUAACUCAUAAGGUUAACAAUAGGUUAACAUUCAUUUAUAUGCUCAUGUUCUCUAAUACAUGUCAACAUGAAUCUCAUAAUGCUAAAUGCCCCAAGCAUGUAUUUCACUAAGCAUACAUACUAAUAUGCAAAUUACCAACUAGCAUGCAUUUAUACAAUGCAAAUAUGCCCGUAUGCACAUACAUAUAUGCAUCAACCAAAAAUCCAUAUUUCGCUUUGACAUGUGGGGCGACCAAGUCGCUUCGGUAAGCACAACCCACCUUAACACGCGUUCCGAUUGCUUGUCGACACUUGCAAUCGGCCGCCCGCGGCACCCGGCACCCGGUUUGGCCCGAUCUCACAAUUGCGGUCCAAGAGCGCGCCGCUUCGCUGUUUCAAGUGUAGAAGCUCUUCGCCACGCUAACACGAUGCCUCAAAUCCAUUUCCAUGAUUUUACGACGUCGCCUCGGCCCUCCCGGCGGACCCGAAGCCUAAACGUCCGUUUCUUUAAUAACUUCGCAACGGCUCGUCGGAUUGCCGAACCGUCUUCGCCAACGCGUUUCGUUACCUAGCAAUUAGGUUUACGGAUGGUCAAAUUAGAUCAAACCCUCAUAUUUUGAAAAUUAGCAUUUUGGAGCCCUAGGUUAUAACUAUGCAAGAAAUCACCAAAUUGAUUCAUGAUUUAAGCAUCAUUCAUCUAGAUAGCAAGCUAGGAUUCCUCUAAAUCUAUUUAUAAGCUAUUUAAACCAACCAUUAAGGAUCUACCAUGAGAGGGCUCAAGAAGCUCACCUCAAAAUUAGCUCCAAAUCAUGGAGAAGAUGAAGAAGACAAUGGUGAUCCACUCCCGAGCUUCAAUCUCCACCAAUUCCUUUAAAUUUUGGAGAGAUUUAGAGAGAGAAAGAGAGGGUUUUCUUUUCUCCUUCCAUGCGUGUGUGUGUUGUGUGCGUGUGAUGUGUUCGGCUGGGAGGAAGAAGAAGCAAAGGGGAUUUAAUCCCUUUUUACCAUUUUGCCCUCAACUACACACUAUUCAUUACGGGCAGCUUGAAAUCUGAUAAAUUUCGUUGGAGCCCUUCUGAAUGUCCGAUUGAGCUCAAAUUUGACAGGCAUGUUCGGUUUUACUUAAUGAGUCCAAAGAAAUUUUAAUAUUUCAGUUUCGACCCCGUUUGGUCACCGAAAGCUGUACCGAACUGUAAUCUUUAUCAAAUAGCUUUCGGAUUCUACUUUUCACCUUCCGGGUGUCAGAAUGGCAUGGAACUUUAAAUCUAGCAUCAUAAAAAUAUUUCUGACAUCUCCGCUAAUUUUCAUAAUUUUCUGACACUGUGCAUUUUCUGCUAAUUUAUCUGCCCCGUUUCUUACAGAAAAUUCUAAAUCUUCUGUUGUCGCUCCGAUUUCAGCACAGGUCAUUUCCAACUUAUACUUUACACCCUUAAAUCCAAUAAAAAUAGUAUCUCAUACUAUUUUUAUUUAUUUUCACUUUUAUAUUUAAAAUCCGGUAUGUUACAUUCCGCCGCAACCUCACCGGAGCCAUUUAAAUGUACACCGUAACUUCAUAGUUUUAGAAGUCCGGUACCUUACAAAAGACCUCCGCAAGGUCGUAAGCUUGAGGAUUUGCACAGCCUCAUAGAUCCUCGGCCGGAGUCCUCGCAAGAACCAAUCGGCCCGGUCCCGAUCAUCUCGAACAACAUCCGGGACGCAAUCAAUGAUAUGGGAGAACUCCUGCUUGUAAUCCGCCACCGAGCGAUCUCCUUGCCUCAACUUGUGGAACUUUUCUUGUAGCUUCCACUUCACCGUGACGGGGAAGUAAUUUGCGAACAUCGCCCUCUUAAACUCCUCCCAUAGCAUAGGCGGAAGGUCAGAAGGCCGAUCCCGCUUUACCCGCUUCCACCACACCUUCGCCGCCUUAUCUAGGCAAUGGGUGGCGAGGUGCACCUUAUCCUUCUUCAAGGUGUAAAUAUUCUCGAAGAGCGUCUCCAUGGCGUCGAUCCACGACUCCACCAUCGCCGGCUCCACCUUUUCCACGUCAAACGUAGGUGGGCUAAACUUCUUGAACAUAACGAGAGCCACAAGCGCACGCUCUCACUCCGCCUCUACCGCUGCACUAUCGGGAUUUGAGGUUCGCGAUCCGGCCGGCACCGCCGUGACUGGCACAGCCGCGACUGCCUCCGCCGCCGCCGCCACUCCCUCUGUAACACACUGGACCUUUGCAAAUUGCGAGGUUCGAGUGUUUGGUUGUAUUUCGAGCUUUUCCACACUUGGUGGAGGGUUGUAAAAUGUUCCACGACCCGAAAAGUUCGAAAACUGGAACUUUGGACAAGUCCUGAGAGUUUUUACUCUCGGGGACCGGUCCCUGGAGGGAGAGACCGGUCCUCCCAGUGAGCAGUGUUGAGGCAGCCUGAGGCAACCGGUCCCUGGCAGGCGAGACCGGUUCCCGAACGCGUCUUCGCAGUGAGAGACCGGUCCCGCGCAGGGAGAGACCGGUUCCCGAACGCUGGUUUUUCGGGUUCGCAGCGAGAGACCGGUCCCUGCUGGGGAGAGACCGGUCCCUCUGGGCGAAAACUGCCCAGUCCGGGCUGNAGUUGCUAGUGAUUUCACUUCUUCUACUUGUUUUAUUACUUGCUUUUACUUCCGCUUUUAUCCUAGACGCCUUAUAUGUGUUGACAUAUGGCGGGUCUGGGCACGCUACCGGGAGGGCCUCCGCCGGUCCCGGGGCGUGACACCCUCGGCCGCACUCGGCACCACUGCAGGGGGUGCAAGAUGCUCGGCGCCCACUUGUGCCGCCGUCGCCUGCUGCCGCUCUAAAGCCUCUUGAAGCCUUCGAAUUUGCUCCCCAUGACAUUGCAUAGACUCCGCUUGCUGCCGCACUACUCUAAUAAGCGGGGCCAUUUACUCCCGAAGCUCCCCGUCACCACUCACUCCGGGUUGCGCAAGAGCCGCACUCGAUUCCUCGGGCCUAGACCUCGUUUGGGGUCAUCCACGAGUCAUUGCUUCCUGAAAUGAAGCAAUUCACAUUAGUUACUCAACCAACAUACUCGAACAUACCCAAUCCGGUGAAAGCAAACAAGUGUAUUUAUUUUCCUUCCAAAGCAUUAUGUCGUAGGCCGCUGAUCACAACACAAUGAAUAGAAACAUAUAACAACUUGAAUUAGCCCCUAACCACAUUAGAGACUUACUACAUUAACCCAAUCACAAAGCUUUCGCUAUCCUUUGAUUCCACUUCACUCACGUUUCCUAGAUCCUUAAGGUUUUCCAUUCCUAAGGGUCUUUAAGUCCAUCCUAUACUUUCACUUUUAGGCUCUGAUACCAUUAUAUCUGUCAUGUCCCGAGACCGGUCCUAUUUGGUCGGUUCGGGCACGUCGAACAGACGCCGAACGGACAGCACCUCCCCCGUCCGCCUCCCCUGUCCGCCCAAGGCUCAACACAAGUACAAAUCAAGUAGAUAUUUUGCACAAGCGGAAACAUACAUAAUUGGCUUGCACAACGACAAGCAAUAGCCAAAGUGAAAGUACUAAACUAAACAACAUACAAGUAAUAUGAUUAAUGUUUAACCACAUACAUCCAUUCAACAUUUGAAUUCUAUUACAUUUUUUGUAUCAUUUCUUCUCUUUAUAUAUCAUAUGCUUACCAAAAUAAACCUUUACAUCUAACAUCAUUUUAACAUCUUUAAUACAUUUAUAUCAUCAAAAUACAAAAGAUGAUGUAAAGGGUAUGCAACUAAACCAAAAUAUGAAACCCACUCGGGUGGUCUCUGUCUAUGGCGCGAUACCUUUACCGCGAUCAUCGGCCGGCUGACUCGGUCCCGGUUUUGUGGAAAAAGGGGGGUGAGAACUACAACAAAGUUUCCAGUAGGUUCGGCCGCCGACCUCGCCGACUUUCCCACUAUGUCUAAAUCAGGCAUAGUAGAAGAAAGAAUAGAUAGUAACCAACUAAACAAGUGCAGCUAAUAUGCCUGAACAAGAUAUAAUCAAUGAUUAUUAUCAAAUAGAAUGCUCAUGAUGAAUGCAAGAUUACUUUCUAAUUCCCGAUCCUUUUGGCUAGCCCGUAGGUUUCGCCUCAACCAUCAACUUACCAAUCCAAGUCCCUACUAUCGGGCCUUAAGCUUCCUCCCGAUGGGACCAAUAGACUCACCAACCAAAUCCUUAGUAUCGGGCCCUAAGCUUCCUCCCGAUGAGACCGUCCUUUAGGUAACACUAACCCAGUGAUGACAACUCCGGAGCUCAUCUCUUGAUGGGGAGCUACCGCCCUCCGAGCCAAGGCUAUAGGCGAGUAUGAUCAAUCCUUAACUUUAAGGAUACCAAGUUCAAUCCAAUCCUUCACUAUAAGGAUGCUAUGCUCAUAUGACCGUUAACUUUAAGGUUGUUAUGUCAUAUUAUCAACUAUCUCACUUUACUUGCAUUCUUUAACUUUCAUCAGUGUCACUUACACUACAUGUUCUUUAUACUCAUUCAUGUGCAUUCAUUAAUGCCACACACACUAAGUAUUCAACACUAGCAUUCAAACUCAAUGAUGCCACUCUAUGUGUUUACUAAUGCCACACCAUCCAUAUGUCAUAAUGUCAUUUUGUUUUUAAUGUCACUAAGUCCUUUGCCUUUUCUAGGUUCUUGUCAUCAUUCAUGCAUACAUAGGAUUUUGCAAUUUCUCACUAGUUUACAAUCGCCUCACAUGCAUUUGUACUCACAACAUGCAAUAACACUUAUCCACAUGCUCUCUUUUCACCCUAUAAUGCAUAAUGAUCAUAUAUAACCCAUGCUCAAGAAAUGACACUUUAGAUAUAAAAGGAAAUUCAUCGAUUUCGGAAAGCACCACCCACCUUGUAUGGUUGCAAGGGUGCUACGGUUCAAAUCUCAAAAUUUUUGGGCUCCUAUUCUCUCGCCUGCGGCAAAACGAAGCCGAAUUAGGCUUUUUGCUCAUAACCUUGCGUAGACUCAUCGGAUCGGCGAACCGAGUCCAUAAACGAGGUAGAAAUACCCCCAAUUUGGUUUCUACAAGGUCAAUUUGCCUUUAAACCAAUCUAGGAUAAAAGCUCCAAUUUUGGUGCCCUAACAAUGCCAUAUAGUGAUAUUCCUUGAAUUGAUCUUAUUCUUCCUUCCAACACACAAUGCCCCGAUCGAACCAAAGUUAUGGUUACUUGCCAAAUCUUAUUAUUCGAUCAUAUGACUAGAAUAUCUAAAAUCGACUCAAUAUAGUAAUAUAGCUGAAAACUCUUUCCACACACCACGUAUCUUGGCUAGGGAUUUUUCGAGUGGACUCUGAUAGCCUACAUAGGACGUUCUCUCUCAAUUUUGAGAGUGUUGAAUCUCUUAUUGCGCACUCACAUGCCUCCCCGUAUAAACUACUACAGCAAAUCAAUAUCAAAUGUAGACCAAUGAAUAAAACCUAAGUAUUAGUACAGUCAAACGAUAGCAAUCUAUAUGUGAAGCAACCAUGAUGCCUCAGGUCUGAGGAGUACUUUACAUAACUGUAGCAAAUAACUAGUCACUAGCGAAUAUGAAACCAUGUGACUGGUCAACUAAAUGGUCAAGCUCAACGUACUUAUUCGCUAACAAGCACCUGCAUGCUUACUUUAGUGUCCCUACACUAAUGACUUGAGAUUCGUUACCUCAACUUAGAAGUAUAGCAUACACCGGCCUAUCCGGAAAUAUCAUCGUCCUUAUGAUAUUCCUAUGGCCAGGAGUGUUUAAGAAUCUUGUACAAUGAAAUAUAUAUUUCAAAUUCUAACUCUUAGGAAUAUAUAUUUUCUUAACAAAGAUUCAACAGACGAUUCAUGUAAAUAUAUUGCACUGCUAAUAAUAAAUAUAAAUAAAACUUGCUUUUUAUAAUUAAGAAAAAUACAUAAUAUGUCCAGAAGCCUAUGUCACCGAUUGGCUUUACGGUAUAUCACUAACAAUCUCUCACUAACACUAAUGCCAAUCACUCAUGUAUCUCAUACCCAUUCUUUCUAAAUGGACAUCUAGCUUUUGAAGUGUGUGGUUUAGUAAGGGGAUCCUCUAUAUUGUCCACGGAUUCUACUUUCUCCACAACUGACGUUUAUCCACAAAUUGUCGGAUGAUGUGGUAGCGUCAAUCUAUAUGUUUGGACUUCUGAUGAGACCUCGGUUCUUUAGCUUGCGUUAUGGCUCCAUUAUUGUCACAGUAAAAUAGCUUUGGCUUCUCAAUAGAGGGUACCACUCCUAGUUAUGUGACAAAUUUUCGAAGCCGAACCGCCUCCUUUGAUGCCUCAGAUGCUGCAAUAUACUCUGCCUCAGUGGUAGAAUCUGCUGUUGUAUUUUGCUUGGAACUUUCCAAAUGAUAGUGUAAUAUACCGAAACCUCGGUAGAGUAUAUCGGACUUUAGUCAAAUUGGCUAAACUGUGCGAAAGAAAUAGUUGGACAAAAUGUUGGAAGGGUUAAAAGUAAGUUCCAAAAGAGUUAGAAAGGUUUUAGCAUUGCUCGGCCCGAAUUGGAGUCGAAACGGUGCAAAACUCAAGUCUGGAGCUUUUGUCACCGGUAAUGCAUUGACCUUGUACCGAUACUAGGUAUCAGACCGAGAGAAGCAACUCUCGGGUUUGAGUAAAAAAAGGCUGUGGAACCGAUGACAAAAUCGGGUGGUAUCGGUACCAGACUGCUGACCGAGAGAGGUAGCUCUCGGGUUUGGCUGCUGCGUAACCGUUAAACCGGUGACAGGAUCCUGUGUACUGGUACGCAGUGCACUUCGCAGUAGGUUGAUGUCUGCUGCAAAUAUGAAGUUAGGGAGGGCCUUUUUGCAAAUGUAGCAGCUUAUAAAAGACCCCAACACCCCUCUCUUGUUCACAGCAGCUGAGAACACUCCUCUCACUCAUUUCUCUCCCUUUCUCUCUCUAGAGAACUUUCUCCCAAGGUGCAAUGAGGAGUUGGAGAAGGAUUUUAUAGGAGAUUGUUGGAGGAUUAGAAGACCUAGAGCUCUCCUACAAGGUAGACCUUGGAGUGCUCUUGGGCUUUUGCUGUAAUAUACUAUUAGGUGUCACUCACGGACAGUGAGAGAAGUAAGAAUAAUUUAAAUAAAUUAUUUUAUAGAUUUGAGGAGUUCUAAUUCAAUAUUAAAGGAUUUGAUAUUGGACCCUACUGCCGAAUGAUAAUGGACCUAUGCGGUCGCACACAAUAGAAAUUGUGUGCAUCCAACAUGACAAGAUGAGUCUAAUACACUAAAUAGUUUAGUGAAAAUAAUGAAAAAUUAUAAUUUGAAUUUGAAUAUUAUGAAAGAUUUAAUCUCUAAUUAGAUUAGAGAAUAAUUAAAUAUUCAUAGAUCAUUAUAAGAUAAUAUUCUAAUUAGAUUAGAUUUAAAUAUGAAUAUUUAAUUGUAGUUUAAUGGGAUAAGAUCCAAUUAAAUUAAAUUUAUCGGAGAAAGAUAAGGAUAAAAUACUCAUAAGCAUUUAUUAUGGAUAAGUGUAAAUUUACUUUUUUUUAUCCUAAAUAGCAACCAAUUGGAUAUAAUCUAAUUAGUUACAAGAGAUUAAGGGGUGUGCCUAUGGACUCAUACGGGGAUAUAAUCUAAUUAGUUACAACAGAUUAAAGGGUGUGCCUAUGGGCUUAUACGGCUGUGCCUAUGGACUCGUACGGCUAUAUUAAGAAGCGGCAUGAGUGGCUUCAUUACAGUCGUGCAAAGUUAAUGCGAAGGAAAUUCACAUUAUUCUCUCUAUCUUUCGUGAAAAUUAAAGUGUCUCAAACAAAGAGGGGACGUAGACAUCAGAGGAUUGCUAGCACUGUCUUUAUAGUCUACUGACUCAUUUGUUCCGUACGACGGAAGACGUUGGAUCUACAUGAUCAAUUCCGUGUGGACACACGUCGAGGCUGGGCACGUACGCGGCUAAUCGAAACCUUAGAUCGUCAUAUUCAGUUUCAAACAUAAAGUAGAUCAAGAAACAUUAACUGAUCCAAUGUGAUGUAAUCUAAAUUUUAGAUCCAGUUAGUUUUAGAUUAAUUUUUACACUGUAAUAUGAGAAUUAUCUGCUGGCACUGGAUUGAUUUUGGCUUUUGGUUUUAUUCAUAUGUGAUAUGAAUCUUGGUUUUCGAAAAAUUUCAAAAGUGCAAUAUUAAUUUUCACUGUGAUUUGAAUUUUUGUUUUUGUGCCGGAUAAAUUCUUUUAUAUACGUGUUAUGUGGACUGGGCAGCAACUUGUUCACUGUGGAAUCGCCCUCAUUUAUACAUAGAUGCAUAUACGUACGUGUUAUGUGGACUGGUUAGCAACUUGUGUUACGUACUGUGUGAUUCCGAGAUGGAAGCCCGAGGCAUUGAGGAUCAAGUCAAGGACCCUCCCAGGCAGUGAGAGAUGUGGCAGUAUGUGACCCCGAGCGUGCGUGCCAGUGGAAAACAAUCGAGUGUUUAUUGCGGAUUAAUUAGCUCAGUUGUUGUGAUUUGUGGAGUGGAUAUAUAUAUAUAUAUAUAAUAUAAUAAUUAUAAUUAUAUAUUAUUUAUUAAUAUAUAUCUAAUGAGUAGUAGGAUGCGUGGAACUCAUGUACGUCGCGAGUUUUAGACAGGCUAAAGCGCCAGUCCGCGCCGCGGACGAGACGGCCCAGGGAGGCAUAGGAGCCCGAGGCGGCCCGAGGGCGCUCAGCCGCGCCCGCUUUGUUUUAUUAAGCAUCGGCGGCUGGGCGCUAGAGGGGGGAGAGGAUAAAGCGCGCACUUGCCUCUAGGCACUGGAGCAGCCAGGCGAGGACGUGACUCAACACUCCUAGUCUAGUGGGAUGAUUAGAUUCGAUCCUUUAUGUCGCGUACACGGGGAUAGUUGUGUGAUUUUGUUGAGUGGAUAUAUCUUAAUAGUGAUGUCCGUAAGCCGGGAUGGUCGGGUGCAGAUAAGAUGCCGGCGGUUAGAGUUAUCUGUACAUCACGUACGUGGGGAUAUUAUAGUUGAGCGACUCUCAAUUCGAAUUGGCCGGGUGUAUAAUCGUGUACACAGAACAGAAACGGCAGCGGGCGGGUUAUCAUAGUGUCAGAUAUGUACUACGCAAAAUAAAUUGUUAGUAUUAGAGUUUCGUAUUUUAGUACUUUUUUCCAUGCGAUAUAUAACUACUGGGGCAUUGAAAAAAUCUUCCAGAUUAAAUGAAGCUUAAAAAUUGGAUGCGCGAGCUGUAUAGGACAGCUUACAAAUUGUCUCAACAACACGUCUCACUGAAGCACUACUCGACGAAGCCGACUUGCUAAAUUACUUCCUUAUACGAGAUCCCCAUUUUUCGUCAUUGUUACGUGCAAAUAUGAGACAACAAAUUGCAACACGUGGCCCAAUCAACAGUCCAGCUUCGGAUUUUAAAUGCUUUUAAAGCUUUCUAACACUGAUUGCAUGAAACGAUAGCAUAACACAGACCGAAAACGCAGAUCCUAGAUGCAUUUUCAUACGCGGGGAGCCUAUCGGAAACCUUAAUUACAAUUAUGAUCGAGUUAGACGAUAGUUACUUUCACUUUGAAUUCUGAAUUAUCAAUCUUUUUCGCAGAAUUCAGUGAUAGCGACUUUGCAAAACAAUGUUAUGUUAUCAGAUGGCGGGCGGUUACAUCAACAUCGAUCGAUAGAAACUGGUGGACAAAACGAAAGUAUCCAAGAACAGUUUGUUUCUGACUCGGUUUGCACCCGAAAUCUCCCCCCCUUCCCACCCACUGAGGGAACACAUCUUGAUCGCCGGUCGUGUUAAUUUGACACAACAUGAACAAAUUUAUUUAGACUAAAUAAAAAAACAUAGAUCGAAAAAGCUACUGCACACUGGAAGUAAUUUAUACCAACUCCGGUGUUGUGGUUAGCAAGUAGGUUCCAACAUGUUGAGAGGAUCAUAUGAGUAACAGAUUUCGCACAUAUAUUACAACAAACAUCAAAUGCUGCAUCUGUCGCAGAGAAGAAAUUUCACGACUUAUUCUGUAAGCGAAGUGUAGCCCGUACGGAAUGAUGAGGAGCUGGCGGUUUAUCAUUAACAAAAAUUUGUUCCGCAAAAUCCACCCGUAUCGAUCUGAAUUCAUAGCUCUGCUUCACAAAAAAAAAAAAAAAAAAAAGCAAAAAAACUUUAAUUUUAGUAUCCAAUCUUUUAAUUUGAUAAGUCCUUUAAUGGCUCUUCGGAUACAAAAUUUUAACUAAUUGCUUAUUUUAACGAAUUUAUAGUUAUAUGAAUUGUAGAAAAUAUACUAACUAAUCUAUAAAAGUAAACAAAACAAUUAAAAUUUUAAAAUUAAAGAGUUACUAACCGGCUCAAAUCAAAUAAAUUAAAAGGUUAUGGAGUAAAAUCAAAAUUUUUAAAAAUUAGGUAUUCAAAUCAAAAUGAGCAAUAGUUGAAAUAUGUUUUAUACAUUUUUCCUUAUAUUAUUUAUUUCCUACUAUAAUCUAAGCUUUCCGUAUUAGUCGUUCAAAAUUCCUAAAGGACCUUCAAAGGAAUCUUACAACAACAACAACAACAACAACAACAACAACAACAAACGUUAGAUGCGGACCAAGAUAAUACAUUUACAACUUCCAGACCUGACACAAGAUGGAAUAUAAAGAAAGUGUAACGUGGAAUUACCUUAUGAUAAGAUUUUUACGACAAUUCUAACAUCAUGAAGCAUAGUUUUCAAAGCUUGGGGUAGCUACACGAGUCAAACACAAUUCAUCAGUUUUAUAUAUAUAAUAAUCCUACAUUUGUCCUGACCCACUAAUAGUCAACAGGGAAUUAAAACUGGGCGUCUGCAACAUGAGAACAUCCAGCAGACUCUUGUGAGAUCAGUUCCUAAGAGAUAGACACAAGUGCAAGAGCUGAUAAAUCUACAAUAUAGAAUAAUACGUUCCAACUAUAAAUAAAAUGCCUAUUAGCACUGGCUGUGUCUACCGUGGCGAUAAGGUAUUGGCAUGAUAUGACACUCGUGUCAAUGGCACAGCUCAAAACCGUCAUUAUUUCAAAUUAGCAAAUAAGUACAUUAAUAAAGUACACAAGAUAAAUCCAACUAUUACGAUUCAUACUCAUCACUCCCUAUCAAUGAUAGAGCUUCCGAACAGAUAAUCUAUACUGUUAAAUACGAUUUAGAUUAUUUGCAUUUUUCUAAAAAAAAAAAAAUUCAUAAUUUUUGGCAUUGUCUACUUUAUGUAACUCCCUGCUUCCCGAGAGAUCAUCCAUUCUAGAACUACUCUAGCUCUAGGCUUGCUCAAGCCUCCUAAUAUCUUCGACCCAGCCACCGUCUAAAAUGCUAUAACCGGGUUAAAUGUUUUAACCUUACUAUGCCUUAUAUCUAUGACUAUACUAAAUCCUAGAUGACCCCUCGGGAAUUUUUCUAAAAAACCAAAAUUCAUAAUUUUUGGCAACAUCUAUCUUAUGUGACGCCCCACUUCCUAAGGCCACGUUUGGUUUAGGUGUAAGUAAGAACUACUUAUUCCAAGAAUAGGUAAAAAUUCAUAUACAAGCAGGAAUUAGAGUAAAUUUUUGUUUGCAUGAAAAUUGGAUUGUUUCUGAAAAUAAGGUAAAUAGUGUUUGGAUGGUUAGAUUGGAAUAGCUGGAAUAAGAGUAAUUAUAAUUUUAAAUUAAAAAAUAUUUUAUCUAAUUAAUUAACAUCAAAAUAUUAAUGAAAAAUAAUUUAAUAAAUUAAUAAAUUUAUUAGCUCUGACUAUCGUGUAAGAUAAUAAAAAAAAUAUAUUAAUUAAUUAAUUAUAUAUGUAUUAAUUAAUUAUAAAAUAUAAUUUAACUUUUUAAUUAUUAGUAAAUUAUUUAAUUACUUAGGUGAUUAGUUAAGAAAUUAAUUUACUGAGUCAAAAAAUUAAUUAGUUGACCGAUAUAAAUAUUAGCUAUUAGAUAAAUACAUUAAAUAGCUAAUUUUUGAUAAGCUCAUUAAUCAUAAAUAUUAAAUUAAUUAAUUACUUAACUAUUCAAGCAAUAGAUAUGACUUAAAUAUAUUAAUUAGAUUAAUUAAUAAGUUAAUACAAUGAUCAAAAUUAAAUUUUAAUUUUAAUUAAGCUUGUUGGGAACAAGCUUGUUCCGUGGGAGGGUGGAACAGCUGUUCCACUCUUAUUCCUCUUUGUUCCUAAUAAUGGGGAACUACAGUUCCCAUGCUCCAAAAAUACCAUUUGGGUAUAAGGAGCGGAAUAAGGGCUUAUUCCCCUCAUUAUAUCCUAACCAAACACAAUCUAAGGGAUCACUCGUCCGAGAACUACUUUUACCCUAGGCUUGUUUAAACCCUCUUAACAUCUUCGACCUAACCACCGUAAAAAGUGCUAUAACCGGAUUAAGAACUUUAGCCCUACUAUACCUUAUAUCUAGGGCUAUUCUAAAUCAUGAAGGUGCCACAUCUUCCCUCCCCUCCCCUCCCCCCCUCAAAAAAAAAACCUUACAUCUUUGUCAGGCUGAAGCACACUCACAAACACAAGGCUAUGUGAAACUUGUCUCGGUAGCCUUAGCCUACCUUGUGAGGUUCGGCACUCCACCUACAAUGGUCAUCAGCCGGAGAGCUACGCUCUACCCAUUGUAUGACCCUAGCUCAGCUGAGAAUCAUCUCACACUUCCAGCCGGUGAUUUGCAAUGAUACCAACUGUGAUACCCCACUUCCUAGGGUGAUCAUUCAUACUAGAACUACUCUAGCCGUAGGCUCGCCCAACCCUCUUAACCUCUUUGGACUUAGCCACCGCGUAAAAUGCUAUAGCCGAAUUGGGAGGUUUAGCGCUACUAAAUCUUAUAUAUAGAACUAUUAGUGUGGAACACUGAACUUUAGAAAAUUGAAAGGUUCUAGUGUAAGAAUAGUAUUUAGAACUAUUCUAGUUGUUUUGAGGGUUGCCGGUAGUGUACCGACACCUAACUUAAGCUCUAUGAGUGCGAGAACGGAUUACUGACACUAAAAUCUGCAAACUGCAGGUUUUGAGUGUUGAGUACUGCUACCUGAGUGGGGUACCGAAACCCAGGGAGUGCCAGAAUGGACUGCUCUCGGGUUUGAGAAGUUGGGUAUUGAGUACCGGUACUGAGUCGGUGAGUACCGAUACUGCAUCAGGCUGGCACCGGUACACUGUAUUAAACCCGCUCGGGUUUUGCAUGUCUGAGUGCCAGGUACCGGUACUCCAAAUUUUGCGUGUCUGAGUGUCGGGUACCGGUACUCUAAUUCGAGUACCGAUACUCAAUACGGCAUAAUGUAUUUUUUGUGAGUUGUUGAGGGGUCUUUUUGUAAUUGUGCAUUUGGAUUUAUCUUCAACCGCCCCCCCAGCUGUUCUUUCCUGUGCUGGGAGCUGAGAAGUAGUUAGUUAGUGAGCCCUUCUCUUUCUCUCUCUAGAUUUCUUUCCAAUUUUGGUGGAAAUUAUAGGAAUUGAUCUCUUUUCUUCUCUUUUCUCCAUGGUAGCUGGUCUUGUGGUUCUUGGAGGAAUUGUGGAAGUGAAGAAGGGAGUAUUUUUUAGGAUAAAUCUCCAACCCUAGCUCAAGGUUGGUUUGGUUUGGAGCUCUUGAAAGGUUAGCUUCUUAACGUGCCACUUUUGUAUGUGAUUUUGGUGGAAUUGGUGGAAUUGGAGCUUAGUUUUGGGUUUUCUCUUGACUGAGCUUUUAAAGCCUAAUUAAUGUUUGCAAAACUCUCUUUUAGGUUGGAAUUGAAGCAUCCCAACCUCAAGUGGAGUUUGGAAAAGAGUUUUCCUCUAUUUAAGGUAUUUUCUACCUAUUUUUGGGUUGAAUUUUGAGGAAUUUCGUGGGAGGCUUGUUAGAAGCUCCUAAUUCAAUUAGAAUUUUUGUUAGGAUAGUAGAAGGCUAGAAGGCAUCUUCGUUCGAGCAAACGAAGCAGUUCGAUGAGUUUCGGGUGGGUUUGACCUCAGCAAAAUAGGUAAGCUCCCCCUAUGUCUUCCCUAGUGUUAUAAAGUUGGAAUUCUUGCAUAUUCAUAUUGGAUUUAUCAUGAAUGAAUUUGUGAAUGCACAAAACAUGCAUAUUAUACAUGAUAAAGUUGAACCUCUAUGUAGUGGAGAAAUCAUUGAACUUACAUGUCAUGGUAUUAUGUAGAGAGAGUUGUAUAUGGAACUUGUAUACUAAAAUGACAUUCCUUAUGCCAUGUUAGAUUUCAUGUUAGGAAUGAUGAAAUAAGAAGUUUAGCCUACUUAUGUAGAUAAGUGAAUAUGACUUUUGCAUGAAAUUCAUGUGGUUGUACUUGACUUGGUUAAAUGACUAAAUCUUCACAUUGUGACAUAGAAUUCAACCUUUGGGUCGCUAAUAGAUAUACCAUGUUUUAGACAUGACGACCGAGAACUCUAUAUUGUGGAUCAUGCUUGCUUGCCAUUGUGCUCAUUCGCACAAACUUACGAGGGUCGCUCCCCACAAGCCGGCACUCUAGAGUUGGCCUACGCGACAUCAUACUCGCCCGUGCGGGAUUGAGCGCCGAAGUGGAUUGCCGUGGGAGUGUUUACUACCACAGGGCCAUUAGGCACGGCACAAGCCGGACUACCCUUGUGUAGGUCCUUGUUAAGUGGGUAAAGACAACCAAAUGCAAUAAUUAACUGACACUACUAGAUAGUAUAGAUUAGUGGACAUGACGUUAGUAUACUCAUUCAUGUUAGAUUAGUCUUUAUACUUGUUAAACAUCAUGUUCAUUUGGAGGCAUAGUAGUAUUAGUAAUUCAUUACUUGUGUAAUAUUCAUGUGAUAUCAUUAGUUAUACAUGUUUACUAUUUAUGCCUCAGAGACCUAGUGGUGUAAUUAACUGAUGUCGGCGGGUUACCCACUGGGAACUAUUGACUAAUUAAUAGUUCUCAUUCCAAUUUUUGUUGAUGUUUUUGUUUACAGAGCCAUCCACAGCGGGAGAGACUAGGGAUCGCGGCAAGGGGGUCGCGUCUAGCGAGAGUUAGCUCGAGGCUUCUGCUAGGUGGUCGCCUUUCCUUUUGUUGUUGUUGGAGAGGUGUAUUUGUCCUUGAUGUAUAGAGAGACCACCCUAGAUAUGUAGUUUGGUUUUCCGUGGCUAUUUUGAUGUAUAUCUAGUUUGGAGAAUGUGAAUGUUAGUUCCUUUACCUUCCUUGUUACUUGCUUUUAGAGAGUAGUGUAUUAUGUAUGCUCUGAUAUCAUGUUAGAAUUUACCUAUUUUCUCGUAUUAUUUCUAACGUGUUUAUUGCAGACGCCUAGUAUGCAUCGGGCAUAUGUCUGUGCACGUACCAAGUAGGCUUCCGCUUGGGCCCGGGAGUGACAAUUAGGGAAAAUGUAUAUAUCUAAAUUUGAUUGUAAUCAAAAUCUAACAAAUUUAAUGAUAAAAAGAUAAAAUUAAUCUAACAUAUAAGCACAAAAUCAAAAUAAAAGAUUUGAUCAGAGCGUAGCACUGCCCUAAGAUGUAUUCCUAUCCUUCGUGCGAGAUUAACCGAGAAUAACACCCUAAGGUAGACCGGAAUUCCUCAUGCGAGCACGAUCGUGGAAGAGAUUGACGAAGAUUCUUUCAACACCCAAUAAAAAAAAAAUAUAUAAAAGCUAGUAAAAAACAAAGAGAUGAAGAUUAUUUUAUCUCAAUAUCUUUGCUCUACCUCUAUUUUAACCGAGUAAUAAGAGGAAGUAAAUAUAAAAAGAAGAGGGAGUCGACCACGUUCUUUCCCGUUAGGCGAAAGAAACAGAACCGACUUUCCCUAUCGUUUGGCGUAAGAAACUGAACGGAAAUAUCCUAUUGAGUUUCUUUCGCGCCAAGAAAGAGAAUAAAUAAAAUAAUAAUAAAUAAAAUAAAUUUUAAAAUAAAAUAAAUUUAAAGCUCAAAUUUUGAGUUUUUCAUCAACAAUCCCCUUACAAAACUCAAAAUUUUAAAAACAAGAAUUAAAAGAGAAAUUACUGGAUCUUUAUACUAUGUAAUGGGUGAGAUGUCUUUGAAAGACUUGACCCCAUUUAAUGUAAGCAGUUUCCAUCAGAAAGAAUCGAAGUGAACCAGGUCUUAAACUACAUCCUUUUGACUCUGAUUUCAACUACCACCCACACAGUACAGAAUUUUCCAUCGCCACCGCUGAUCUGUGCAUUAAUGGCCAUACACAAUACUUUAAUUUUUCAUAAGAGUUAUACGAAUAGCGUAUAUCUCAUAGCCGUGGCUAUAUACAAAUACUCUCAUAUAGGUAGUCUCUUCUAGGGAUGUGGGUAGAGUCACAUCUUGCGAAAAUUACCGCCUCAGAUCCCAUUAAGAGCUAUUAGCUCAACCUCAACCAGUACACAGAGCACUACUAACCAUAGGGAUGGGAUUGGAGGGCAAGCUCAGUUAUAAAAAAUGCAGAAGUGCUAUUUGGCCAAUCUAACAACUUAUUUUUACUACAUUGAACCAUCUUUAAGAGAUCUCUUAUCACAAAGGUUGGAUUCCCACUGCAGGAAGGCCCUUUAUAGGCAAAGCCCCACCCCCUUUGAUGACUCCAGGACCUUAGUCCUAUUCAGGACUUUCGUUAAGUAAUCUGCAAAAUUUUAUUCAUAUCCGAUAAAACUCACAACAAUAACAUCAUGAGAAGUUAGUCAUCUAAGAAACUUUUGUCUCAACUUAAUAUGCUUGUUAGCCUUCGAAUUUACCAUUUUCAUUUACAAACUAAACACUAAGAUUAAAAAAAAAAUGACAACAGGAGAGCAAACAUAAUACCCAAUUUAUCAAUCUAAUAAAAGAGUUUCCCCCCACAAGUUCUAAAAUACGCCAAAACUUAAAAUCAUGACAUUAACCAUGUCUAAUAGGAUUCCGUUCAAUAGCAAAAAUAUGGCCCAAACAAAUUUGAUUUCAAUUAAUUGCUUUCAAGUAAAUAAUGACGCAAUCAAACAAGACGCAAUCAAACAAUAUACUGCAAUCAGAUUUAUAAAACUGCUUUGAAUUAAUAAAUAAACCAACAGUGAAUAUUUGAUGCUGCCAGUUAGAGGGGCUAGUUUAAAGAUUUUGGAAAGUGAUAACGGAUUCAAAUCCCCACAAUGAGAAAAUCCCUUUUUUUCAAAUUUAUUUAUAAGAAAAAUAAACCGAAAGCAAAAGCCAACACUUUUUUUAAUACAGAAAAAUUACACCUUUUUUUAUUGUAAAAAUCAAACUCUCACCCUUUCUCUCUCUCUCUAUAUAUAUAUAUAUAUAUAUAUAUAUAAACAAUAGUAUACCACAAAAUUAUAUAUAAAUAAAGAUUUGCAAUUUAAAUUACAAUGAUUAAUAAUUGAGUGCAAAUCCCAAUAAAUUUAAAAUUAAAUGACAAGCAUACAGUCAAGUUGUCAAACAGAAAUCAUACGCAAUAUCUUUUUUAAACAAAUUAGCACCCAUUAGAUUUUAAUUACCAUCAGAUUAGGAAAUACGCCUUACAUUGUUAGGAAAACAAAAUGUAUAUAUCUAAAUCUGAUUGCAAUCAAAAUCUAAUAAAUUUAAUAAUAAAAGAUAAAAUUAAUCUUAAAGAUAAACGCAAAAUCCAAAUAAAAGAUUUGAUCGAUUCGGAAACUUGCAUAGCACUGCCCUAAGGUGUAUUCCCGUCCUUCAUGCAGGAUUAACCGAUAAUAACACCCCAAGGUAUGAUCGGAAUUUCUCCUCCUGCGAGCACGAUCAUGGAAGAGGUUGACGGAGAUUCUUUCAACACCCAAUAAGAAAAUAUAAAAACUAGUAAAAAAUGAAGAGAUGAUAAUUAUUUUAUAUCAAUAUCUUUGCUCUACCUCUGUUUUAACAGAGGAAUAAGAGGAAGUAGGCGCUACAGUACCAGUGGUACAGCAAUGAUACAGUACUGGCGCUACAGUAUCGCUACAGUGCUUUUGCUACAGUAUUUCCAGCCUUUUUGUGAUUCUUCUUUGCUCUUCUGGUGCCGCUCGGACUUUCCUACUACCACUCGCUGGUUGCUCGUGUCGCUCGGUCUUUUCCCUGGUGUGGCCGUUCUUGUUUGGUGAUAAGUGGUUCCUCUCUUGUGCGCUGGAUACAGUUAGUUUGAUAGAAACCAGGUUCUUCCUUUUUCUCAUCCGCUAUAUUAUGAUUUAUCUUUCUUUCAUAUCUAGUGGUGGAUCCUUCUCUUAAGGUAGCAAGCAUGUCUUCUUCUACUUCAAAAUUGCCAGUUGUUAACAUCAAAACUCUCAUACCACUAGAACUCACUGAUUCCCAUAUCUUGUGUGGAAACAAAUCUUUCUUAAUGUUCUAGAAAGUUUUGGUGUUACAUCACAUGUGGACAGAACUGGUGUUGUGCCUUCUCAGACUAUCAAUUCUGCUGAUAAGAAGGUAGUUAUAAAUCCCGAAUAUUUAAGUUGAAAAAAGAAAGACACCACUAUACUUUCAUGGAUUAAUGCUACUUUAUCUAUUAGCAUAUUAAAAAUGGUUAUUUCUAACUCACCUAAAACUGCAUAUGAUGUUUGGAGAAUCAUUGAGACAUAUUUUCUUGAUAAGACUGCUUCCACGGCUUUUUCUUUGAAGUCUGAAUUGCAGAGCAUCAAGAAAGGCUCAAUGAGUAUGAGUGAUUACAUGCAAAAGAUCAAGUCGAUUGGUGAUGUUCUUCAGGCGAUUGGUGAAACCGAGUCAAACCAUAAUUUGGUCAUGACUGUUCUUCUAGGGCUACCAAAAGAAUAUCGAGGUUUUGUUAGUGCUCUAAACACACAGAAAUAAGCUCACUUUUGAAUAACUUCGUCCACUCUUGAUGCAAGAAGAAACGGAAGUCCAACGUCGUACUAGUGUGACGACGUCCUCUGCUAUUCCCACUAUUGAUGAUGAAGCUCUUUAUGCCAAUCGUGAAUAUGGUAAUCAUGGAGGCCGUGGAGGUAGAUAUCGUGGAGGCCGAGGACAGCGUGGUAGACACAACUCUGGUCGUGGAUCUCCUAGAACCUAUCCAGAGUCUCAACCUAAUUAUCCUCAACAAUCUUACACUACGAAGUCUGGCAUACAAUGUCAGAUUUGUGGAAAGUUGAAUCAUUCUGCUCUUUAGUGCAGACAACGCUUUAAUCAUUCUUUCAUGGUCAAUGAUGUUCCUCAGACCUUUGCUGUUAUAAACCUUCACGAAUCUGGUGAGGAGAUCUGGUAUCCAGAUACCGAAGCAUCAAAUCAUAUGACCGCAAACUCUGGUAUUCUCUCAUCUUCUAAACCUUAUAGUGGGCAUAAAAAGAUUCUUGUUGGUAAUGGAAAUUUACUUGAUAUUACUCGGACAGGUGAAACUCAAUUGAGUACGUCUUCUAACUCCUUUGCUCUUAAAAAUGUUCUUGUUGUUCCUGCAAUUAAGCGAAAUUUACUUUCAGUGCGUAAGUUUUGUCAUAAUAAUAAUUCUCUUUUUGAAUUUGACUCCACUGGUUUUUCUGUGAAGCAUAAGGAAAUAGGGAAGGAGCUUCUUCGAUGUCCUAGCUCGGGAACAUCACUUUAUCCAAUUUCUUCUGAACUUGCAAGUGUAGGGAACAAGCAACAACUAGCUCUUGUUGCAUGUAGAUUUAGUGGAGAUGUCUGGCAUAGGCGGUUAGGCCAUCCUAGUCUUCCUGUUCUUUCUACAUUUAUUAAAAACAAUAAAAUCAUUUCUGAUUCUGCGUUGAAAUUAUCUGUUUGCAAUGCUUGUCAUAUGGGAAAAAAUAUUAAACUCUCCUUUCAUGAUUCGGAAUCUCAGUCUGGUUUUCCUUUUCAUAUUGUUCAUUCUGAUGUAUGGCAAUCACCUGUGCCCUCGGUUUCUGGAUACAAAUAUUAUGUUAUUUUUAUCGAUGAUUAUUCUAGAUUUUCUUGGUUUUAUCUUUUAAAAUUUAAACAUGAGGUUUUUCACAAAUUUCUCGAGUUCAAGAUGAUGGUUGAAAACAUAUUUCACAGCUCAAUAAAAAUUUUUUAAUCUGACAAUGGUACGGAGUUUGUAAAUGACAAGUUUUCUACUCUUUGUUCACAAAAUGGAAUUAUUCACCAAUUUUCUUGUCCUUACACUCCUCAGCAAAAUGGCCUUGCAGAGAGAAAACAUAGGCAUUUAUCUAACAUUGUUAGAAGUCUACUGUUUGAAGCUGGCUUGCCUCUUCAUUUUUGGGCUGAUGCCAUUCAAACUGCUGUUUUUCUUGUAAAUCGACUCCCGUCUCUUACUGUUUUAUAUAGGCGAUCACCAUACGACAUUCUCCAUGAUUGUGCUUCUCAUGACUUGCAACUUAUCAGUCUUUGGAUGUUUGUGUUAUCCCGAUGUUCAGGACAUUGCAGAUCACAAGCUCUCUCCCCGAUCACUUCCUUGCGUCUUUUUGGGUCUUUCUGACAAACAUAAAGGUUUUCGCUGCCUCUAUCCAAGCACUGGUAAAGUUUUUAUUUCUCGUCAUGUUACUUUUGUUGAAUCUGUUUUUCCUUAUUCUUGUCUAAGUUUUAUUCUUCACCUUCCUCCACUACCUUAAACUUUCAAACGUUUCAACGUUUUCUUUCUAAUCCUCCCUUACUGGGCGAAAGUCCUUCCACUAUUGAUGCCAUCUCUAGUUUUUCCUUCACACGCCCUUCUACGGAUGUUGGUUCAAAUGUACCAGUUUCACCGUCUGAGACUGUAUCAAUUUUUCCUUCUACCUUGAAUUAUAAUGCCACACAGGUUAGUGAUGAACAUGCUGCCACUGUUGCUAGUCUACCUGAACUCCGAGUCUAUACCAGACGACACACCCUCCGACCUACUGCUGCUACAGCUUCACCUUCUCCUGUUGAGUUGAGGCCUUCCACAUCUGACCGGCCACCUUCACCUCAGCCUGCUGAGCCUUCUUUACCAAUCCGAACACACUCUAUGUGUAAGGACCUGAAUUCUCGACAUGCGAGUGUUGAACCUCGCUCGAAUCGACCUGUUGUUGGUUGGGUACGCUUCGGAAAGGCUGAAGGCGUCGUAAAUGCAUAAAGUGCAGUACUGGAGAUCUUCGAGAGCAAGCUGGAGCAAGUCUGCAAGACUGCAGCUUUUGUGCUCUCGGGGACCGGUCCGAGUUGAAGGACCGGUCCACAUACGCGUGAAAAAUGGGCAAGUGCCCAUUCUGUGCUGGACUGCUCUCGGGGACCGGUGUCUCGGGCAAGGACCGGUCCUCCAGGGUCCGAUCUCUCGAGCAAGGACCGGUACCCGUACGCGUAGGAGUUGGAGCAGAGUGUCCUGCGAGAGAGCUGCUCUCGGGAACCGGUCCCUCUGGGGGAGAGACCGGUCCCCGUGUGUGAGAAAGGCUGGGGCAGUGCUCUCGAGGACCGGUCCCUGGCUGGAGAGACUGGUUCCCGAGCACGAAAUCUGCCCAGUCUGAGCAGUGUAUAGGGGACAAAGUUGAGGGGCUUAUGUGUAAAAUGGCCAUGUGAGGGGUUAAGAGAGGGGCUUCUCUCUCUCUUCUCUCAUUUCUCCCUCACUCCCUCACUCCCUCACCAUUUCUCUCCUCUCUCUCUCUAGAAAGAAGAAGAAGGGAAAGAAAAAAAAGAGGAAGUAGAAGGAGGAGAAGAAGCUAAGAAGAUGGAGCUUCACCUUCAUCUCCUUCCUUUGGCCAUUGGAGAAGCUUGAAGAGGUAAGCUUCUUAGCCCUCUAAUGGUAGAUCCUUAGAGAUGGGUUUUUAAUUCCUAGAAUUAGAUUUAGUGGAACCCUAGCAUGCUAAGGAGUUGAUCCAUGCUUGAAUCUAGAGGUUUUGUAUGGGAUUCUUGCAUAGUUGCAAACUAGGGCUCCGAAUUGGGGUUUUUGUAAAUAGUUGGGUUUGAUCUUAAUUGACCCUCCGUAAACCUAAUUGCUAGGCAUAUGAACGCAUUGGCGAAGUCGGUUCGACGAUUCGUCGAGCCGGUGCGAAAGUAUUGAAGAAACGAAGGAUUUAGCUUCGUUUUCGCCUGGAGGGCUGAGGCGACAUCCAAAAAUCACGAUAUCGGAUCCUGAGCACCGUAACAACAAAACGAAGACCUAUAAUUUUCGGGGCCGCGAUUCGGCGCAUGGUUGGUGCGCAAUUGCAAGUGUGGGCCGAGUCGGAUAACAGGUGCCGCGGGCGGCCGAUUGCAAGUGACUACGAGCAAUCGGAGAAUAAGUUAAGGUGGGUUGUGCUUACCGAAACGACUAGGUUGCCCCGUAUGUCAAAGCGGAAUACAAAUUCUUGUUGAUGCAUAUGUAUGUGCAUAAGGGCAUGUUAGCAUUAUGUAAAUAUAUGCUAGUGGAUAGAUGCAUGCAAAUGUUUAUAUGCUUGUAGAAUAUAUGCUAGCUAAUUACAUGAAUGCAUGAUUAUAUGAUGCUAGGAGAGGCAUAAUAACAUAGUAAGCAUAAUGCAAAGAAUGUAUGUCAAGGACAUAAAUGCUAGAUAAGAUGCAUGUGCAUAUGGACUCGAUAUAACAAAUAGGAUGUCAAGUAGAUCGAGUGGCAUUAACCUAGUGUUAAUAAACAUAGGUCGGAUAUAGAUGACAUUGAACCUAGUAUUAGUAAACCUAGGUUGUAUUGAACCUAGUGUCAUGGACAUAGGUUGGACAAGAAUGACAUACGAACCUAGUGUUAAUAAACAUAGGUUGGGUACGAACCUAGUGUUGUUGAACCUAGGAUGAAUCAUGAGUGGCAUCUAACCUAGUGUUAAAGAACAUAGGUGGAGAAUGAACCUAGAGUUAACUAAACCUUGGUGUGUGGCAUUAACCUAGUGUUGUGAACAUAGGUUGUGAACUGGACAUAGAGUUAAAGUGAACCUAGGUUAUGUAAUCGAGGUAUUAGACCUAGAGUCAGUUGGACCUAGGGUGGAAAGUGCAUUGGACCUGGUUAGGUCGAUAAUAUAGGUUUGAGACCAACCCUUGAGUUAUGUGAAGUGGAUUCCGGAAUCCCAGGACUUGUGAGCUCGAUAGUUCUUGGCUGCGGCUGUAUGUGGCAUGUUCCUCUCCCACCGGAAGAACUUCGAGGAUUGUGACUAAGCAAGAACAGAGAGCGCUAGGGUGUAUGCGGCAUGUUCCUCACCCUAUCGGGGAUCUCGGCUGUGGGUGUAUGCGGCAUGUUCCACUCCCACCGGGGGAUCCCUGACCACUGUGCACGGACCUUCAAGCGGACCGUUGGGCGAUGUGGUUCUUGGCUUGCAGGCUGAGGUGCAUGUGACAGGUUCCUUCACCUCGAGCCGGGAAGAGCGCUGGUUAUCCGCGGUUGAUUUACUCGAGGCCGAGUCGGGUGGCUAACUAGAAUAAGGUAGAUAGAACCUUGAGGGCUAGUGGUAAAUGUGAUAAACCUAAGGUAAUAGAAACCUUAGAGUUGGAUGACAUGAGCUAAAGUUAGCAAGACUGAAAGUAGAAUCAAUAGAUCUACUGGUUGUUGCAUAUAUUCAUGUUGCAUAUAGCAUGGCAUCGUUAUAGUUGUGAGGCAAGGCAUGGUAAUGUUAGUUGCAUAUUUAAGAUAAAUAUAUAUAUCUAUCUGCUUAUUGGACUAACAUGUGUUUGCCUCCUUUGGACCUGUUGGUCGAGCUCUUUCCUUGGGUGGCCGUACCUAUUGGGAACUAUGGAGUUGGUUCUCACCCCACGUUGUUUGGGGUGUUACAGGUUCGCACGUGAGCGGCGCGGCGGCGCGAGACAAAGGCCUAUCUCCGUAGAUAGCGCCCUACCAUCGAGACCGAGAUAGAGGUAUCCCGAGUUGGCACAGCCUAGGGGUAGAAGGAAAUGAAAAGAACAGAAUGUAUUCAAAAUUGUAAAUAAAUGAUGUAGUAACUUAAUUGCAUUUAGAAGUGUAAUGUAAAAACGCAUAAAAUGUGAAUGGUUGUAAUAACAUAGGAUGUGUUAUGUUUUUGAUACUCCCUUAUGCAAUUGUUGUAUGAAUACCGUUCCUGUUUGGAACCACUUGUAUUGUAUCGAUUGCGACGCCUUGGACGUACAGGGAAAAACUCUGUCCGUUCGGCGGUCUGUCGGCGCACCCGAACCGGACCAAAUAGGCGGGGCGCGGGGCGUGACACUAUGCUUACUCGAUCUAUGACGAAGAAUUUUGCCGGCUCUACCUCCUUCCUAGUUCUACACAUAUUACUCUUCCUACUGAGCCUACCACAUUUCAUGAAGCUUUUCAGGAUGCAGGUUGGCAUGCUGCCAUGGCUGAAGAAUUUGAUGCAUUACUCACCAAUGAUGCUUGGGAGCUUGUUCCUGCUCCUUCUUCCGUCAAUCUUAUUGGCUGUAAAUGGGUCUACAAAGUCAAACAGAACGUGGAUGGCUCUCUUGAGCGUCUCAAAGCUCGACUAGUUGCUCAGGAUUACAAACAACAACAAGGCAUUGAUUUUGAUGAGACUUUUUCUGAGGUUGUCAAGUCGACCACUAUUUGUACUCUUCUUUCGGUCGCUCUCUCCUCUGGAUGGUCUCUCCGAUAACUUGAUUUGAAGAAUGCCUUUCUUCAUGGCACUCUCUCUGAGCAGGUUUAUAUGAAACAACCAACUGGCUUUGUGCAUCCUUCGCUUCCGAGCCACGUUUGCCGUCUACGCAAAGCGAUAUAUGGUCUCAAACAAGCUCCUCGGGCUCGGUUUCAGCGCUUCACCUCCUUUCUUUCUAAGAUUGGUUUUGUUGGCAGUACUGCUGAUCCCUUGAUGUUUGUUUGUCAUUCCUCCUCUGGCACUCUUGUUCUUCUCUUGUAUGUUGAUGAUAUUAUUGUUACCGGCAGUUCCUCAUAUCUUCUCGAUGCUCUUAUCGCCACUUUACAACGCGAAUUUGCCAUGAAGGAUCUCAGACCGCUGCAUUAUUUUUUGGGUAUUCAGGUUCAUCGCUCCCCCUCUGGUCUUCAUCUAUCUCAACAAAAAUAUGCGCAUCAACUGCUUCAGCAACAUGGUUUUCUUGACAGUAAGCCCGUUUCUACUCCUCUUUCGCCAACGUCUCGUCUCUUUUUCCAUGAGGGGCGUCUUCUCGAGGAUCCAUACACUUAUCGUCAGAUAGUUGGUGCUCUCCAGUAUCACACUUUCACCAGAUCGGACGUUUCAUAUGCCGUCAACUUUGUUGCCCAGUAUCUCCAUGCACCUCGUGAACGGCACAUGCAAGCGGUCAAGCGUAUUCUGCGUUAUAUUCGGGGGACGCUGUCUUAUGACCUUCCUAUCUCUCAUUGCGACAAUCCUUCUCUUGUGUCCUUCGCUGAUGCUGAUUGGGCUGGUUGCCCAGACACACGUCGCUCUAUUUCUGGAUAUUGCAUUUUUCUCGGACCAAAUCUUAUCUCCUGGUCCGUAAGAAACAACCCACCAUUUCUCGUUUUAGUUCUGAAGCGGAGUAUCGUGUUGUAGCCUACACACUUGCUGAGACAGUCUGGAUUCGUCGUCUCAUUCGUGACCUUCGUGUUUUCUUAUGGCGCUCUAUCAGUAUUUAUUGCGAUAAUCUCAGCACCACCUACCUUGCGGCCAAUCCUGUUCUCCAUGCUCGCAUGAAGCACAUUGAACUUGACCAUCAGUUCUUGCGGGAAGAAGUUCAAUCUGGUGAUUUGGCCUUAAUUCAUAUCCCUUCUAACAAGCAACUUGCCGAUAUUUUCAUCAAGCCCGUCACCCUCUAGGUUUUCGAUAUUGCGGCUCAAUCUUCGCACCCAACCACUGGAUGCUUAGCUUGCGAGGGGAUGUUACGAUAUAUUUGUAUAGUUUAUCUAUAUUAUGAUACUGUGUAUUAUUGCCUUCUAUAGAGUAGUAUUAUUGCCUUCUAUAGAGUAGGAUUAUAUAGUAUGUAAUCCUAGUAGUCAUUGUUACUAUAGUAAGACAAUCUCUUGUACUAUAUAUAUUUAUUAAUACAACCCAAGAGGGUAUGCUCUUUUACCCUUUUUACACAUCGACGGGGUGUCGAUGACCUGCUUUCAUUCGACGGUAGAGGUAGGUACUUCGAUCCGAAGUCGGUAAAGUGGUGCCUACUCGGUGAUUUCCAUCCUUGUUAUCUCCUUCCAUUUAUUUGAUGUUGCUUGAGCUUUCGUACAUCACUUGACUUUAUAGUUAGUCACUCUACAUUUACUCCUAUUUCAUAUGGUCAUGAGCUAAUAGUAGAGCGGUGUUCCUAAUGAUUGAGUCAUCCAUAAUAUGUUCAUAGUAGAUGACCUUGACAUUAGUAGACUUCAUAGUCGGUGACACUCGUAGUAGACUUGUCAUUAGUUGACUUGAUGUCGGUGGGCAUUCCUUGCAUGUUGCAUGGUUUGAUAUGGUUGAACCUUGUGGUCGGUGACCCCUUAGUAGUAUAUUAUAUGAUUUGACAUUAGUUGACCUUGUAGUCGGUAGAACUUCUGUUUUGGCAUGAUCAUAGUAAAUGAUAUGAAAUAAAUUGACCUUGUGGUCGGUGACACUCGUAUUCGCACAUAACAUGAUUUGACAUUAGUUGACCUCGCGGUCGAUGACAUCUCUAGUGAUCUAUUGUAUGGCUUGAUAUUAUAGACCUUAUAGGUUAGUGACAUGGUGACUUGGUUAUAUAGACCUUGUAGGUCAGUGACAUGGUGACAUUUCCUUCGGAACAGUAGACCUGAUUCUAUCAGACAUUUAUGGAUUGAUCUUUCGGCUAGUUGCCGUUGUGGGCUAUUGAGCAUAUUAUAUUGAUUACCACAGCUCGUGAGCAGCUUCACAUACACCGGCAGUCUGAUCCACUGCAAGAGGGUGUUCUUUUCCGAAAAAGUGGUCGUACUUUCGACCCGUGAGCACUACAAGGUGCCUGUUAGGGUUAUCUACCAGGUAGGCGAGCAGGAUGUGGUUUAGCCUGAGGUCUUUUGACCAAUAUGGCAGUUGGUUUGGUUGUUGGUACUAUUCACCCAUUUGAUGCAUUGAUAUAUUCCGUUGUUCGUUACAAUAGUGGAAAGAUAUAUAUAUUGAUUGGCAGUAGCAGUUCAGUACAUAUUUUGAUUUUGCAUAGUUGUUGAUUUCUACUCUAUCCUACAAUAGCGGUUAUCAUUUCGUUUAUUACCAGUUGUUACUCUAUUACUACUAUUGUUUCUCUUUCUUUCGCCGAAGAGUACUCCUCGCCUUCGUCGGCUUGUGGUACCCACUGGAAGGAGAAACAUGUUUACAUGUUCUCACUCCCCACCAUUUUUCAGGUGACACGGCGAUAAAGGUCGGGACGGUGCGUAAGGAGUUCUUGACAAGAAACUCAAAAGUAUGGAGCACUAAAGUGAAAUUCUUACAACAUGAGAAAAAUGAGCACUUUGCGAAGAGGCUAUCAUUUCAUGUGUGAAAUCUUUCGGCGAGCGGAAAGACUAAUAUUAAAGUAGACUCAGAGAGGAACGUUGUGGAUUCAAGUUUCACGAAAUUCUUAAAUUCUUGUGCAAAAUGGCACAGAGUCGAAGAUUGAGAAAGAAAAAUCGAGUGGGGGUACUUUUGGAAAAGACGUGAUAUUUUAUAUAUCAGAUUGCACGGAACGCAGUAGGAAGGUGGUACUGUGCAUAUUACACGCUCUGGGGAGUUUUCAAUAAUCAAAAUUGAGUUUGGAGUGCUUAUUUGCAAUUUUGCAAAAAUAAAAUAAAAUAAAAGAGGCAAUUAGGGUUUUGAAACCCUAACCCUAGAUCCUCUCUCUUGCUUUUCCCUCCCCUCUUACCUAGCCACCUCUAAUGGUGCGCCAAUCACCAUUGGCGACCUCCUUGGCCGACAACGAGCCCGGCCAUGCUCUUUUACUCUCCUCCUCGCUCUCUAGAUCCACAUAUAUAUACCACUCGGGCUCUCUCUCUUAUGGUUGUGGCCAUCGCUCCCCUCGUCCCCGUCGCCGCCGGUCUCCCUGACUUUCGGCAUCCUGCUCCUACCGCCAGGGCUCUAGCCAAAAACCCCCAAGCUUCAUAUUUCCCUCUCCUCUCUCUCCAAACAUCGUGUGAACCCCAGUUCCCUCCUCUCGGCCGUGCCGCCUUGCGCCGCCACCGCCGAGCCACAAGGGUUCCGGCAAUACCUCUCGCCAGCCCUGGCACCACCGUGCCUCCCCAAGCUCGGGAUCUGAGCCUGAACCAAGAGAGAGAAUAUGUUCAUCUUUUGAAUCGCCGCAAUCGCCGCCACCGACCGCAAUCGCCGCCACCGACCGCAGUCGACCUCGGCCCUCUCUUGCUGGCGCGCCCCGCCUCUGGCCGCUGGAGCCUGAAUAGCUCCCAGCUCCUUAUCCUGCCUGGGCUAAGGUUUCUUCUGGCCAACCUCUCUGUUUCGACCAAUCCUAACACUGGUGACCACCCGGAAGGUGAGCACGGUCAUCCUGAGGGCUUGUAGAUAGUCGUGCUUACCUUCGCUGCGAUUCAAUCAGCCUCAAAUUGUUAAUUUUGUUGCGUCGCUCCCAUAGCCCUCGGAACUUGAAGUUCAAGUCACUCCAGAGCACUCAGUCACUGUUCGUCCUCCGGACAGCAAGCACGGGUUUCGAAACGUCAAGACCUUCUGGACUACAUUGUAAACGUCAAGACCUUCUAGACUACACUGUCGAUUGGAUUCCGAAGAGCAGGAUCUUUGGUAACAUGCUUAAAACCCUAAAUUUUACAUAUAUUAAUGUAAUAAUGAAAUGCUCAGGAGUUACUUGUAAUUUGAGCACUUUGGUUGCCUCGGGCAGCGUGAACUAACUACGGCUAACUCUAGACUAAUUGACCUAGGUCCGAUCGAGCUUAAAUAGGGUUUCAAUGCCAUUAUCGGCAAAAUCAGCCUAUCGAUCGUGGUUUCGAUUCGAGAUUCGUGUUCAAUCAACGUGAAUACCCUAUGUUUUGUUGUCGAGCCUUAUUGACAGGUUGUCCUCGAUGUCUCAUGUGUUCAGAGAUAGCGAGAGGGUUGUGUUGCGUUUCUGUAAGGAAGUGAAUUCUCGAAACUUGAGGAUUAGACUUCGACCAGAAUCGACUAGUUGUCGAGUGCGUAGGCUUCGGAAAGUCCGAAGGUGUUUAUAAUGCAUAAAGUGCAUUAAGGAAGGGUCCGUGGGAGCACCAGUGCAAAACUUGCACUGGAGCAGAAAUGCUCUCAGGGACCGGUCCCUGGCAGGGAGGGACCGGUUCCAUCAGGCUGGGUUGCGGAGGUCUCUGAUGAGACCGNUGUUUUAUACUUGUAUCUUGCUCUCGUCUUGUUGCACUGGUGGUGCUUUUGAUCGUGUAUUUAUGAAUUGAUUUCUGGGUAAAUUCUUAUACAUGAUCGGUUGUUUAGCCUUGAACGGACAGGGGAGGUCCUGUCCGUUCGGCGUCUGUCGACGCGCCCGGGCCGGACCAAAUUGGUAGCGGUCGCGGGGCGUGACAGUUUCGGAGCCGAAAUUGGCAUUUUAAGAAACCCAAUGUGAUACGGUUUUGUAUAACGUACUGUUUAACAUUGUCUUCAUAUGUUGCUGUCCGGACACCCAAAUUGGGUUAUAUCAGAGCAGUAGGUGGUUUAGGUGAUGGAUUGUAUCCUCUGGGACACUUCGUGGGUUUCGAAAGUGUUCUGAUGAGUUCCCGAAAAUCCCGGCGAGUUUCAGGGUUCGGUAAAAAAACCAAUCGCUCGAUUAUUUAGGCUAGUAGGUAAAGUGACUUUGGGUCACUUUGGUAUUGGUGUUACAAUAAUGGAACCAUCCUUAAGCUGAUCACAGGCCGUGCAUACAUUCCGACACCAAAGUGGUGCUUGGAAUACAGUGUUAGGCCUUUUUGGCUUAACUGUUGGGUUAUAAGUAUGCGGCUAUGCUUGUUACUGGCCAGAGCCUUGUCGGAGUUACUUUCCAAGUCGAAAUAACUCUUUAAGGGUGAUUAUGUGGUCGUGUGUUGCCCCAUUACUGAAAACGGCAAAAUUGGGACUUGUAGGGUAGAAACUUCGCAAUUACAGUGCACUGAUUGUACACUCAAAUGCCGGAACUUGUGGGAUGAGUUUCGAAGGGUUCUCGCUGGUUGAAAUCAACAGGGUGUGCUUCUACCUUCUACUGGUUCCUAUGCCCAAAUUGUUAUACGUUGGAACACGUGAAGGUCUAGUUUGCGGCUGGGGUUUCCGUUGAUGCGCACCAAGUGUGCGACUGUUCCAACACCUAAAUUAGUGUUCUGGGAAAGCGGAUGAUCUAAGAAGGCUUAUGACAUGUCUCGAGACGCUCCACGGAGUUAGUUGGAGGUCUCGAUAGAUUAGGUUAUGGUUUGGGCGAGGUUCGAAAAUCGAUUAAAGAAACCGAUGCUUCGAUCACAUCGGUUCGUGUUAUUGGCGACUACAUGUUGUGGGUGGUGUCCGUUUGAUGUUGGGAGCCAGUUGGACUGUGUAGAGUUGUCUCAGAGGCUGGUCUAGUUUCAUAUGUCGAUUUGCGAAACCAAUGUUUUCUGAAGCACAAAUACUCCAAAUUUUAUAUCGUACCCAUAUCGGAAACGUAUUGAAUACCUAUACGCGCCCGAUACCUAUCCGAUACGGGAAUGAAGUAUCUAGCAUUUUUAAAAAAUAAAAAAAUAUCAGAUAAAGCUUGGAUACGAGAAGGAUACGGUCGGAUUCUUUUUUGGUCUAAAAUGAUUGAAACUCAAAAUUUUUCAAAAAGCCCAUAUCCAAACCCAUUAGGAAUAAGAAAAAAGAGUGACCAAAAUGCCAAUCUCUUUUCAAUUUGUCAUUUCUUCUAUUUGCUUUGCUCUUAAAUGGUUGAAGGCGGUCUCUCUCGUUCUAUCUCUAAACAAUAUUAAGCUAUCGUUUAGUCCUUAACCGCUUCUCUUUUACUUUCUUUUAUCUAAUCUGUCAACCUAGCACUAAUUAACGAAGGUCAUAAGGAAUUUUUUUUUUUCUUCUAUUAAAUUAUUAGCAUAUUUUCUUUCAUUACUAUUUUAUAUAAUAGAACCUAAUAAAAUAGACAUAUAUGUUGAAUGGCUAAUUAUCUACUUUUGCAACUAAAUAUUUAUUGUUAUCAUUUGAUCAAGUUGGAUGAUAGUUGGUUGAUACUUUUGAAUUACUAUUUCAUAAGAUUGAUUAUCUUUUUUUUUUAAUAGAUGUAGAAUAAUUAUACAAGUUAAUGUACAUCAGAAUAUAUUCCUUAAUAUAAUCCAAAUAUCCCGAUUGUCGUCCGUAUAUCUUUACAUAUAAUCAACAUAUAUUUAAAUAUACCUAAAAUAAUAUUUUACUCAAGUAUACCUAUGUAUCGUAUCUUAGAAAUUUUAGGAAUUCUCGUAUCACUGUAUCCGUAUCUGUGCAACAUAGCCGAUGUUCCAAGUUUAUUAUGGUGCACUUCCGUACGGUGUAGAUAUAUGUAAGCCGGUUUUAGUGGUCGCAUAGGUGUUUUACACUGACCCUCGGUGUGUAUCUCUAGAUUCAGUUGGUGCCCAGAGGCAUUGACGAAGUCGUGGACUCAAGUAUUUGGUGUAUAAGUGUGUGCUUCGAGCUGGUAGUAGGUAAGGCAGUAUUACUGGGUUUCCUACCCUUUUAUCUCUUAAAUUAUUCACUCUACGACAUUCAUUCUUUCUUUUACUCAACAUGUCGGUUUUAUUACUUUUCCCUUCAGAAUACUGUACUAUCUUGCAUAUCUAGUGGCAUAAAUACUUGACAUGGAGAGAAGGCUUUGUAUUCCAUGGCUACCUGGGUGACUUUUUUGGUCUAGGUGACACGGCUCUAUUCAUACUCUUAUGAUUCAGCCUUUUUGGUCUUUGGUGCCGAUGUCUAUACGCCAAGGCAUUCAGCUUUACGCCAUGGUUAUCUGCUAUAUGCCAAGGCAUUUGGCUUUAUGCCUCAGUUAUCGGCUAUGUGCCGAGAUUUGGUUGAUUAUAUCAUUUGAUUUGCCACUGCAUUUGGAACUAUACACAAACACCGAGUCGGUUUGGCCACCGACGCGGGGUAUACUUAUCCAGAUAGGUCGUCCAUUGAGACGCGUGGAUCAGGUUCGGUGCAUUAUGGUGAUGGGCAGUGCCGAAAGUCCACGGACCAAUUUGGUAGGUUACAGAUUAGUUAUCGAUUGGACUAUUUGUUUUUUCAGGCAUAUCAGGUGCUCGGUUAUACAUUAUAGUUGGACUAUUUGUUCUUUCAGGCAUAUGAGGUGCUCGGUUAUACAUUAUAGUAGCGACAUUUUUGGUUUAUACUCUGUUCAUACAUAUAUAUAUAUAUAUAUAGAGAGAGAGAGAGAGAGAGAGAGAGAGAGAGCUAGGCUCGUAUACUAUCGGUAGCACGGAUGUAAUAUACGAAAAAUUUCGGCUUGCGAUGCUAACUUUGAUCUGGAAGAUUAAAGUGAAGUUUGAAUUGGAUGUGCAUCAUUCUAGAGUGUUUCUGGACGUGUGGGAAUGAUUUCUAGAGGUAAUUGAGUAUUCGGGCACAAAUUGGGCGCGAAACGAACUCGUUUGAGAAUUUUGGAUUGCGACGCUAGCUUUAAAUAAAUAAGUCAAAGUGAGGCCGGAGGAUGAUUUGUAGUGUCCUCGAAUCAAUUUGGAUACGUGGGAGUGACUUUUGAGAACAAUUGAGUGUUUGAAGCAAACCGAGCGUGAAAGGAAAGAGAGUUUUGGAUUACAAGGUUAACUCGGAAUUUUAUUGUUCAAAGAGAAGCAAUAAUGUAAAUGUGGUAUUCCCAAACUAAAUUGAUAGCUUGGGGAUAGUGUUUAGCAUGCUUUGGAGGUAAUUAGAUGGAUUUGGAGUGAACUAGAUGAGCAAAAAAGGCCUCCAAUUGCUGCUGCUGCCAUGUAGUAUGUUGGAGUGGGAUUAUGUUGCUAAUCUUGAUCAAAAUGAUCAAGAUAAUGCAAAAAUAAAAUUAUUUUGCUUCCGAGCUUAAUUAGUAGCUUCGGCAUAGUGUUUGGUAUGUUUUGGAAGUUUUGGGAUGGACUCGGAGUGAACUAGACGCGCAAAAGGAGCUGAAAAACCUGCUGCUGCCAGCUGCUGUUAGUGCAGGGACUGAACUGUAAACCUGCAGGGACUGUUUUGUAAACUGCAGGGACUGUUUUGUGAAACCUGCAGUUUCAGCAAUUUAGAGGUGUUAAAGUCCAGUUUUUUUUAGCUUAUCUUAUCCCCUGCCACCCCCUACAGCUGCCCACGUACCAGACAUCUCCUCCCACAGCCUCCUUCUCACCUCUUUCCUCCUCUUUCUCUCUCUAUGUUGGGUGGAGCUCGGUUGAAGUAGAAGUGGGCAGAUUUUGAGCUUGAUGCUGAGAGGAGCUGCCGAGCAGAAUUUUUGGCUAUUGGAGCUGAGAGCAACCUGGUAGAACAUCUAAUUAAGGUAAGCUUGAUCAAGGAUUCAGUUAUGUACAUUGGAAAGAGGCUAAUUUGGAGUUUUAUAGCUGUGAAAGCUUGUAGAAGCAUGAAAACUUCUUUGUGAACAUGAUGUUUGUGGCAUAUGGGUUAGAAAUGAAAUCAGGGAUAGAUUAAUCUUAUUCCCUGUUUUGGAGUUAUGGUAUUUAAUGUAGAGAGGUGUUUGGGCUGUGAAUUAUUGGUAGCUAACCUCUAGAACUGCUUUAGAGAGAGUUGUAAGCAAUAGAAUUGCUCAUUCUCAGCUUGUAGUGGCUGUGAGGAAAAGCCUUUUAGAGAAGAAUUUCGGAGCAGAUUUUGAUGCACCAAGCUGAAAAGAAAGCUUUAGAAAGCUAAGAACAAUCUGAUAGAACAUCAGAUUUAAGGUAAGUUGAUGUCUGUUCUUGAAUUAAGUGAUAUUAGCUGCCACAAAAGAGUAGUGAGCAAGAAAAUGGCUCAUGCUGAAAUUGUAGUGGGCUGUGAGGAAAUUGGUGGAGCAGAUUUUCAGCAUUGGAGAUUAUUGGUUGUUGGAGCUGAAAGCAAACUAGUUGAGCAACAACUUGAGGUAAAUAACUUAUUUUUCAGCUGGAGUAAGUGUGGCUGCCUAAGAAAGGAUUCUAAAGGAUUAAAACUUGUGUAGAAUGGGUGGUGAAAGCUGAAAUUAGUACUUGAAACUAUAUAAAACUGCAUAUAUGUAUAUAUAUGUACAUGUUGAUGAAUGGUUAGAGCAAAAUAUGAGAUGAAUUAAUCUUAAAUUCUGGUUGGAAAGAUGUCCCCUGCUGUGAAGAAAAGUUAAAAUAAGGGACUUCUUAAGUGUUGAAGUUUCUAAGUGUUUGGAACUCUAUGGAACCAGUUCUAUGUGAUAUACAUGUGUGAAUAUAUAUAUGUAUACUUGUAAUAGUUGUUGGGAGAUAAAUCUGAGCUAGGAUUAUACUAAACCCUGCUUAAGUUGAUGUUAAUUGUCCCUAAUUCUUGGUUACUAAAGUGUAAGAUGGAUAUAGAAUUUAAUAGUAAGACUAUGCAUAUCUAUAUAUUGAUAGUAUAUACAAAUAUACAAAUUGGAGUUGAAGUGCAAAGUUGGUAAAAGUGCGAAUAUGACUUUAAGUUUAAUCCCUUUUGUUCCUCUAUGAAUGAAGGUUUGACGUGCUCGGAAGCUUGGAUUGAGAUUCCGACGGAUCUACAACGCGCUAAUUAGGAAACGCAUCAUUCUAGCCUCGAUUACAUCGAGUCGCGGGGGCUAGUUGUUUACACAUUUCAAGACGUUGCUGUUAGUAUUUCGGCAUCCCUACAUGUGGGUGGUGCUAUCCGAAGUCAUUGAAUCCCCCUUUAUGUCUAUGAUAUUUCAUUGAACGUAUUUAUAUAUGAAUUACUCAUAUUCAUGCAUUAUAGGGUACUGGCUUUAUGCAAGUGAUAAUUGAAUAUUUGAAUUUCUAUCAAUAUUGAGAACCUAUGAACAUUAGUAUGUGCAGGGACAAAGCCAGAAUUCAAAUCGUGGAGGGGCCAAAAGCUAUAAUUUUUAGAUAUCUACAUUUUAUAGUGUAUAAUAUAUAUAUAUAUAUAUAUAGAGAGAGAGAGAGAGAGAGAGUUGAGCUAUGAUACUUUUACAAGUAUCACCAUCAUGGUGCUAUUAGGUUUCGAGCCAUUGGAUCUACUUUUUGACUAUUAACAGCCCUUGGAUUAAACACUAUUCCACCUACCACCACCUACCACCAUCAUCUCAACCUCACAUCUCUCCAUCCAAGGGCUAAAAACACACAAGUAUCACCCCCAUGAUACUUUUACAAGUAUUCUAGCCCUACUCAUAUAUAUAUAUCAGAACUGUUGUGCUCUCAGGAGUACGGANAUAUAUAUAUAUAUAUAUAUAUAUAUAGUUUUUUACACUGCUGUUUUUUUUAGAACUACUAGAUAACUAAUAUAUACUCAAAAUUUAUAAUUUUUAAUUUAUAACUUUUCAUAUAAAAACCUUUCAAAUGAAGCAUAUUACAUUUACAAGAUAAAUUUUAAUUUGUAAUUUAUACAUACUCCGAAUCUUGUCGAGUAUGAUGUAUGGUGUAUUAGGUGCAUGCAAUUUCAUUUUUUCUUUUUUUCUCUGGUGAUUGACUCUCUGCCGUUCAUGUUGUGCCUCAUGACACACUAAAGAACUUUUCAUGUAGGCCACUAUUAUAAUAUUUGUUUAACUAUAACUUCUUAUCUUUUAAGUCUUAGCAAUAUAAGGACCAAAAAUGAACAUUUUAAAAGUUGAGGGGGGCCAUGGCCCUCCUCAGACUAUAUGUGGCUUCGUCCCUGAGUAUGUGGACAUAGAACCCUAUGAAUGCAUGGACUAUAACAAUAGUGAACUUGGUGAUAUCAUGACUCGAGAUUUGGUUAGCAUCAAACAUGAAACCAUGAAACUAGCAUAAAGGGCUAGUUAGAAUAAAGUGUGGCAUUGUCUUUCAUUGGAUCUUCUAAAGGAAGAUCAGAUCAGAUCAUACUCACAUCAGUUUUAUGUUCAAGGAAGGUCGCUCCUCCUUGAACGAUGAGCUCCGGAGUAGUCAUCUUAACUGGAUCAGGAGCUAGCGUCUCCCCCAGUAGACAGUCCCGUCGGGAUGUAGCUUGCGUCUCCCCGAUACUUGGGAUUUCGUCGGUGAGUUAUUGUUAACCAAAGGGUUAACCAGUUUAAUUGGGUAAUAAUUAUGUACAGCAUGUAUGCAUCAAUUUCAGCUAUUAUCUACUGUUUCUUUCAGCUUUGUACAGGCAUUGUAGUAGUUACAUGUUAUAACUGGUUACUAUCUAUUCUCUUUUCUUGCCUACAUAUGCUUGAAUAGACCUAGUGGGUGAGUCGGCGAGGUCGGCAGUCGAACCCACUGGAAACUUUUAGUAGUUCUCACACCACUAACCAUACAGGUUCCAGCUCGUGCGGGGUGAUCGAGGAUCGUGGUAUGGACAGCAUUUCAUAGAUAGUGGACAUCCAAUGAGUAUAGUUGUACCUUAUUUCUUUCAUCUGUUUAUAGUUGAUGAAAGCAAAUGUAAAUUAUUCAUUUGAGAGAUGGCAAUGUAUAUGUUGGAAGAAUGAAUGUAAUAAUUAUGUAAGCUUUGUAUUUGAUUUAAAGUAAUCAAGAUACAAUAUAUGAAUGCUUUAGUUAGUUUACUUACACUUGCUUGUGUUGCUUGCCCUCGUGCAAACCAUGUAUAUUGAAAUUUUUCCUGACAUUUCUUUAUACAUGUUUGUUGUCGUUGUUGAGCCUUGGGCGAACAGAGGAGGUUCUGUUCGUUUGGUGUCUGCGUACGGGCCCAAACCGACCAAAUUGGCGGUUUCGGGGCGUGACAACGGAGACCUCCUUGCUAUCAAGUUGUUUUCAAUGAUACGACUUCCAAAUCGACGAUCGGCUCCGUUAGACUUGAUCUACACUAUUGAAAGUAUUUGGAAACUAAAUUUCAUAAUUUUUUUACAUCAUUUGGCUAGUGAUUAAAAGGUCUCAAAAUUGACAAUUUUAAUGGUCGAUUUGAUGCGUUUGUGAAUUUAACGGUGUAAAACAAUCCAAAUCUGAUGAAAUUUUUAUAGAAAAUUCUUUUCACUAUUUUUAAGAUCAGUAAAUCUAAUCUUAAAUUCAAGCCUUUUAUCAUCAUUUUUUAUGAGAUUUUUAUUUUCAGCCAUUCAUUUUUAGAUUACUCAUUUGAUCUAAUAAAAUUAUGAAAUUUAGUUUCCAAAUACUUUCAAUAGUGUAGAUCAAGUCUAACGGAGCCGAUCGUCGAUUUGGAACCUACAUCAUUGAAAACAACUCGGUAGCCUCCGUGCUACCGAUAGUAUACCAGCCUAGCUCUCUCUCUCUCUCUCUCUCUCUCUCUCUCUCUCUCUCUCUCUCUAUAUAUAUAUAUAUAUAUAUAUAAGGCUACUAUACUAUUAUGAGUAUUGGGCCCCUCGUACUCAUAAGUUGUUUUCGAUGAUGGAGCUUCCGAAUCGACGAUCCACUCUGUUAAAUAUGAUCUAGAGUAUUUGAAAUUUCUAGAAAAUAAAUUUCGUAAAUUUUUGAAAUCAUAAUAAAGUCCAUCAAGCGGGUGUAAAAUGAACGGUCAAAAUUGAACGAUGUCUUAAAAAUGGAUGAUCGGAUCCUUCAAUUUAAGAUCGGAGUUAUUAAUCUUUAUCUAGGUAGUGAAUAGAAUUUUCUAUCAAAAAUUCAACCUAUUCGGAUUCUUUUGCACCGUUAAACUAGCAACUAUUCCAUACCGGCCGUUAAAAAUUGUCAAUUUUGUGAGCUUUUGAUCGUAAGGUAAAUGAUGUCGAAAAAUUAUGAAAUUUGAUUUCUAGAUGUUUCAAAUGCUCUAGAUAAUGUUUAACGGUGUGGAUCGUCGAUUUGGAAGCUCUAUCAUCGAAAACAACUUAUGAGUACGAGGGCGAUCGUACUCAUAAUAGUAUAGUAGUCGGACUCUAUAUAUAUAUAUAUAUAUAUAUAUAUAUAUAUAGAGUCCAGCUACUAUACUAUUGAUAGUACCAAGUCCUUGAUACUAUUGAGUUUUCUACCAUUAGAUCUACCCUUUGAUCAUUUCCACCCGUUAGAUUAUACUAUUAAACCAACCACUCACUCAACCCUAGGGGACCACUAUCAAUUUAACCGGGAACCACUAUCAUCCUAACCGCACAUCCUUUCAUCCAACGGCCAAAAACUCAAUAGUACCAAUGGCUUGGUACUAUUGAUAGUAUAGUAACAUAAUUCUAUAUAUAUAUAUAUAUAUAUAUAUAUAUAUAUAUAGAACCUAAUUAAUUAAGUUGUAGAAAAAGGUGGUGAAAGGAUAAUGAGCACAAGAAACCUACCUUCCUCAAUGAGGAGACAAAUUAAGCAAAUGAAACAGUCCAUGAGGACCACAACCUUGUGAGCACAUCAAUCUCCAUCUUUUCAAUAUAAUAGCUCAAAUUAAACAGUAGAUUCUCCAUUAAUUGGAGUAGAGUGAUUGCUUCUUUUUUAACCAAAAGAAGCAAAGCAACAAGAAUCCGUAGGACCAAGAAAAUCUUACCAGACUCCUAAAUAGAUCCGAUCAUUAGUUGAACAGUCAAUCAUGCUACCAAGGCAAGCUAAAAUGUAGCACACAGAAUUGGAGAAAGGUUAUAUAUAUUAUAUGAGGUAAAUCAAGCAUAAAUUGGUUUCAUUUUCCAAAACCUUUUAAUCAAGUUUAGAGAAGCAACAAAUUAUUAACUAGAUGUUAUAUUGAGGGGCCCUGACACAUGCACCCACCCAUGCCAUGCAUAUGUAAAACCACACUCCAGCAACCAACUUUAAUACCAUAAAAAGAAACGAAAGAGAUCCCAAAAGGAGAUCUCAAAGGACACCCCUAAGCAAUGAACUCUCGGUUCAAGUACUGUACUUAUAUUCUCCCCUCUCCCUAGCAAACUCAGAUAGAACAUAUAUCCUCCCUCGUCCCCCUUAUUACCUAAAUGCCACUCAUCCAUCUCCUCUCCCUGAUCGGUCGCCAAUUCCUCUAGCUACCAGAAACUAAUACCAACAAUUAAACAAACCUGUUUUAAUUCAUUCUCUCUCUCUCUCUCUCUCUCUCUCUCUCUCUUUAUAUAUAUAUAUAUAUAUAUAUAUAUAUAUAUAUAUAGUCCAGAUUAUACUAUUCAACCAACCACCCACUCAACCCUAUGGGGCCUAUAUCAUCCUAACCGCACAUCCCCUAAUCCAAGGGCCGAAAACUUACAAGUACCAAUGACUUGGUACUUUUAAAAGCAUAGGAGCUCAAUUCUAUAUAUAUAUAUAUAUAUAUAUAUAUAUAUAGAGAGAGAGAGAGAGAGAGAGAGAGAGAGAGAGAGAGAGAGAGAGAGAGUCCGGCUGCAAUGCUAUCGAUAGCACCAAGCACUUGGUGCUAUCAAGUUUUCUACCGUUAGAUUAAUUCCUUUGAUUAUUUUUACCCGUUAGAUUAUACUAUUCAACCAACCACCCACUCAACCCCAAGGGGCCCACAUCAUCCUAACCGCAUAUUUCUCAAUCCAAGGGCUAAAAAUUCAAUAGCACCAAUAACUUGGUACUAUUGAUAGUAUUCCGGCCUAAUUAUAUAUAUAUAUAUAUAUAUAUAUAUAUAUAUAUAUAGAGAGAGAGAGAGAGAGAGAGAGAGAGAGAGAGGGAGAGAGAGAGAGAGUUGGACUGGGCUACUAUUAGUAGCAAAAUCCCAUUAUUGCUACCAGUUUUUUAGCCUUGGAUCAACUCUUUUCAUUAUUUCUAACCAUUGGAUUAAAUACUAUAACCCAGUGGGGACCACUCAACCCUAGAGGGAUCACUCAACUCUAACUGACUAAUACAGGAACUAUUCCUAGAGGGAUCACUCAACUCUAACCCAGUGAGGACCCUACAAUUUUUCAUUCAAGGGUUAAAAACUUGAUAGCAAAAAGAGCGUUUUACUAUUAAUAGUAUUCCAACCUAAUUCUAUAUAUAUAUAUAUAUAUAUAUAUAUAUACUAGUUGAAUGUACGUGCAAAUGCACGUAACAAUUAUUAUAAUUUAUUUUAAAUCAGUAUACAUUUGUAUAUUAUAUAUAUCCAAAAUUUUACAAUAAAAACUAUAUUUAUAAAUUAAUUUGUUAUAUUUUAUUAGAAAAUAUUUACAAUAUCUUACCGUGUUCGUUUUUUUAUAUAUAAAUACAUAAAACAUUUUUAUAUACUUUUUGAUUUUUGAUAAAUCAAAUUUAAGUAUGUGUUUUAAAUUAAAAGCAUAGAAAUUUAAUUCACAUUUACUUUAAAAUUUAAAAUUUAAUUUUGAUCCACUGUAACAAAAAAAUUAAUUAUUGAUUCAAAUUUGAUAUAAAAAAUUAAUUAAAUUUAAUUUAUAAUUUAAACUCAAAUUUUAAUUUUAAUGUAAAAUAGAUUAAUAGGAAUGCUAUUUUUUUAACAAAUAGAUCAUAACUAUUUAUUUUUAUUGAGAAAUUUUUUACCAAAUUGAUUAUAAACGUAGGAUUGAAUUUAUAGAUGGAUAGGAAUGCUAUUUUUAAAUAAAUUGAUCAUAGCUGUUCUUUUUUGAAAUAUUUUGUUAACAAAUUAAUCAUAACCAUUUAUAUGGAAUAGAUUUCAAUAUUUAGUAGAGAUUUAAUAGAUUGAUCAUAACCGUUCGUUCUUAUUUGAGAUAUUUUUAACAAAAAAAUCAUAAUCAUUCAUAGGGAAUAUUUUUUUAUUCCUUUUUGGAUUCCGUUUGUCAUUGUCGGAAUUUCUAUACGCUUUUAUAUAUAUAUAUAUAUAUAUAUAUAUAUAUAUAUAUAUAUAUAUAUUAGGAAUUCUGCUACCAUACUAUCUAUAAUAUCAAGCAUUUAGUACUAUUGAGUUUUCGACCGUUGGAUAAAUGGAUAUACGGUUAGGAUGAUAGUGGUCCUCUAAGAUUGAGUGGUUGGUUGGUUGAAUAGGAUACUCUAACAGAUGAAAAUGAUUAAAAGGUAGAUCUAAUGACAGAAAAUUCGAUAGUACCAAAAGUUUGAUACUAUUGAUAGUAUGACUUAGAAUAAAUUUUUAAUUAGGCUUCGUUUCGUUCGGGGUUAAGUAAGAACUAGUUAUUUUAGGAAUAUGGUUAAGUUCAGAGUUAAGCCUGAAAUAGAUUAAUUUUGCGUUUGGAUAAAAAUUUAGUUGUUUUUGGGAAUAAGAACAAUAACGUUUGGAUAGAUAAUAUGUAAUAAAAAGAAUAGUGGAUAGUUAUAAAUGAAAAUUAAUGAUUUUUCCCCAAUUUUUAUAUUUGAAUUUAAAUUUUUUAUUUUAUUUUUAAAAUUUUAAAUUUAAAUAGAUAACCUUUAAAAUUAAAAAAUUCAAAAUUAAAAUCUAUAUUUUUAAAUCUCAAAUUUAAAAAAUUAAAGUUAUAACUUUUAAAUCAAAUCUAACAAAUAUAAAAUUUAAAUAAUUAAAAAUAACAAUUUAAAAUUAAAAAUUGAAAAUUAAAAAUUGAAAAUUGAAAAUUUAAAAAUAUAAAUAUAUAUUUUAAGAUUAUAAAUCAUAAAAUUUUAAAAUUUCAAAUAUAAAAUUUAAAAAAUUAAAAAUAAUAAUUUAAAAUUUAAAAUUGGAUAAUUUAAAAUUUAAAAUUUUUAAAAUUAAAAUUAAAAUUUAAAAUUUAAAAAUAUAAAUAUUAAUUUAAUAUUACAAAUUAAAUAUUUUUAAAAAUUUCAAAUUUAAAAUUUAAACAAUUAAACAUAAAAUUGAAAAUUGAAAAUAUUAAUAUUAAUUUUAAGAUUACAAAUCAUAAAUUUUUAAAAUUUAUAAAUUAAAAUUAAAAUUUUAAAUUUAUAUUUAAAAAUUAAAUUGGUGUGAGAUUAACUUAAUCCCAUCCUUAUUCCUUGGGUGGGAUUAAGUUAUUCCUGUGUGGGUGUUAACCCGGGUUAAUGGGGGGAUAACCCCCUUAUCCUCCUUUAACCCCCAACCAAAGCAAUCUAAUAGAAGAUUAAAAAUGGUGACAAAUUAAUAUCCGUUGCUUCUUUCACCCUUCCUCCGAGAUCACGUGGUCUCAUAUUUCCACCUCCUUUUGCUUCCACGAAACUGCACCCAAAAAAGGCGCGGCCGCAUUUGCGCCACACAAAUAAUUGAAUCCCCACACACCCCACACACAUGUGUAUAUAAACCCACUCCAUUCCACAACAACUAAUUAAACCUGUCCACAAUUUGUCUCUCCCACCACUACUGUUUCUCCUCAACUCAACACAACAGGGGGAAUGGAAAACCACCUAAGCGUACACCAAAAGCACCCCAGCAACCAUGCCAAUAAGGCGAACAAGAAGAGCAAGAAAAAGAAGCAGCCCUUCAAGGUUGUGUACAUAUCUAAUCCGCUGAAGGUUACCCUGACCGCCGACAACUUCCGCGCCCGCGUGCAGGAGCUCACGGGCCGAGAGUCCAACGUCGCCGACGAGGGCGUCGCAGGAUUCAGCGACACGAGCUACGAUACUACUUCCCCGGUGUCGGCGGCGGCGGCGGCGGUGGUCGGGCCGAGGCCCGAUUCAAAUAGGCUAGGGGAUGAGUACUCUUUCGGCGCCGUGGCGCCGCUGUAUGAUCAGAUGUUUGGUGAAGCGUUCUCCGCGCCCCAAGCGCCCGGUAACUUUCCGGGACUCUUUUAUGAGCCGCGUACCGAGGGUGGAUUCUCCCAUGCAGCAUAGGUAAAUUACGUUAGUGAAUGAAUAGUAGGCUUCUGGGGUUGUGCUCCUCAUAGUUUGUAAGUAUUGUUGCCUAAUAUUGUUCAUAUUUUUCUAAACUGAAAAGGUAGCAUGUAUACAUAUGUAUGACUUGUUUUGUUUAUUACUUCAGAAAAAAAAUUUAGUUAGAAAUAUGUGUUGGUUUAAAAAAAACCAGUAUUUUGCCCCGUGGCAGGAGAUUUCAUGUUUGAAAUGACGGAAGGUCGGAUUGGAUUAAGUCAUGCAUAUUCAAAGUGGUGAAAGAUUGAUUGGACCGAGUCGCAAUCGAAUUCCGUAGGCGUUAUGUUUCCAUGCUAAGUGAAUUAGUUAUAUAUUUCUAACAGCUUGAGCUUUUGGAAAUAAUAGUUAGUGCCGACUAUAAAUAUAUGCGACAAUAUACAUGAAGCUAUUAGGUUUCGAAUUUGAAAUCUCGGAUACCAGCCAUCAGAUCUUUUGCAACCUGCGACGGUUAGGGUUUGUGAGAUCUUAAGUUUUGGUUGCUGCAGCAGCAAGCUUUUUAUUUCGUCGUAGCUUCGACCGUAGAAGUAGAUAGGAAUAAAAUUUUGCAUCUCAAAAAGAGAAACUUUAAAGCAGUGAUAUUGCUGCAGAGUAAAUUCUAAAUUUGGUGCUUUUGAUUGUUUGGACUUGUUACUAAUUAUUCAAAUAAAGCUUCAACUUGUCGAACUGUGUACACGCACUUGCAAAGAGGAGAACGAAGAACGUUAAACUGUAAUGUUUAUUAUCAGAUCAGUGGCGUUAACUAUUAAUUUAAAAAUUUUAAGUUAUUAAAAACAUUUAACUAAUUUAUUUAAAAUGUAUAGAUAUGGCGUAUAUGGAUCUCGAUUGUGACUUUAUCCAAUCCAGCCUCCCAUUACUUUGAAUAUGAUUCGAUCAAAUUUGAUCUCAUGUCAUUUCAAACGCAAUUCAAUCCAACGUAGCCUCCCACUACAAGAUAGAAUACUGUCUCUCUUAAGCCAACAAGUUUAAUCAAUAUUUGAUCAUAUUAACUUUAUAAUUAGUGCAAAAUGAAAGAAAACUGCUACUUAAUUUUUACUUUUAGUGAUGAGUAGAUAUUUUUUUUUUUUUCAGUUUUUAGGACAUUACAGUUAUUAUUAUUAUUAUACCCACAAUCAAACCAUUUUUUUUCGUGAAUUGUAUUAACUAUCCAAUUGAAACCCUAUAGAUCAGCAUAUAUAUUUUAGUAAAAUAUUAAAUAUUCUGUGCAUAAAGUGGAUGUAACAUUAAUUACUUAAUAUAUAAUAAUUUCAUGAAGGCUGUGAUCUAAGACUACGUAUUUGAGCUCAAACUAUCCAUUUAUCCUUAGGCUCACCACAAUAAAGGCCCACAUAAGCUAUGUGUGUUUAAUCACAUAAUUAUCAGUAAAUUAUGGCCCAUUGGUAAUGAAGAAGUUCACACGUAACUAUCCAUUAUGGAAUGAUUUGCUUACCCACUCUAUUUAUAUAACAUUUACAAAAAAAAUAUAUGAUUUGUGCUGCUAAAGAAUAAAGAGACAAUUGUUAAUUAUAUUACAGUAUGAGGCCUAAAAAAGGACAAAAAAAUAGGUAUAUUUAUAUAUAUAUAUAUAGAGAGAGAGAGAGAGAGAGAUAGAGAGAAUGGAGAUGUGAAAGCAACUUCUAAUUCAUUAUAUGCUAUUUAUUCUCAGAAUCUGAAUGCUUUGCACCAUAAUAAAAGUUAUAUUUCAUAGUAUUGUUUUACGUGAUAUGCAUGAUUCGAUCAGUUCGAAUUUUAAUUUGUUAUUAUACACGUAAACUGCUUACAAAAUAGCACCUUAAUUACAAUCAGAUAAUCAAAUAAUACAAAUUAAUUGACAAUAGAGCCUCAGAUAAUUUAGAACAACAUGUUGUUACUCGGACAUCCUCAUUAAAAAUAAUAAAAUAAAAAAAUCCCUAAUUUCAAACUCCAAUUUUGUUAUGGCCCAUUAGGAAUUUUUAAUGGUUGGUAACAUCGUUAUUAAUUGCAGCAUUUAUUGGCUUCCAUUACUACAUACAUAUAAAUAAAUCAAUAUGAUAAUAAUAAUAUUGAUAAGGUGAGAAGAGGUUGGAAGUAACACUACAACAAAAGCGGUCUAUAGCGACACUUUUAAAUGUAGGUACAUGUCAAAAAAGUGCUGCUAGCUAAAAUUACCGACACUUUUAAAAAGUGUUGCUAUAUGUGGGGUCGCUAGGUAUAUAGUGACAGUUAAAGAGUGUCGCUAUAACCUAAAAGAGUGUUGCUAAUUUACCAACACUUAUUUAAGCAUUUAGCAACCGCCGAAACUCUAUCUCGUGGCUGCGGUGGCGGAGGAGGACGACAGGAAAGGCUCUUCGUCUAGAAUUUCAGUGGAUUGAGUGAAGAGAGAAGAAAAGAUGGUAACUGAUUUUUUUUUUUUUUCUAUUUGUAAUCGGGUUAAAUGGACUGGGUGUGGUGGGUUGAGUAGAGUAAUUUUUAUUUUUGGUUGGAUUGGGCUUUAUAUUUAGGCAUAAGUAGAUGUUUUUUUAAGUUUUAGCAUAAAUGGGACACUUACUCAAAAGUGUCCCAAACAUGUGUCCCUAUAACCUAAUUAUGUUGUAGUGUAAUUACUAAUUACUUAAUAAUUAGCAAUGUUUAUAUUAUUUUUUACUGACAAAAAUGGCAAUGUGGGUUACAUUUAACAGCGGAACCAAUAACCCAACAACCCGAUUAAAACUAAUGUGUUAUAUUGGGUCCUAAUUUUUGUGUUUGUAAAUUCAUUCGAUAGUUAAAAUUUGUAUCAGGUUCUGAUCUCAUCAAUAUUCGAACCUUCAAUUUCGUGCGUUAGUAGUAGACGUCGAUUUAUGAAUAACUUUGAUACCAUAUUAUUGAAAAGAUCAAUUUAAUAAAAAAAAAUAUAUAUAUCAGUGUUAGUCUUUUGAAAAACCCAGCUUUAAUUCGGGUUGGAACCACAUUGGAUCCGAACCCGAUUCGCUUUAAAUCGUGACCGGGUCCCCAACGCCAAACCCAUCACCGUCGACGCCACGUCAUCACGAAGAUUCUCCAGCGUUGAAUGCGUAACGCCGAAAAUAUCCAAGCCGACGUGGCGUAGAGUGGGACCCCUCCCCCACCUAUGCGGGCCCCACAAGUCAGUGAUAUACGCAACUAUUUUUUGUUAUUACCACCAGUGGCACUGGCCGUAAAUAACACCAACCACGGCCCCUAUUUACCAACUCCCUUCAACCUCCUCCCCCCUCCUCCUAUUCUUCUCCUUCUUCUUCUUCGUCUCCUACCUCUCUACUACACAUCUCCACGUAGUAGUCAUCGUCGUCCUCGUUUUCCCCUCUUCUUCUUCUUCUUCGAGGGAUCUACCCCACGGGGAGGGGACCGAGGGGGGGGGGUUGAGGCGACAUGGGAAACGUGACCGGGAGGGAGGAGGAGAACGGUGGAGGCGAUGACGAGGACCCCUCGGCGAGAUCGUCGGAGGGGGGAUUCGCGCCCUACCACGCGGGCUCGGCGGAUUCCAUCGGCGGCGGAGGCGGCGGAGAGUCGCCGCCGCAGAGUCCCCGGCGAUCCCCAUCCCCCUUCAUGUUCGCUCCCCAGGUGAUUUUGAUAAUGAUGAUGAUGAUGAUUAUGAUGAUGCUUUAAUUGUUGAUUUAUUUUCGAAUUUGUUUAAGUUUGAUUGUUACAUUGGAGUUUAUCUCUCGUUGUUUAGUACUAUUGAUUUUGGAAUUUAGUGGUUGAGUAUGGGGCUAAAACUUCUACGUGGAUUUGGUACGGUGGAGAGAAAUAAGAGGUUUCAAUUUUAUUGGUAUAUGGAUAUGAGUUUUGACGCCUUAUUUUAGUCGUGCUUUUGCAAUUGGAUUUAUGGAUUAUGUGAGGAAAAGGUGAAAGGAGAGAUGCGAAAACAGGGUAGCGGGGGAUUGUUAUUUGUUCCGUAAUUCAAGGUUUUGGUUAAAAAGGGUCUCAAAAAUGUUCUUAUAAACGAGUAGCUUCAAAAUAUUACAACAAUGUGAAAAAAUCAUAGGAUGCACUUGUGAGAAACUAACUAAAUAUUAAAAUAUUAGUCCUGUAGAAGUUUAGAAUUUACAGAGACUUUUUAGGCUGUGAAGAUUCUGAAGUUGAUGAGAAAAUUUUGCAACCUUUGGUGAUUUCUGGUAUUCAUUUUUAAGAUGUUUCCUCCGAGAAAUUAAAUGCCCUAGGCCCUAUUAAUUGUAAAUAUUACCUACUGAUUGGCUUCUGGAGGAACACUACAUUACUUGGCCGCAUCGGUUUAUUCAUGAAGUUUGAAUUGAGAACAAACUCUUUGAGCUAAACACCGACAACUCACCAAGAUAAAAUUGCCAAAAAACAAUAAUUUUGACAGCAAAAUGAAUAAAAGUAUCAUUAGCCAAUUUACUGAGAUCAGUCCAAAACAUAGUAAUGAGCCCAAAUUAGAAGGGUUUCAAUUUGGUCUUACCCAAAAGUCAAAUCCUUGCUAUUAUUAGUUAGUACAUUAAUUCGUAUACCAACCACUGCGUCAAGCUAAUCCAACCUAUACAUCUUCAUCCGCACCAGCAAACGCCCAAGCUAUUAGUGCAUGACUUUGCUUGUAACUGGACUCUUGCUUCUGCAUUCUCUGAAAACAUUUCGCAACUUCAUAAAUUUUGCUUGUAAGUUGUACCUAGGAAAUUUUGAAUGCAUGUGGUUUUCAAACAUGUCAUCCUUUAGUUUCUAAAAUGUUUAUACUCAUGCGAAUCUGCAUGUUGAAAUUUUCAUUGGGCUGCUGCCUCGGACAGUAAGCGAAGAUUCACUAUUUUCUCAAAUUAUUCGUUCUUAUGUUUCAGUACCUUUUUUUGGUAAUGAUAUUUGCUAGGCAUUUAUGAGGGCAGAAUUGUGAUCGGGUGUUUCUCAGCGAAGUUAAAUUAACGCCUAACAGCAGUGGUUAGUGGUGAUCGAAUCAUUCUCUUCUAAGUAAUACUUGACGAAGUACUGCAUGUGGAAAAUUAGUUUUGAUAUGUGAUGACUUAAGAGUGCCUCUUAGAUAAGUAACAUGGAACCCCCUGGAUCUUUAUAGAAUCACUGUGGAAAGUGAUUACUGUGGUGAAAUAAGACAUCAAUCAUUGAUUCUGGGCCAAAUUGUCAUCUCGUAAACGAAGUCCAUAUUAAUUGCCCUUUGAUAUGUGCAGUAAUGUAAUUUGAUGCUUCAACUGAAUUUGACAUGUAAUUUGAUUCUUCAGGUCCCUGUACCUCCUUUGCAAAGACACAGUGAUUCACCUCAACUUUCCAAUCAAGUGUCGACGAACGAACAACAUGGAAGUUCCAAAGAUCCUCCUGAGAGGAAAAUCCCAGUCUUGCUAGUAUGGACCCUAGGAGGAAAGAAAGUUCAUGUAGAAGGAUCAUGGGACAACUGGACAGAAAAGUAUGCUAACUGAAAAGCAUUUUAGGGGCUCUGUUUGCUCGUGCAUUAUUUCUUCACUUCUUUUAUAGAUCUGAGACUUUAAAAUUAUGCAAACUAUGAAUGAUGAUAAUUUGUGAGUGCCGCAUCUUUUCCAGGUUAUCCCUACAGAGAUCGGGCAAGGAUCAUUCCAUUUUAAUGUCUCUACCAUCUGGAAUCUACCGUUACAGAUUCAUUGUUGAUGGUGAACGGAGAUUCAUUCCUGAUUUUCCUUGCAUAACGGAUGAGACGGGGAAUACUGUUAAUUUUCUUGACGUCGAUGUGAGUGCUUACUCUCUUAAAAUCUAAUAUCGUGGGGCUAGUUACCAAUUCAGUCUUUUUGAUCCUGAUUUCAUCUAUGUUCUCAGGAUUUUGAUUCCGACAUUUUAGUCCUUGAAGUUUGUUCCACGUAAUAGUCUAUUGGAAAUGCCAAAACGUAGCAUCAUUGGGUAAAACUGAACCUAAAAGGCGUGGAAUCUUUUAAAAUGUAGACAAAACGUAAGGACCUAACUGUUAUGCAUGACAAACUUUAGAGUAUAUUAUUAAAAUUGAAACUCUGAUGACAUAAUUAAGAUUAGUGUCAAACUUCAAUAACUAAAUUUGUACUUAACCUGAUAAAGUAAUACCAUUUUGCUAGCAUUUUUUGGCUUUCAAAGUUGUAGAUGUUUGUCCCGAAAUUUGCCAACCAGCUUAGUUAGUCCCCUACAAAUUUCUUGAAGGCAAUGAAAACUAAGAGAUGCACACUCUUUUUCUCUUUUUUCCUUUUUUGUUUUUCCACAUUGUUCGAUCUAGGAUUAUGUUCCGGAUAAUGUAGCAGGCGUCUCCGAAUUCGACCACCCACCUUCUCCUGAUUCCAGCUACAGUUGGCAGGAGCCCUCCGAUCAGGACUUUGCGAAGGAGCCGCCCGCUCUCCCACCGCAGCUACACUUCACUGUUCUUGACCUGGAAAACUCCGAGGCAGCAGCCACCGUGAAGCCCCACCACGUUCUCCUGAACCACCUCUUCAUAGAGAAGCCAGGGGGUCCCCAGCCACUCGUCGGUCUCGGCUUCACUCACAGGUUUCAAUCCAAAUACGUCACAGUCGUCUUGUACAAGCCCAUGGAAUGAUAACAUCGCCCGUCCUCAUUCAAUUUCGCAUAUAUAGAUAUGUUCAAAACAGCGGCUUCUCUUAGUUUUACGAAUUUCUAGGAAACACAUCAAUUCAAAUUCUUUUUGCUUUGUACAUGGAUGUGAGAACUUCUGGGUAAUGUUUUACGAGCUGCCCGUCACAUUGGUUGUAUCUGCCAUUCUUUCUUAGGAGCAAAAUGUAAAAAAUUGCCAAAACAGUGAAGGGAUGCCAAAACUAUCAGAAAUUAGUUCGCUUCCUUCUCUCUCUCUCUCUCUCUCUCUCUCUCUCUCUCUCUCUGAGAAACCUGUAGACGUUGCAAUUUAGAUUUAAUACAUUUGGUUUCUGUUGAUUACUGUUUAAUGAGGUAGCAUUAAUAUCAUUCAAAAGUUUUAGUUGGUGUGUAUUUGUCAUGUUACUUUCUACUUGAUUUGUGCAUAAGGUUUCAGGUACGGUAAGUGUGCAAUAUUUAUGCGAUCAAAAUUGUAUUGUAUUUGAGAGGAAAAAGCCUAACUGUUCUUGCGACGUGGAGUUUAUCCGUUUGUGGGGUUAUAUUCUCAGAUUUUUUAGGAACUAGUUAGGAAUGAAUGUGUGCCCCAGGAAAAUGCUAUACUUUGCUUAUUAAAUACUGAAGAAUAGAAUGCUCCCUCCAAAAAAAGAAGAAGAAGAAGAAGAAGAAGAAGGAACAAGAGAAAAGGACCGGAGAUCAGGAAUCAAUUAGGAGAAAGGGAAUUCUCUGUGCGGUUCCUUUCAACAGAACAUUACAAUUGCAUCUAAGGAGCCGUUUAGUUGCAUAUAGUUGCAAUUGUACUGUAGUUGUAACUGCAUGUAAAUACAAAUUCGGUGUUUGGUUUGAUGUAUUUAACUCCAAUUGCUGCAAUAGGAACUGCAAAAGGAGGCCCAAUUACAGCAGUUCGAACUACGCCGAAAUUGGUCGUAGUUCCAACUGCAGCAGUUGGAAAGAGUAACUUUAAAUAAAAGAUAUGCUUAUCUCCUCAAUUUUUUUUAAACAAAAAUUAUUAUUACUUUUUUUAACUUUGAAGGUAAUUUUACCAUCAUGUAUAUAAAAUGAUAAAAUUUAAAAAUUAUUUCUCAACUACAUGCAACUAAACAAAUUAUUUAUACUUACAGCGCUUUCUACUACAUCCAACCAAAUAGGAUUCAUAUAGUUAUAACGGAUGUAUUUUCAACUGCAUGCAUUUCUAAUUGCGCUUUCUGUUACUAACUCGUCACUGCCAACAUAUUCCUGCUCGAGAACUACUUGCGUGUUGUAACUUGUCACUGCCAAUUGCAUAUUAACUACGUGACUAUGCUUAGUUAGAAGCUGCGUUAGCCAAACAUAUUUUACUUUGAUUGUGCCAAGGGCCCAAGCAUAUUUUUCUCUCCGAUGCUAUAAGAAAGUGCACAGAAACUGCUAUCAAAAAAGUUUCUCAACAAUUUGGAUCCUAAUUAAAAUUUGAUAUGAACUUGGUAAUGUAUUUUAAGACGAGAAGGUUUUCAAAUUUCGGUUUUGGAACCUCUAAAGCCAUAACCGAUGUCUAACUCCCUAGCACUAAAUUUCAGUUUAUAUUUUGGGGUUCAAUUCACUUCGAUCAAUCAAACCAGAGUAGAGGCGUGGUCAUAUCUGCAUUUCCGUGAGCCAAUUUUUUCUUUUCGUGUUAGCAAAGAGACAUGCAGUCGAUAAGAAAUAAAAAAAGAAAAGGAAAAAGAAGAAGACAGAAGUUAGACUCCAAUCCAGUGAUUAAGGGCAUGUUUGUUUGAAUGGAAGUGUGGUGAAAAUGGAGAGGGGGAAGUUGUUUUCGUUAUAAACGAUCACUUCUGUUGUUUUUGAUUCGCCGUAAAAAAGUUAUAGUAGAAACUAGAGUUAACAUGAAACUACGUCGUGAGCCAAAGUCAAGUACGAGGAAUGGAGGUGAAGAAAAAAAAUAAUAGAAUAAUAUACUGGAUAAAAAUAGUUAUAUUUAAAUAUAUUUAAUUAUGGUACUAAUUAUUUUUUUUAUUCAGUUGGCAUAUUUAAAAUAUGAUACAAAUUGAUAAAUUAAGUUUUAAUAUUUUUUUAUUUAGUUUGUACAAUUAAAAUAUGAUAGAAAUUGAUUAAUUAAGUAUUUAUAUUUUUUUUACUUUAUAAUUUUAUUGUUGCAUUACUAUAAUUUAUGUAUAAAAAAUAAUUUAAUUAUUUUAAAUUAAAUUAUAAUUAUAUAAAAAUAUAAUUAUAUUGUUUUUAUUUAUUAAAUUAUUUAUUAUUUAUACAUAAAUUAUAAAUUAUAGUUUUAUAUCAUACAUUUCGUACCAAACAAACAACAGAAUUAAUAAAACUUCACUUUCACAACUACGAAACAAACAGUACGAAAGUAGUAAUUUUCACCUAACUUUACUUUAACCUAAAGUCCAGCGUCGGUGAAACCAACAUGCACUAAAUCGAACCAAAGUUACAUAGAUUUGGUUACGCUGAGCUUGGUCCACAUUGAAAAGUUUCCGAACCAAAUUGGCGCAAGUGAUCACAAGAUCUUAUUGCUAGGACGUGAUCGGUGGAUAACGUACCCGAAUCAGCUAUGUGGUGGACGAUAAAAGAUCAUAAUUAUGUCCUUUGCAUGCCUAGUUUCAUCAUAAAUUUUACUUUGAAAUUAAUUUUGAGACGAUCUUGCGCGGUGACCAGGUCGAGCUCCACUCAUUUAUGGCCAUAAUUUUAAGGAUAUGUGUUGUAUUUUAGGAUGUGCUAAGUAUUUUCCUAGCGCCCUUAGUUUCUUAGGAGAAUUUAAUGUCUCCAUUUGCUGCAUCCCUAAGGUGUUAUUUGCUCUUCAUAUUUUUUAAAUUUUUAACUGGAACGUCGGAAUUUUAUGUAAAAUAAAAAGUUGUAUAUUGUUGCCAUUAAAAUAUAUAUAUAUAUAUAUAUAUAUAUGUAUAUGUAGAGUACGGCUACUAUACUAUCGAAACCACGGAGACCUCCGUGCUACCAAGUUGUUUUCAAUGAUACGACAACCAAAUCGACGAUCGGCUCCGUUAGACUAUAAUCUACACUAUUAAAACUAUCUAGAAACCAAAUUUCAUAAUUUUUUCGACAUCACUUAACAAGCGAUCAAAAGAUCUAAAAAAUGACAAAUUUAAUGGCCGAUGUGACACGUUUGUAAAUUCAACGGUGUAAAACAAUCCAAAUAACAUAAAAAUUUAAUAGAAAAUUCUUCUUAACUAUUUACAAUAGCUAGAUCAAUACAUCACAUCUUGAAAUUUAAAUCCUUUAUCACCAUUUUUAAUGAGAUUUUUAUUUUCAGCCGUUCAAUUUGAGACUACUCGUUUAAUAGACAAACGAAAUCAAAAAAUUAUGAAAUUUAGUUUCUAAAUACUUCCAAUAAAUAAAUACUUUCACUAAUGUAGAUCAACUCUAACGGAGCCGAUCGUCGAUUUGGAAGCCACAUCAUCGAAAACAACUUGGUAGCACGGAGCGCUCCAUGCUACCGAUAGUAUAGUAGCCUAGCUCUGUAUAUGUAUAUACAUAUAUACAUAUACAUAUGUAUAUAUAUGUAUAUAUGUAUAUACAUAUACAUAUAUAUAUAGAGCUAGGCUCCAAUGCUUUCGAAAGUACGAAGGCCUCCGUACUUGUUGUUUUUUAUGAUAGAACAUCCGAUUCGGCGAUCAGUUCCGUUAAACAUGAUCUACUCUAUUG